AAAUGGUGAGCUCAAGAAACCAGGGACGAUUGUUCGUAACCCAAAAUUGGCUUUCACACUUAAGCAAAUCGCUGAACAUGGUCCAAAAGUGUUUUACAAUGGCACGGUUGGGGUUAACCUGGUGAAUGAUAUACAAAAGUUGGGAGGGAAAAAAUAUGUUAUUAGGAAACUAUAAAUAGUGCAGUAUAUUACUCAAUAUUUUAGUGCACCAAAUAAAGUAAUGUUAAGUGAUUAAAUAAAUUUUCUUAAAAUACAAACGGGAAUUUAGACUUACUUUAAAUUCGUGGUAAUUCACCGAUAUUCUUGGAUACCGAUUACUCGGUAUGCCUCCUCCUUCCUCCGGUGGCUCUUCAAUGGUGCUUGUAAGUCUGUUUUUUUUCUUUUGGCUAAAAAUUUAUAUUUCAUCAAACCCUACAUUUAUUUAUUUGUUGGGAGUUUUCUUGUGUUGCAGAUUUUGAAUAUUCUUUCUCAAUAUGGAAUUCCAAAGGGUGUUGCGGGACCGUUAGGUGUUCAUCGACUAGUUGAGGCUCUUAAACAUGCAUUCGCGGUCAGAAUGAACCUCGGGGAUCCAGAUUUCGUCGAUGUUACUAAGGUUGUUUCGGAUAUGUUGUCUCCAAAGUUUGCACAAGAACUGAAGAAAAAGAUUAACGAUGACAAAACCUUUGAUCCUAAAUAUUAUGGUGGCAAGUAAGUUUUUCUAUCUAUUAAAAUCCAACUUAUUCGAAUAGAUCUUAUGAUGUUUCUUCUCUUAUUUUGUAGAUGGAAUGGGAUUCAUGAUCACGGGACGAGCCAUUUCUCAAUAAUAGAUAAGGAGAGGAAUGUUGUAGCAAUGACUACUACAAUAAACGGUUACUUUGGGGCAACAAAGCUGUCUCCUAGCACCGGAAUCGUUCUGAACAACCAAAUGGACGACUUCUCGAUCCCCAUGAAGCCCCAACCAGAUGUGCCGCCUCCAGCGCCGGCUAACUUCAUCCGUCCCGGGAAACGACCUUUGUCUUCAAUGUCUCCCACCAUUGUACUCAAGGUUGGUUAAAAUACAUGUUACUUUUGCUCACGAAAGUCGGAAUUAGGAUUCUAAAUGACAGUGUUUUCUGCUUUGGUUUCUGUAGGAUGGUAAAGUGAAAGCUGCAGUUGGUGCGAGUGGAGGAUUGUAUAUCAUCCCUGGAGCAACACAAGUUUUCUUGAAUCAUUUUUUCCUCAACAUGGAUCCUCUCUCUUCUGUCAUGGCUCCAAGAAUCUUUCACCAGGUUUGUGCUUCUUUUUUUACCCAAAUUAGAAACUUUCUUGUUCUUUUGUUUAUAGCUAAUUUUUUUUUUGUGAUGUCAUUUUGCAGCUGAUACCAAAUAGAAUUUCGUAUGAGGAUUGGAGGACGGUUUACGAUGAUCACUUCGAGCUUACUAAAGAGACAAGAGACGUUUUGGAGAAGAAAGGUCAUGUUCUAACGCCGAUUGCUGAUGGAGCAAUUUCUCAGUUAAUAGUUGUAGAAUCCGGUGGAAAUUCAAACGGAACGAGUAGGCUUGUAGCAGUUAGUGAUCCAAGAAAAGGAGGGUUCCCCUCAGGAUAUUAAGAUAUAUAUAUAGGGCUUCAUAAUUUAUGGCAUCGAACUAUGACUAUUAAAUUUUAAUCAUGAUAAAUAAAAAUAUUAAAACUUUUUAUUUUAUUUGCGAUAAGAUCAUAAUUUAACAUAGAAGAGUAUACUUUCUUAACAGCAGAAGAGUACAGAGCAACCUCAUCGUUUGGGUUUCAAAACUAGGUUUCUACACUGAAUAAAACUAGCAAUUUAUUAUAACUUUAUUAAUUUAAAAAAAAAAACUUUAUUAAUUUAAUUAAAUCAAAUUGCUUUAAGAAGAUAAACUCAUUUAAUAUGUAUCGGAUUUAUUUAAUCAAAAUGCCAAGAAAAGGAGGGUUCCCCUCAGAAUGUUGAUAUCGGAUUUGAUUUUUUCCACUGCGUAUUGUAACGAACUUGUUUAUGAUAGGUAGCCUUUUAUUUUUAUAUUUUCUUAAUCAAACAUAUAUAGUAAUUGACUAAUUGGCAUGAUGGCAUCACUCUUAUUUGACCAAUCGUAAUAUGGAGAAUAUUAGAAUUAAUUAGUUGCCUGGUAUGUUUAAAUCCAUAUAUAUGCUCUUGAAAGUGGUGUAUUGUUGGCAAAAUUUCUCAAAGAGAAACGUUACGGGAAUUAUAGAUUCUAUUUUUUUUUGUUCAAUGUGACGCCGAAUCUCACUAUAAGAUCGGUUAUUGACUAUGAUAUUAAGUUUCAUGGAUUUUUUUUAACUCGAUGCUAAUUGACAAUCAGUAAAUAGAUUGAUCUAAUAGAAAAGUGGAAAAAGAAACAUUAUUAAAUACUGAGAUCAAUGUAGUGUAAAGAACUUUUUUAAAUGGCAGAACGAGAAGAGAACAAAUUGUUCUUUAUAUAAAUAGAUAGAUAAUCCGGCUUAUUAGUUUUUACUUUAUGAAUUUAAUAUUUGUAAAAUCAGAUAUCGAUCAAAAUGGUAAUAAUUAUGAUCAUAGACUCACAAAUUUCUAAUAACUUGAUGUGUUAUUUGAGGAAAGUGGUGAUGUAUCAUUAUGAAUACUAGGUGUUUUCUUGCACCAUGUGCAGUAAAAAAAAUUUAUUUUAGUGAUGAUUUAUGAGUUAUUCCCAUAUUCUAAAAAAAAAUUCCAAAAAUAUAAAUUGACAUUAAAUGUAAUAUAUGAGUUAUUACCAUAUUUUAUAAAGUUUACCAAAAAUAUAAAUUAACAUUAAAUACAAUUGUCCAUGUCAUAUAUAUUAAGCUAUAAAACAUAUCAUCAAUUUCAGUAGUCAUGUCAUAUUUGUUUUGUGAAAUUGAUUGUAGAAAGGACAUGUGGCAGAAUCACUUCGCAAAUAUAGUUUAAGGGAUUUUCAUUUCUUAAAUAUAGGUAGAUUAAUACGUAAUCGAUGCAGUCUAAAGAACAUUUAAAACAUUGACAAAAGAAGGGAACUACUUAAAAGACUACGUAAAGGACAUGCAACUUUUAAAAGGGGUUUUAUAGAUUCUAAAUUUAUCUACCGUCCAAGAUUGCUCAAAACCACAGAGUCCUAUUUAUGUUCGUUUGAACAAAUUUCAUGUGAUUAUUCAAUAUUUAGCAAGUGACAAACAAAUGAAUUGUAAGUUAUUUUUUCUCUAAUUCUAUACAAAAAUCGUCAAUGAUUAUUCAAUAUAUAGUUAGUUUCUUUGUCGAGUCAUUUGGUUUUCUAGCGUGAAAAGUGACUGAUUGUUACUAACAAGCUUCAAUAUUUAACUCAUAUUCAUAAGUAUGAACUCAGAAGAACUAAAAUUCAACGUCCAAUAAGUUAUAUAAGUCUCGACACUUAUUCAAAAGUUUUGCUAAACUAAACAAAUCUCUUGUCGUUUAUAGGUUUUUUUUUAUCAUCUGUGAUUAAUAUUUGGUUUGAUUCUUCAUCCACCGUAGCUCGAACAGUAACAAUUGUUCUUCUUCUAUUCGCGUUUCUCCAAAACUCGGCGGCUAAGAAAAGACAGCACAGUAUUGUUGCAUCUAACGCUGCGGUUGCGACAGACCAUGGACAGUGUUCAAAAAUUGGAAUCAAUGUUCUUCAUCAAGGAGGGAACGCGAUUGAUGCAUAUAUAUGUGGCUGUUGCUCUCUGUUUGGGGGUUGUGAAUCCAGGGUCUAGCGGUCUAGGCGGUGGAUCUUUUGCAGUGGUUAAGAUGGCUAGUGGUAAAGAAAUUGCUUAUGAUUUUAGAGAGGUCGCUCCUUUACGAGCUACUGAGGUAACUACGUUUUAUUUAAUGCGUUCUUUUUCCUCUUGUCAUAAUAUGCGUUUUAAAAUAAGUGUUUUCCCUAAACGUAAACCUAUAUAAUAGGUUUUUCUUAGCUGUUGUUGGUGUAUAACAUACAUAUUAUUUGGGGAUAAUGGUCUUAGCAUUCUUCAAUAAACAUAUACUAGGUGUUUGUCCGCGAAUUCGCGGAUAAAAAUAUUGUAAGAAAAUAUAUAAUAUGUAUAUAAUAUCAUAAAUUUUGAAUAAUAAAAAACAUUAAAAAUAUAAUUUUUAACUUCAAUUAGUUUUAAAAUCAAUCGUAAAGUUUUUAUAAAUUUGAUGUAAAAAUAAUUGAUAAAUAUUUAGUAAUAACAAAGGAUUGUUGAAUUAUAUACGUAAUUAUCACAUUAACUUCUCCAACAUAUAUUAUGUAUCUUUUUGGCCUAUUCUUAUUUUUCUCUAGGCCUGGGCAUAAAAUCCGGAACCCGAAAUCUGAACCGAACCCGAACCAAAAAAUCCGACCCGUUAGUGUUAUUAACCGAACCAGAACGGGUUUUGUAGGGUGGUACAAAAAAUAUCCGAACCCGAAGUGUUAUUAACCGAACCCGAACGGGUAACCCGAAAAAUCCGAAAUUAAUAGUCAAUAUAAAUAUUUUGAAAUAUAUAUAAGUAUUCCAAUUAUUAAAUUCAAUAUUUGUGGUAAUAUUAUAUAUAAUAAUAAAUAUUAAAAUUCUAAUAAAUGCUUUAAGUACACAAUUAGUUAUAAAGAAGUAUUUUAUAAUUUGCUCAUUGAAAUAAAAAGUCUACUAUGUAUAAGGCAAUACAUAUUGUUUACAAAUGAUGUUUGUUUUCAUGUUUGAUUCAACAUUUUCUUGUUAUUUUAUCAAUUUUAUAUAUGAUAGAUUAAUUUUUAUUUAAUUUAGAUGUUUUUCUUUAUGUUUUACUUCAAAAAAAUUGUUUUUUACUUUGGUUAUAUCUGAACCGAACCAAUAUAACCUGAAUCUGUACGAUAUAUGAUUACUUUAUGGGUUUUAUGAUGCAAUACAAUUUUGAACCGAACCAGAAGUGUUAUUAUCUGAACCCGACCCGUACUAAUAAAAUUUUAGUAUGGGACCUAGAAGCGUAAACCCGAAAAUCAGAAAACCUGAAAAACCCGAAAAACCCGACCCAAAUGCCAACGGGUACCCGAACGUCCAUGCCUAUUUUUCUCGUUAUCAUUUCGUUCUUUUAUUAAAUUUUUGCUAAUGUUUUCUUAAUUUUUUUACAUAUUUUUGCCAAAUAUUUAUUUCUCUCUCUAAAUAGUAAUACAAAACAUACAAUCAGCGAACCAAAAAUCCAUCUUAGAAUGUUUUCAAUCAUAACAUUACCUUAUUUACUAUAUUAUUUGACUUAAAAGCAAAACAUUUUUUAAAUCAAAGUUCUCACAUGUUCCGUUUAAUAUAAUCAUUCCAAUCUUCAAAGUUUAAUUAUUUAUAAAGCAUAUAUGCACAUUAUAAUAGAUUAGUAAUUAGUAUAGAUACGACUAUAUUUUUAUAUGAAUAUGAAAUCAUUAUAUCAAUUUCAAUAAAUUGUUUUACAUUCAUUAUUUUAUAAUUAUAAAAAUAAUUGAUCAAACAUUAUUACACUUUCUAUAUUUUUAAAAAUUAUCUACCAUUAAUUAUUAUUUGUAAUAUCAUUUAGCUUAUUUGGCAAGUGAUAGUAAUUAGUUUUAGAUUUGCCUUUUAUUUUAGAUAUAAUUAAUAAGUUCCAUUCAUUAUAUUAUGUAGUUUAUAAAUACAAAAAAGAAUUGAUCAAACAUAAAUAUUCUUUAUAUAAUUUCAACAAUUAGUUAUCAUAAAUCAUUAUUUUUAAUAUAAUUUAGAUUAUAUGGCAAGUGAUAUUAAUUGGAUCUAGAAUUUUUUUUAAAAUCUAAACUAAAAUAAAUAAAAUUAAAAGUUAUCGACCAAGAAAAUUAUAAAAAAUUUCUUAAGAUUUCACAAAUGAUCGACAUGUAAGCAAAAUUCACUUAAGUGACUUCUAGUUUUAUAUAUAGGAGAAUUUUUUUUAUAAAUAUUUUAUAAACUCAUAUAAAUAAUUUAAAAUUAAGAUAAAAUAAUUUUGUAAGCCAUGAUAGAUAAUUUUAUAAAUGCUUCAGUUUUUUUUUAUAAAUGACUUAUAAGACAUAUAUGGACAUUAUAAUACAUUAAUAAUUAUUAUAAUUCUUUAUAUAUGAAUAUAAUAUUUUAUAUAAGAAGAUGAAAUCAUUAUAUCGAUUUCUAUAAAUUGUGUUUUACUAAUUAUUUUAUGUAGUAUAUAAAUAUUAAAAAAUUAAUCAAACAGUAUUACACUUUCUAUAUUUUUGAAACUUAGUUACUAUAAAUUAUUAUUUGUAAUGUCAUUUAGACUGUUUGGUAAACAUUAUUACACUUUCUAUCAUUUACAUUUACCUAUUAUUUUAGAUCUAAUUAAAAUAAUUAAAAAUUGAAUAUCCCUCAACCAAUCAAAUUAUAACCAUUUUCUUAAACUCUUUUAUGAUUGACUCAUAAACAAAAGUCACUUGAUAUAUAGAGGAUCUUGAGUUUAAAUGGUGCUUUUCAUAGUAUCAAAGUCGAUCUGGGCACAUUGAAUUAAAACAUUUGUAUUGGUCUCCAAAUUUUAUAAAGGUUAUAGACAUAUACAGUUCUCAAAUUAUUUUAUUCUUAAAAAAAAUUGGUAAAUGUUUAUGACUGCAAAAAAUAGUAUGCACAUGCUUUUAAUAUAAUCAUGAACUUUAAUAGCAGUGCUAACUUUUCUUCUGUGUUAUGUAAGCGUUCAGAAGUUUAGAACCCUAUCAUUAGAUUUUUAAUAGUGUUUCCCUGACAUAUGGACCAUAGAUAUAAUAACAUUUCCUAACAUUUCUUUCCUUUGAGCUUAAGUAGCCUUUUCCGUAACGUUCUUAAUGUAGGAUAUGUAUGGCGGUAAUCUUGAACUAAAGAAGAAAGGACCCCUAUCAGUAGCUGUCCCCGGGGAAGUCGCAGGUCUAUUCACUGCUUGGAAACAAUUCGGAAAGCUACCAUGGAAGCAAUUAGUGUACCCCGCAGAGAAACUUGCAGCUGAAGGAUACAUGAUUUCUAAGUAUCUUUAUAUGCAGAUGAACGCUACCAGAGAUGAUAUCUUAGCAGACAAAGGUGGUCUCUCUGAGCUAUUUGCUUCAAAUGGUGAGCUCAAGAAACCAGGGACGAUUGUUUGUAACCCAAAAUUGGCUUUCACACUUAAGCAAAUCGCUGAACAUGGUCCAAAAGUGUUUUACAAUGGCACGGUUGGGGUUAACUUGGUGAAUGAUAUACAAAAGUUGGGAGGGAUAGUAACUUUGAAAGAUUUGCAUAAUUACAAAGUUAAAGUUAAAAAACCAUUAUCUAACGAUAUUCUUGGAUACCGAUUACUCGGUAUGCCUCCUCCUUCCUCUGGUGGCCCUUCAAUGGUGCUUGUAAGUCUGUUUUUUAUUCUUUUGGCUAAAAAUUUAUAUUUCUUCAAACCCUACAUUUAUUUAUUUGUUGGGAGUUUUCUUGUGUUGCAGAUUUUGAAUAUUCUUUCUCAAUAUGGAAUUCCAAAGGGUGUUGCGGGACCGUUAGGUGUUCAUCGACUAGUUGAGGCUCUAAAACAUGCAUUCGCGGUCAGAAUGAACCUCGGGGAUCCAGAUUUCGUCGAUGUUAUUAAGGUUGUUUCCGAUAUGUUGUCUCCAAAGUUUGCACAAGAACUGAAGAAAAAGAUUAACGAUGACAAAACCUUUGAUCCUAAAUAUUAUGGUGGCAAGUAAGUUUUUCUAUCUAUUAAAAUCCAUCUUAUUCGAAUAGAUUUUAUGAUGUUUCUUCUCUUAUUUUGUAGAUGGAAUGAGAUUCAUGAUCAUGGGACGAGCCAUUUCUCAAUAAUAGAUAAGGAGAGGAAUGUUGUAGCAAUGACUACUACAAUAAAUGGUUACUUUGGGGCAAUAAAGCUGUCUCCUAGCACAUGAAUCGUUCUGAACAACCAAAUGGACGACUUCUCGAUCCCCAUGAAACCCCAACCAGAUGUGCCUCCUCCAGCACCGGCUAACUUCAUCCGUCCCGGGAAACGACCUUUGUCCUCAAUGUCUCCCACCAUUGUACUCGUUAGAAAAAAAAAACAUUUUACUUGUGCUACACGAAACUCUGAAUUAGGGUUCUAAAGGACAAUGUUUUCCCUGCUUUGGUUUCCGUGCGAGCGGAGGAUUAUAUCAUUCUAGAGCAACACAAGUUUUCUUGAAUCAUUUUUUCCUCAACAUGGAUCCUCUCUCUUCCGUCAUGGCUCCAAGAAUCUUCCACCAGGUUUUUGCAUCUUUUUUUACCCAAAUUAGAAACUUUCUUGUUCUUUUGUUUAUAGCUAAUUUUUUUGUGAUGUCAUUUUGCAGCUGAUACCAAAUAGAAUUUCGUAUGAGGAUUGGAAGACGGUUUACGAUGAUCAUUUUGAGCUUCCUAAAGAGACAAGAGACGUUUUGGAGAAGAAAGGUCAUGUCCUAACGCCGAAAAUAAGUCAAGGAUAGAAAAAAGGCGAAGACAAGAAAAUGAGUGUGUUGGGAAAAAAAAGGUCAAGGAUCCCAGAAGUUAAUGCAACUAUUGGAUUUAAAAGCAAAAGAUGUAUGAUCAAUGAAAGAAAAUAAAAAAUAUAUUAAAAGAAAUUAAAGUAAACGUCAAAGCAUAAAGAAAAAUCUGAAUUUUUUCAAAAAAAAAGAUCUGAAGAAGUUAAGAAAAGAUUUGAAGAAAUUGAAAAAAGAAAAUUGCAGGAGUCGAAAAGAAAGCGAAGAAAAAAAUAAAAACAAAUUAAGGAAGAAGAACGAUUUGAUGAAUAAAUCUAUCUUCUCCUAUUCUUUUUUGGUAACUGGAAUAAAUCUAUCAUACAAUAAAACCACUUUAUAAAAAAUAUUUUAUAAAUCUAAUAAUAUUUUAUAAGAAAAUAUUAAAUCGAGUAUUUUAUGAAACAAACUACGUGUCAUCUUUCAUAGGUUUUGUAUGUCGAUGGAUUGGUGAACAAAUAUCAUCUCAGUGAAUAUUGUCUCAGUGGCUCAAAAGAAAGUAUCUAACUAACAUACACAAAUAGUAAUCUUUGCUAAGAGAAUAAUAUUAACUUUUAAAAUGAAUUAGUAGUAUAACACAUAAUAUAUCUUAUAACCGUUAUAAAUUUUUAUAUAGCAGUAAAACAUAAGAUCUAUAAAUUUAUAAAUGUUUUCAUUAUGAUUUUAUCACAUCUAAAUAAUGAAAUGUAAUAAUAUAAUCUAUACUAAUACCAAAUAUUUUGUAAACCAAUUCAUUUUAUUUUAGUUUGUAGGAAACUCACUAUUCGCUAAGGUAUGUGGCAUACCGAAAUCUAACGAGUUAUUAAAAACACAAAAGGAAUAAAACGUACUUUAACAAAACAAAAAGUACGCAGGAAGAAAUUUGUUGUGCUAUUUAAUAUAUACGUAUAAUACAAAGUUUGCAUGUAUACUAUAUGUUUAUAUGACAAAAUUAUAUUAUAGAUUAAAUGGUUUGUUUAAAGUUUAGCACAGUGAGAUUGGUUAGUUUUGAAUCAAUAUGUUUAAAAGAAAAUCUAUACGAGAAACUAAAAGUCUCAAUUCAUUCAAAAACAAAAGAAAAGACGUAAUGGGUAACAAAGUAGUCAAGGUAGUCUAACUUUCAUUAUAGAUAUAAUAAACUAAAUAUUUUAAAUGUAAUUUACGAAUUAAUUUAUUUUUAACAGUUUUUUAUUUGGUUACCCAAGGCUUUUGCUUCGGGUACCAGUUUUAUAUGAUAUAUGAGCAACAUGACACUGAUUAGUGAGUUAUAUUUUUAACUGAGAUUUCAAGAUUCAUUAUCUUUAGUGUUUUGUCAUCAUCUGAUGUAGCUUCUAACUCAAUGAAAUCAGAGCUUAAAUACACUUUAGCAUUUGAUGGGACUUUGGAGAGGAGAUAGGCGUUCACCUCAUGCACAGUAUUAUUUGUAGGUGUCAAGACAACUCUCUCUUUUAAGUACUACUUGCUUCGAUAGUUCUGGAGGAAGUUAGGAUAUGCAGCAUCUGCUAAUGCUUCAUGCGGAGUUUCAGAGUUAGAUAUCAGUCAUAAAUUCACUAAAUAUCAUUCUGAUUUCGUUUACAGAAACUAACCACACCAUUGCUCUGCACUGCUGACUUAGAACACCUCAUGACUCACAGUGACAGCAACCAGCGUAUAUACAGGGCCGCGGAGACACAUAGGGUUAGUAUCAAUUUGGAUACGUUCUUCUGCUAUCUCUGGUCCGAUUAAAAAAAAAAAUACAUUGACUAAAUCACUUUCAUCGCAGGAACAACAGCCAAUCUGAUGUCCAACCCUUCUGAGCUUUAUACGAAGACAUCGUUUUCAGAAAUACAAAUACUAAUAGUUUGAGACCCUUUACUCUGUUAUUUAAUAAUUGGUUUCAAAUACAUAGUCCCUAAUAUGUAUUUAGUGUAUUAAUUAGAUGUUAAUAUUUAUGUUUAACUAAUAUUUCAUCUUUUUUUAUAAUUUCUAACAAUUUUCUCUCAAAUUAUUUAGAUAAAUUAAAUAACGGAAAAAAUACGUCAAAGCAUAACCUAUAAAAAAACGAAAAUACAUAUAAUCUUUUGGAUUAAAAGAUGACAAAUUAUGAAACUAUAACAAUUUAAAUCAAAUUAUAUUACAUAUUGGCCAUCUAUCGGUUCAAUCGAUUUAGUUUCGGGUUUUCGUGAUUUUUUAAAUAUGGAUAUUUUUAAAAACCUAAAUUGAAUUAUCGAACCACCGGAUUAAUCGGUUUGACCGUGGGUUCGGAUCAAAUUUAAAAACACUGAUUUAAAUGCAAAAAUAUUUUAAAUACAAAAAUUCUUAAAAAUUAAUAAAAUAUUUUUUAAGAUGUAGAAUUUGUCAUCAUAAAAUAUUCAGCGCUUGCAAAACGCGGAUAAAAGUCUGGCUUACAUUAUUUUCAAAUUAUCAUCCCGCUAUAUGAAAUUGUUGUAAUUAUCGCUAUAUUGGCAUAAACAAGCUAACAAUAAUAUAAGUCAUAUAACCAUAAACCAUAUGGCUUAAAGAGAAAAAAAUACGAAAACUAUAAAAAUUUAUUUCAUUUCAUAUAACCAGAUCAGAUCUCACAAACCCAAUCAAAUCAAACUUUGUGGUAUAAGUUUGGAUCUACCGUAUCUGACCUAACAUCUAUGGACUGGUGUAUAAAAGAGAUAUAUGAACUUUUGUUUGUAUUGGUGAUUAGCCAAAUAAAUAUGAUGAGUUCGGUAGCAGUACGUAUCGAUGACCAAUUAAAGACAAAUCAAAGAGUUAGGAAUGAGAGUAAUUAAUAUAUAGCUUUUACAAAUCAAAUGCUUUGGUUGUUUUCAACGACAGCUCUAUCAGCAUGACUUUAUUGUGUUACGUUUGCAAGCGAUAGUCACGUACACGUCUGACUCUUCACUUCCAUGUUUCAAUUCUAUUUUACUAAGAGCAUCGUUAUCCAGGAUUUUUUAGAACGAGAUUAUUAGGGGAAUAUAAAAAACUGUUUUUAACUAAAAAGUUAAGAAACGGUUUCUUAAGAAACUCUGGAUAAUGAUGCUCUAAACAAAAAUAUGUUAAUUAACGUUAAUUAAUUAACAUAUUUUUGUUCUAAGAUAGUGCUUAUUAGGUAUUUUAGGGUCAUGCGUUGGUGGGGUCAUGCUUAAACGUUAAUUAAUUAACAUAUUUUUGUUCUAAGAUAAUGCUCAUUUUAAUAGUUAUUAGGUAUAUUAGAGUUUUUCACCGCGCCAUGCGCGGUUUAUGUAUUUUUAAUUUUAGAAUUUUUAAGAAAAUAGUUUUAUAUGAAAUUUUAUUUGAAACUAUGCUUUUAUUUCAAAUUUUUGAAAGCAACACUUUUAUGUUUAUAUAAAUUGACUAAUUCAAUCUGAAUAUUUAAAAUUAUAAUGAUAUAAUUUCAUAUAAUUAUUUAUAUUUUCAAAAUAAUAUUAAAUUUGUAUUUGUUUUCUUAUAUAAAAUACUAUUAAUAUAUACACAAUAUCUUACUAACAGAUGUGUUACUUAUGAAAAUAAAACAUGAAGCAUUUCUAUUUCCUCCGAUCUUUCUUUGUUAAUAUGAAAGUUUAGCAAAUAUAAACAAUAAAAAGUUCCAUUGUAGAAAAAAAAAACUAAAAAUCCAGACUCUUCAUAAUCUAAAUUAGUGUAUAACAAAAUUAAAUUAUACGAUACUUGACUUAAGAUAGAAGGCUAUAUUGAUCAUAUGUAUGAGCAUAGAUAUAUGCUUGCAAUGUGUGUAAGUUUGUAAUAGGGCACGUUCCCAAUGUUCCAAUCUUCGACCUAAACUUUCGAAAAUUGAAAAGAUUUCUUUGGCUAAUGACAGACGACGGCGGCGACGAUUCCCCAAACCCAUCCGACCAAGAUCGUACUGCGCAGGAGGCACCGGAUCUGGGUGUUCGACAGAAUAGCGCAGGAGGCGCAGGUGGAGACAGUGCCCCGGAAGAAAACGAGAACUCUCCUGAUCAGAAAGCGCUCGCUUGGAUGUUGCUCGUGUGCUGGUGGAGGUUGACCUAACUAAACCACUGCCUACCAAGAUCAACUUCAAAGGGAGAGAUGGCUCUGAUGUUGUUGUUCCCAUUACCUACCCCUGGCUACCUCCUCGCUGUCUCUCUUGCUCUAAAUGGGGACAUGUUGAGAAGGAUUGCUCAGCUCCAAAGGCCAACGUAGAGGCGGCAAAGCAGGCAAAUGUGGUGAUUGAGCAGGCUGUAGUGGUGGCGAAUGACUCUGUUGUACUGGAGGGUUUUUCGACAAAGGACACUACGGAGAAAUUCCCUUCUGAGAUUGUUACAAAACUUAUGGAAGAUCUGGAGUCUUAUGACUAGAAAUGCUAGUCUCUCUGGUGAAGGUAGCUCCAAGGCGGAGGUAGAUCAGACGGUUUCAAACUAUAGUUUGGCUCCAGAAAGUAACUCUUGGUCUCUAGUUCCGGGUCAGAGUAGCCCUCCAGCAUCUCCUCGUAAAUUACAGAACACCAGCAAUGAUUGCAUCUCUCCUAAUGGUUUUCAAGCUCUUCAGGAUAUCUGUGAAGGAGAGAUAGAAGAAGAUGAGGAGGAUGAAGAAGCGGAGGUAGCUGAUUCUGCUAGUCUGAACGUGGGAAGCUUACCAGUGGUUGUGGUCACAAAUGAGAAAACAUCAGUGACAGUUCAGCGACAGGGAGGCUCUCAGCGAAAUAAAGGCAGAGGUGCUAAGCGAGGGAUAGCUAACUCGAGGGAUUUGGUUCAGGCUGUGACUCAACAGCAAAAGGCUAAUAGUCAAGCAAGGAAAGCUUCCUCUAGGAAGCACUGAUGUCGUCAAUCUUCGCUUGGAACAUGCGUGGGUUCAAUAAGCCACGUAAACAAAAGGUAGUUAAUUAUUGGGUCAAUGCUGCAAAAUUGUCUUUUGGGUGCUUCCUGGAAACUAGAGUGCCAGAGGAAAAUUUUAAAAAGAUAUUUGAUACUACUUUCCCGGGCUGGUGUUGUGUAAACAACUACUCCAAUCAUAGGCUCGGAAGGAUUUGGGUUUGUUGGUCCAAUGAAGUGGAAGUUAUACUGGUCUCUACGAGUAUGCAAAUGAUUACAGUUUGGGUGAGAUACAAAGCAUCUGGUGACACUUUUCUAUGUUCCUUCAUCUACGCAUCAAACUGAAGGAUGGAGAGAAGGGAGCUUUGGAAUGAGAUGGAGGUUAUUGUUGUAUCAGUGGCAGGAGAUACUAACCCUUGGAUCAUCCAGGGUGAUUUUAAUGUCGCUUUAUCCUCUACGGAGCAUUCUCGCCUCAUGGAAACUGCUGCGGAUAGGAGCUCAAUCAGAGAGUUCCAAAAUGUAGUGCGCAAUUUCGAUAUGAUGGAUUUAGCUCAAGUUGGCCCUUCUUUUACUUGGACAAAUUGUCAAGAUGAGAAUCCUAUUAGUAAGAAGUUGGACCGUGUUAUGAUCAACAGCUGUUGGAUCAGUGCCCUUCCGAACUCCUUUGUUACUUUUGAAUCAGGUGGCGUGUCUGAUCACUUACGUAUGAACAUACAGCUCCGCGAGGUGCCGCAAGGGAACGUGAAGCCUUUUAAAUUAUUCAACCACACAGCCUCGCAUCCCCGCUUUCUUGAAGUUGUUGAUAGGGUUGGGCAUGAGACUGUGCCCCUGUUCCAUUCUCGCACUGCUCUUCAGAGAUUCCAGGAUAAAUUGAAAGCUCUAAAAUCGGAGAUGUGUGGUUUAAACCGUAAUAUGUGUGGUGAUUUACCCAGUCAUGUGAAACAUGCUUAUGAGGGCUUGUGUGCGAAACAAACUAAAGCUAUGCAGAACCCCCAAACCUCCACUUUUGAAGCCGCGUCUGAUGCUUGGGAGCACUGGCAUCACAUAUCGGGUAUUGAGGAGCAAUUUUAUUAUCAGAAGUCUAGGGUGCAGUGGUUGGGUUUUGGAGACAGGAACUCACGGUUUUUCCAUAAAGUCACCCAAAGUCAUAAUGUGAGGAACACUAUCAGGCGUAUAGUCACCGAAGAUGGCAUAAUUCUCACCUCUCCGUCUGACAUCAAACUAGAGGCUGCUGCUCACUUUGAGAACUUCCUCAACGGCUCUCCUCCACUCACUUCAGAUGUCUCUCCUGACUAUAUUAGUGAUCUUGUUGACUAUCGUUGUUCAAAUGAAGAUAGAGUCAUCCUUACUAAACCGGUGGAGGCCUCAGAAAUUAAAGAGGUGUUGUUUUCCAUGCCUGCAAACAAAGCGCCGGGACCUGAUGGGUACCCAAUGAAGUUCUAUAAAGCAGCUUGGCCAGUGAUUGGAAAGGAUCUCAUCAUAGCUAUCCAGUAUUUUUUGCUCUUCGGCUUCAUGCCUCAUAGUGUCAACGCCACCCUGCUGUCGCUGAUUCCGAAAACUACUGAUGCUGAGAAGAUGACCGACUUCAGACCUAUUUCUUGCUGCAACGUCAUCUAUAAGGUUAUCAACAAGAUCCUUGCUAGAAGACUCAAAGCCACUUUCCCGGAAGCUAUAGAACUGAACCAAUGUGCUUUUGUGGAGGGCAGAUUACUCCUAGAAAACGUCCUCUUAGCUACGGAGCUUGUUAAAGACUACCAUAAGCCAUCGGUCUCCUCCAGAUCUGCUAUUAAACUGGACAUCUCCAAAGCUUUUGAUACAGUAAGAUGGUCUUUCAUCGAGAGUACUCUUCGUGCGAUGAACUAUCCAGAUAUCUUUGUAACCUGGAUAAUGAAAUGUAUAGAAACUGCAACCUUUUCAAUUUAUGUCAAUAGAGAGCUAGAGGGUUUUUUUACGAGCAGCAGAGGCAUACGACAAGGGUUCUCCCUCUCUCCUUAUCUCUACGUCAUCGUCAGUAACGUUCUGUCCAAACUCAUCAACAAAGCAGUCUCGGCAGGCCAUAUUGGGUUUCAUCCUCAGUGCCAAGAAGUUAAUCUGUCACAUUUGAGUUUUGCAGAUGAUAUAGUUGUCUUCAAUGAUGGAACACCAGAUUCACUUCUUGGUACUCUCCAAGUGUUCGAGGAGUUUGCUGUAAUGUCGGGUUUGAGAAUUAAUGUAGCCAAAUCCACGGUCUUUGCAGCAGGAAGAGGGAAGCUCGUUCUUGAGGAUGCAGUAGCAGGCUCGGGUUUAUCUAUCUCUGCGCUGCCUAUCAAGUAUCUUGGACUCCCUCUCACUACUAAAGUCAUGACUAGAAGCGAUUAUGAGCCUCUGAUAACGACGAUCAGGAACCGGCUUUUAUCAUGGAUGAGCAAGGCCCUCUCAUAUGCGGGAAGGUUGACUCUUAUCAAGUCAGUCAUAGCAAGCAUCACAAAUUUCUGGUGUGCUGCUUUCUAUCUUCCGCAGAGCUGUAUCGACGAGAUUGAGAGCAUGUGCUCUGCAUUCCUCUGGAGUGGUUCGCCAAAUAUAACGUCAAAGGCAAAAAUUUCUUGGGAAGAUGUGUGUUGUCCUUAUGCUGAGGGAGGUCUAGGUAUUCGCCGCAUUCAGGAGGUCAGUACGGUGUUCACUCUAAAGCUUAUAUGGCGCUUAUUUGUCCAGUCUGAUUCGCUUUGGGUCAUUUGGGUGAAGAGGUAUCUCUUGCGAGGUGAGACCUUAUGGGAUUCAAAAGACACGGGUUUGGGUUCAUGGGCGUGGCGCAAGUUGCUGAAGUUUCGAUCUCUGGCAAAAAAAACUUCCUUCUGAUGGAUGUUAAGGAUGGCGCCACUGCAAGGUUCUGGACUGAUCCGUGGUUUCCUAAAGGAAGACUUAUUGAGAUUGCUGGGGAACUUGGUACACAAAAUCUGGGCAUCAGUAGAGAUAUGAAGAUUUGUGAUGUCUUUAGAGAGGGUCAAUGGAGAUUCCGCAGAUGUCGUGACAGACAUAUCCAAAGCUUGGUAACAGAGAUACGAACGUUUCAGUUAACGCUAACGGAUUGAAGGGAUGAAGUUUUAUGGAAGCGUGGUGCUAAUGAUUAUGGCACUAAGUUUAAUUCUUCUGAAACUUGGGAUCAAAUCGGGGUGCACAAGGAGACUGUACUUUGGAGCAAAAUUGUUUGGUUCCCUCAAGGUGUUCCUCGCUUUGCUUUCAUCACUUGGCUUGCGGUCAAGGAUAGGCUCGCCACUGGUCAUCGUUCUCGACGGUGGGGUCAACCGCAACAUUGCCGCUACUAUGGUGAACUAGACGAGACUAGAGACCACAUUUUCUUUGCGUGUCCUUAUACUUUCACUCUUUGGCUACAAGUCAGUCAUAGCAAGCAUCACAAAUUUCUGGUGUGCUGCUUUCUAUCUUCCGCAGAGCUGUAUCGACGAGAUUGAGAGCAUGUGCUCUGCAUUCCUCUGGAGUGGUUCGCCAAAUAUAACGUCAAAGGCAAAAAUUUCUUGGGAAGAUGUGUGUUGUCCUUAUGCUGAGGGAGGUCUAGGUAUUCGCCGCAUUCAGGAGGUCAGUACGGUGUUCACUCUAAAGCUUAUAUGGCGCUUAUUUGUCCAGUCUGAUUCGCUUUGGGUCAUUUGGGUGAAGAGGUAUCUCUUGCGAGGUGAGACCUUAUGGGAUUCAAAAGACACGGGUUUGGGUUCAUGGGCGUGGCGCAAGUUGCUGAAGUUUCGAUCUCUGGCAAAAAAAACUUCCUUCUGAUGGAUGUUAAGGAUGGCGCCACUGCAAGGUUCUGGACUGAUCCGUGGUUUCCUAAAGGAAGACUUAUUGAGAUUGCUGGGGAACUUGGUACACAAAAUCUGGGCAUCAGUAGAGAUAUGAAGAUUUGUGAUGUCUUUAGAGAGGGUCAAUGGAGAUUCCGCAGAUGUCGUGACAGACAUAUCCAAAGCUUGGUAACAGAGAUACGAACGUUUCAGUUAACGCUAACGGAUUGAAGGGAUGAAGUUUUAUGGAAGCGUGGUGCUAAUGAUUAUGGCACUAAGUUUAAUUCUUCUGAAACUUGGGAUCAAAUCGGGGUGCACAAGGAGACUGUACUUUGGAGCAAAAUUGUUUGGUUCCCUCAAGGUGUUCCUCGCUUUGCUUUCAUCACUUGGCUUGCGGUCAAGGAUAGGCUCGCCACUGGUCAUCGUUCUCGACGGUGGGGUCAACCGCAACAUUGCCGCUACUAUGGUGAACUAGACGAGACUAGAGACCACAUUUUCUUUGCGUGUCCUUAUACUUUCACUCUUUGGCUAAAGAUGGUAGGGAAUUUGUUUGGGACUGAUCCGGAUCCAGACUGGGACAUCACUCUGUCUACAAUGCUGUCUAGAUCAUAUGACCGCUUGACUUUCAUACUCCUCCGACUGGUCCUGCAAGUCACCAUUUACUUCAUCUGGCGUGAACGCAACGAGAGGAAGCACAGUACUAGCCAUAAGACAGUUGAGCAGCUUGCAAAGUUGAUUGAUAAAACAGUUAGGAACCGCAUCUCAUCUACAAAGUACACUCUCAACCCGCGACUGCAAGGUUUAAUGAUCAGGUAGUUUGCAGCUCAUGACACUGCAAAUUAGAGUUUUCAAAUUAUUUUUCAGAGGUAGUUGUAUGAACUACUCAUAGUUGUACAUAUUUUCAUAUAUUCUUUUAGCGAUGAUCAAUAAAUUUAAAAUUUCAUCAAAAAAUAAGUUUGUAAUAGGAUAUUUCCCUUGUUACUUUAUAAUUAAAGGCAAUUAAUUUCUUUUUUUUAAAAGGUGUGUAGGUUCUCUUUUUAUAUAGAUUUUGUAGUUUUUUUUAAUCAGAAAUGGACUUAAAAAUUUUGGAAAAAUUAUCUAUUCGUCAUUUGGAAUGAUUAACACUGUCUUCUUCCAUAUCUCUUGUUUUGCCUCUUCAUUACAACUGCUCUGCAUGUUCCUUCAUUCGACAAUUCACAUGUCGAUAAAGAAUUUCAGCGUAAGCAGUCUCGUUUGCUCUCAGACUGUGUAAACGUGUUAUACAAAAUAUUUGUUGUUGUGCACUGUUUUGUUUUAGAUGCACUAUUUCCUAUAUCACAAAUGGACGAAACGCAUUAUUUACAUUGAAAAUCAAGAGAUUUCAUAACAUGAUUAUAAAGUACCAGCUUCAAACACGGUGAAGGGUCUGAGGAUCUUCCUUCAGUGACUUACUCUCCUCAAGAUGGGUCUUUCAACAAUCUCCUUAGGUCGACUUCUAAAGACAAUACGAAUCUUGUACUUCGUUGGCCACUGUAUCACCUGGUACGUUUGCUAACCUAAUCUCCAUUCACUGUAUAUAAUUAUCGUAUGCUAAAUUGUGAUAAUCAAUUUCUUUAGAGAAAACUUAUAACCCAAGUCUUAUCCAUGUAAAAAACAUAUCACUGCAUAUUUAGAUUCUAAUUGGUUGGAUCCGCAUAUCUAAGAACGCUUCGCAUUUUCCAGUUUGCAGUGGAUCCAGUAAGCAGCUUAUAUCUUACUAUUUGUACUGUAUUUGCGGAAUGUAUUUGGGUAUCCCAUCGCCUUAGCCUCUUCCUCGAUAUUCAUGGUCAUUUCAGAUGGACUGAUACGAUUCUUUAUUUUUCCCAUCUAAAAAACACAGACAGUAUAUAGGUUUUGAAAAAAAAAAAAAGAGAAUCGAUCAUGCUAAGGUAUUUUGAUCACAACUUCACAAGAUAAGUCUCUAGGAAAUGAAAAUACCCUCGAGAUGUUCUACACUAUUUCCUAUAUCACAAAUGGACGAAACGCAUUAUUUACAUUGAAAAUCAAGAGAUUUCAUAACAUGAUUAUAAAGUACCAGCUUCAAACACGGUGAAGGGUCUGAGGAUCUUCCUUCAGUGACUUACUCUCCUCAAGAUGGGUCUUUCAACAAUCUCCUUAGGUCGACUUCUAAAGACAAUACGAAUCUUGUACUUCGUUGGCCACUGUAUCACCUGGUACGUUUGCUAACCUAAUCUCCAUUCACUGUAUAUAAUUAUCGUAUGCUAAAUUGUGAUAAUCAAUUUCUUUAGAGAAAACUUAUAAUCCAAGUCUUAUCCAUGUAAAAAACAUAUCACUGCAUAUUUAGAUUCUAAUUGGUUGGAUCCGCAUAUCUAAGAACGCUUCGCAUUUUCCAGUUUGCAGUGGAUCCAGUAAGCAGCUUAUAUCUUACUAUUUGUACUGUAUUUGCGGAAUGUAUUUGGGUAUCCCAUCGCCUUAGCCUCUUCCUCGAUAUUCAUGGUCAUUUCAGAUGGACUGAUACGAUUCUUUAUUUUUCCCAUCUAAAAAACACAGACAGUAUAUAGGUUUUGAAAAAAAAAAAAAGAGAAUCGAUCAUGCUAAGGUAUUUUGAUCACAACUUCACAAGAUAAGUCUCUAGGAAAUGAAAAUACCCUCGAGAUGUUCUACACAGCCUCUGAAGAUCCCUUCUUCAAAGCUUUCUUCUCCUGUCAAAUGUAAGAAUAUUUUAACGAAAGAUUACCAUGUCAGCAACACCAACGUAAUAUGAGCGGGAACUAAAGAUAGUUUUAUUUAUAGCAGAAAUUGGAUGAUAUAAAUCAGAUUUCUAUCAUAUCUUAUGUUGAGUGGACAUGUCUCUAUUGGCCUGGGGUAUAAAGUAAACUGAACGUGAGUAUAAAUGUCUGAGAGUUGAGUAAGAAGCAAAGACGAUACCUCCAAGUAGUAGUCCAUUAAGUUUUGAGCUUGCCUGCCCAUAACCUCGGUACUGGCAUCACAAAGGAGGACAAAAGUUUCCAUGUCGCCAUUGUCAUACAUGGACAUUUCCACACAACACGUUCAUUAGCUAAACAUUUCCUAAUCCACAUUCCGACCUUCUCCUUAAGAUUUGAAUCUAAAGUUCCCAUAGACAGAUUUUAUUUCUUACAACCACCAGUGGAAGAUUCAACAUGAAUAUUUUAACCAACUAAUCUUCAACUAUUUGAGUUUUAGUCACAUAACAGGAGGAUGAGAAGCAUUACGUGAGUAUCAAAAGAAGAUCAGCACAGAGGAUGAAAAAAAGUCUCAACCCUCAUGGGUGUGUAUUCAAUCUCUCACAGAACGUUUCAUAUGUUGGCUUGUGAGCGUGUCUCAGUUCCACUUAAUGCAGUAGAAUACAGAAGAUAAAUCUUACUUUUUUGGCAAAUGAAAAUCUCCAAUGUCACCUGAAGAGGGCUAGUUCAUCAUCAAUCAAGGAGAAUAUCAAUCAAAAUACAAACAAAAGACGUACUUGUUGGGGUUUCAAGUCCAAGAUAAUUGCUUCAUGAUUUCUCAGAAUUGAUCUUAGUUAACAUAAUAGUUUUUGGCUAGCGCAAGCAGUAGUCCAUCUGACACAGGAGAAAUUAGUGACGGGAAACUAUCUUUAAACGUCCGCUAAUUAGCUAACCAUCAUUAUCUGAGUCACUUAGAUGCGAUAGUAGAGUGUAAAAAGUACAUGUAGUUAAAUGAAAGCAGCCAUGUAUGAAAGUACCUGUAGUUAGGAGAAUUUAGCAGUGGAAUCGAAUCUGCUAAGAUGUGGGAAUAAUGAUUAGGAUUUGAUGUCGUACAUGUUAAUCGAUGAACAGACUCCUUUGGCUGUGUUAUGGGAAUGAACGUGCAGCUCAGCUCUGCCUCUCCCAAGCCAGAAGCAACGUCACUGAAGAAUAGAGCAGUGUGAGGCUUGGCCGGUUGAUUUCUCUGUAUUGGCUGCCAUGUAUUCUCAGGUGUGAGUGAGCAAGAGGAAGGACAAAGGUCACUAUUUAGAUGAUUGUAACUGGAAUUCAGAAGUACGAUAAAGGAGUAAUAAUAUAUAGGGUGAGAGGCUGGGGAAAUCGAUAAGGUGGUUGCCUUAUCAUCAUUACAGAAAUGAAUGAGCCUUCAUGAGACAUAGUUAGGGAGUGAAGACGUUAGACAUGGUAAUCGGACCGGAAGAUAAAGAUAAAAGAUGUCUCCGUAAGAAUGAGAAAGGUGAAUGGAUUGCGUCUGAGAGAAGAUUUUUUAGAUUAGAGAAUAUGAGUUUUGUAAUGGGCCAUAGUACUAACUUUAGUAUAAUUAAAAUGGGCUGUGAAGAGGUUUGUUAACGUUUGAAAAGCUCAAGUAUUACGUGUAAGUGUAGCAGAUGUGUCAACUGCUGAUUGGACUGAAUUUAAUUGCAUACGUGGACACUCUAUAUGUUGAGCAUAUUGCCCUUUUAGUAUUGUAAGAUGUUUUUUGUUAUUAAAGAUAACACAAAAACUUUAGCCUAAGACGGUCACAUACUAACAUUCAUGAACAUAAAAACAAUUACAUAUGUUGUGAAAAAAUCAAAGUCACGCUUCCAAACCUAAGAUUAUAUUUUGCAACUACUCAUCUAAAAUCGCUCUCUAAAAAAGGGAGAUAGCAAAUGCGAUUAGGGUUUCACCACCCUUUCGCUAUCGUUGGUUUCGCCUCACGCAUAUCAACGAGAAGCUUCUUCUUCUUCCCUUCCUCUCCGUCCAUGGCGCCGCUCGUAGCAGGUCCAGCUUCCGUUACACGCCCUCCCUCAGAUCCACCAGAUUCGACUUUGAAGAUUGAUCUCUCGUCAAAUGCUCCAGAUCCACCUGUUCCUCCUGACCCUCCGCCUGAUACUCUAUUCACGGGGUUCCUUUGGUUGUAUGAUUUAUGGGCCACAGUUACCUUUCCCCAUAAGUUCUCAGAUCCAAAGCUAGGUUUGAUGAUUUCAUAUGAACUAGGUUUGUUGGAUUCGAGCUUUUCUCUGUUAGUCCCGACUGUUUCGGUCACAUUUAGUUAUGCUAUUGUGGCCUUUAUUGUUGGUACCUUUGUGGUCUAUGUGUGGUCCUUUACUGCAGUAUGCAGUUGUCCAUUUACUGCGGUAUGCAGAUGUUGUCCUUUUACUGCAGUAUGCAGGCUUCCUUCCACCUUUGCUCUAAUGGCUUUUGCAAUGAUAAGGUAUUCUCUCCUCUUGUGGCAGCUUGGAAUGAAAGUUCUUAAGUUAUGUAUCCUUCCAGAAAAUAUGGUUUGUUUGGGCAGUAAUUGCCCUCGUUUCUCCUUUAAGGAGUGUUUCGUUCUCCCACAUCUAUCACUUGUUAUUAGUGAAAUUGUUAUAGGGAGCAUUGUUUUGAAGAUGGUUCUGUUUGAAGCAGAAGCGAAGAUGUUUAUCGUCUCUCGUUUUGAUGGUGUCAACUGUCUGACCUCUUUGGCCAUGGAGGUUUUCAUUCCUCCCCUUUAUUGUUUCGAACAGGAACGUCAAUUUGAAGAAGUCUUCUUGAUUGACUGCCCUCUUUCGGAGACAACGGUGGUUGAACUCGUGAUAUUACAUCUAUCUUUAAACUUUUAUUUGAGUACUUGUUGUUUAAGCUUUGUGAUUUGUUUGUUCAUGGCUCCCUGUAGCCAUAUUGUAUCCUUCAUUGAUGGAGUUGAACUCUUUUAAGUUUCCAUGAAAGUUGUUUGAUAAAAAAAAAAUUAUAUUUUGCAUAUUGCGGAAAAAUGAGUGUUUAUGUCAUUUAUAUAUAGUAGAAAUUCAGAUCAUAAUUUUUGAGUACGUAUAUCCUUUCUUUACCUAUUGUAAAUUAGCUUCCAAAACAUAUCUCAUCGAAACAUUAUAAUAUAUCCUUAAUUCUAACCGUGCAAAUAAUAAUGCAUGGCAUAUUUGGUUUGGACGCAUAUGACACCUGACCCGUAGCAUGAUGACUACGAUGCAAUUUCCCUUGGUUUUAUUUCUUCAAUAACGCAUGACGAUUAUAAGAUUUAUGUCAUCGUUUGUAUCCAUUCACAUUCCUUUGGUUAAUUAAUUCAAACAAAAAAAUCUUAAUGAAAGCAUAUUUUGCUCGGUAUUAUCAUCGUAAAAUUGAAAAUUAAUAAUUGAUUUAGAGGAUCUUGGAUACUCCGCCUCUAGUCACUGACACGUCAUUAUUUUAAUCUGCUGAGGAUAAUUAAUCGACGGUGAUGUGCGACUGUGUCAGUACAUCUAUCAGCAAAUCUAAUUCACAUGGAAUCUUAGAAUCAUAUUGCCACGUCAUUAUUACUCAAAAUAUUUGAUACCAUGUACUAAUCUUUACUUAGCAGGCUUAUAAAGACCGUGAUUGGUCCUAAUCUUUCUCUAACUGCUCCGUACAGAACAGAACAAUGGCUUUACAGAGGCAACUGCUCAAGAGAGUCGUAGAUCGAGCUUCAACUUCCUCCCGGAUCCAUUCCCCUGCGAUCACCUUCCUCCGCUCUGAUUACUCCACCUCUUCUCCGCCGCAGCUUCCACCGUUUGAUUACCAGGCGCGGCCGUAUAAUGGUCCUUCCGCAGAUGAAGUCUUCCAGAGACGGAAGAAGUUUCUCGGACCUUCUCGUUUCCAUUUCUACCAAAAGCCUGUACGUGAUUUUGACUGCACAAAUCGAAUAGUUGUAUUGAAAGAAUUAAUAUUUUUUUUUUUGCAUUCUUAUGAUCAAUCUUUAGGGUUCUUCUUGAUCUAUUUGUAUUGCUUGCAGCUUAAUAUCGUGGAAGGGAAGAUGCAGUACUUGUUUGAUGAAACCGGUAGGCGAUAUCUCGACGCCUUUGCUGGAAUAGUCACUGUCUCAUGCGGUCACUGCCAUCCCGACAUACUCAACGCUAUUAAUGAACAAAGCAAGCUUCUUCAGCACGCAACAACCAUAUACCUACAUCACGCCAUUGGCGAUUUCGCUGAAGCGUUAGCUGCCAAGAUGCCUGGAAACCUAAAGGUAAUAUAGUGAGGUUUAUGUUUAUUGCUUUUUGUUGAUGAUAAUCAGAAAGCUUCAUUUUUUUUUUUGAACAAAAAAAAACCAGUAAGCUUCAUUAUUUUUGGAUGCAGGUUGUGUACUUUGUGAAUUCUGGCUCAGAAGCUAAUGAGUUAGCAAUGAUGAUGGCUAGGCUUUACACUGGUAGCCUUGAGAUGAUUUCUUUGAGAAAUGCUUAUCAUGGUGGAAGUUCUAAUACUAUUGGACUCACAGCUCUCAACACAUGGAAGUACCCUUUACCACAGGUUUGUUUGACCAUAUAGUGUCUCUAACUUCACCUAUGAGAGUAAAAAUCUAUGCAAUAUAAUUCUAUCUGAUCAUGUGUUUGUAACUUUUGUUAGCCAACUUUGUUAUUAUGCAGGGGGAGAUACAUCAUGUAGUGAAUCCAGAUCCAUACCGUGGAGUAUUUGGUUCUGAUGGUUCUAUGUAUGCUAAAGAUGUCCAAGACCAUAUUGACUAUGGCACUUCUGGCAAAGUGGCUGGAUUUAUUGCAGAGACCAUCCAGGUUUUUUAUUUGUCUAAAAGACGGUGAUGUGCGACUGUGUCAGUACAUCUAUCAGCAAAUCUAAUUCACAUGGAAUCUUAGAAUCAUAUUGCCACGUCAUUAUUACUCAAAAUAUUUGAUACCAUGUACUAAUCUUUACUUAGCAGGCUUAUAAAGACCGUGAUUGGUCCUAAUCUUUCUCUAACUGCUCCGUACAGAACAGAACAAUGGCUUUACAGAGGCAACUGCUCAAGAGAGUCGUAGAUCGAGCUUCAACUUCCUCCCGGAUCCAUUCCCCUGCGAUCACCUUCCUCCGCUCUGAUUACUCCACCUCUUCUCCGCCGCAGCUUCCACCGUUUGAUUACCAGGCGCGGCCGUAUAAUGGUCCUUCCGCAGAUGAAGUCUUCCAGAGACGGAAGAAGUUUCUCGGACCUUCUCGUUUCCAUUUCUACCAAAAGCCUGUACGUGAUUUUGACUGCACAAAUCGAAUAGUUGUAUUGAAAGAAUUAAUAUUUUUUUUUUUGCAUUCUUAUGAUCAAUCUUUAGGGUUCUUCUUGAUCUAUUUGUAUUGCUUGCAGCUUAAUAUCGUGGAAGGGAAGAUGCAGUACUUGUUUGAUGAAACCGGUAGGCGAUAUCUCGACGCCUUUGCUGGAAUAGUCACUGUCUCAUGCGGUCACUGCCAUCCCGACAUACUCAACGCUAUUAAUGAACAAAGCAAGCUUCUUCAGCACGCAACAACCAUAUACCUACAUCACGCCAUUGGCGAUUUCGCUGAAGCGUUAGCUGCCAAGAUGCCUGGAAACCUAAAGGUAAUAUAGUGAGGUUUAUGUUUAUUGCUUUUUGUUGAUGAUAAUCAGAAAGCUUCAUUUUUUUUUUUGAACAAAAAAAAACCAGUAAGCUUCAUUAUUUUUGGAUGCAGGUUGUGUACUUUGUGAAUUCUGGCUCAGAAGCUAAUGAGUUAGCAAUGAUGAUGGCUAGGCUUUACACUGGUAGCCUUGAGAUGAUUUCUUUGAGAAAUGCUUAUCAUGGUGGAAGUUCUAAUACUAUUGGACUCACAGCUCUCAACACAUGGAAGUACCCUUUACCACAGGUUUGUUUGACCAUAUAGUGUCUCUAACUUCACCUAUGAGAGUAAAAAUCUAUGCAAUAUAAUUCUAUCUGAUCAUGUGUUUGUAACUUUUGUUAGCCAACUUUGUUAUUAUGCAGGGGGAGAUACAUCAUGUAGUGAAUCCAGAUCCAUACCGUGGAGUAUUUGGUUCUGAUGGUUCUAUGUAUGCUAAAGAUGUCCAAGACCAUAUUGACUAUGGCACUUCUGGCAAAGUGGCUGGAUUUAUUGCAGAGACCAUCCAGGUUUUUUAUUUGUCUAAAAGAACCAUUAAGUUUAGAACUAUUUUUCUUUUGAGUCAUGUCAUAAUCAUUUAAAAACUUUCAGGGGUUGGAGGAGCUGUAGAAUUAGCUCCUGGUUACCUAAAGUCGGUUUAUGACAUUGUACGCAAAGCUGGUGGUGUAUGCAUCGCUGAUGAAGUCCAAACAGGUUUUGGUAGGACAGGAAGUCACUAUUGGGGUUUUCAGACUCAAGAUGUUGUUCCUGACAUAGUCACAAUGGCUAAGGUUUGUCAGAAUAAGUUUUUUACCAUUUGUUUUCUUCUUUAAUCAUCUUCUACAUUGACUGUUGGUAUCGAUUUUUUCCACAGGGAAUUGGAAAUGGAUUGCCGUUAGGAGCUGUGGUGACUACUCCAGAGAUCGCCAGCGUUUUAGCUACAAAAAUUCAGUUCAACACUUUUGGUGGGAAUCCGGUGUGUUCAGCUGGUGGACUUGCAGUUCUAAACGUUAUUGACAAGGAGAGACGACAAACACACUGUGCUGAAGUUGGUUCACACCUUAUUCAACGUUUGAAAGGUCUUCAGAAAAAACAUGAUAGUAAGCAAACAAACAAUAUUUGAGCUUUUCUUUAAUCAGAUUAUUACUCUGUUUUUUUUUUUUGAACUUAACCGUUUCUGUUUGGUUCAAGUCAUUGGAGAUGUGAGAGGAAGAGGAUUAAUGGUUGGGAUCGAGCUUGUGACUGACCGGCAGGACAAGGCACCAGCCAAGGCUGAAACAGCUGUCUUGUUUGAGCAACUUAGAGGUAAACAAACAUUUAAAGCCAAUGCAUCAAAUUGAGUACAAGAAUCUUACUCUCUCUUACUCUCUAUGAAGAACUUGGCAUACUCGUUGGAAAAGGAGGGCUUCAUGGAAAUGUUUUCAGGAUAAAGCCACCAAUGUGUUUCACCAAAGACGAUGCAGGUAAAUUCAUAUAUACAUAUUCGCUCUAAUGACAAUUUGUUUUUGUUUUCGGUUUCAAACUAGCUAGAUGUACAAUGUAAUUAAUUGUUUUUUGUAUCCACAGAUUUCUUGGUUGAUGCAUUGGACUAUUCCAUCUCCAGGUUGUGAAGAAAUCAAACGAGAGUUUUAAAGGAUCGUGUGAUCUGUUUUAAUGUUCUUUUCCAUCCUUUUAAUGAAGCAAUCCAACUCCAUCUUCCUUUGAUUUGCGAAUAAAUAAAUAUAAUUUCUUGAGUUUGUAUGAAUUAUCUUAUGAUCAUGAGUGUUAUUUAUACACAUAUAGUCCCGAGUUCUUAUAGAAUUUUUUUUACAAAAAUUAACUACUGCAAACGUUAAUGUUAAUAAGUUAUGUUUGACAAAUCUAACAUUUAAAUGUUACUUGUAAAAUUUUUACGUAGGUGACAAAGACAAUAUAUCUUUUUUUGUUUUUUGCUAAAAUAUAUCAUAUUUUUAUCACCAAAAUAGAUUGAUUGCAAGCAUUUUUAGCCAUUCUUCUUUAUAUAGUAAAGUUUUUCCAUUAUAAAAAAAUGUUUCUCACCUUGCAAAACAUCACGUCUCAAAAACAUAACCGCAGACACUAGGUCUUUCAUUUCCUCGUAAGUGAACCAUCACGAUCAUUACCAAAAGAGUUUUCUAAAGUUCAGCAAUCGUGGCGAAGCUAUAUAGAAAGGAAGAGGCGGAGAGAAAGAAGGUAAUGGAGGAAGAAGAGGAAGAAGGCGACACAUUCGAGGAUGCCGUGUCCAACAAGACACCAGCCAGACUCAACACACCUUUGUCGGUAAUAACCGAAGCGUUCGAAAACCUAGCGGAUCUCCUUAAACCGAACAUAUCAACGGAUGUGGACGGUUUGAGUCUUGAUGCUUUCUGCAGUGCAUGCACUCACGUCUCCAUCCACUACAAGAAAACAGCGGUAUUCUGACGGCCAUUCCAACAGAAAAUGAAAUCUUCGCAAUAUCCCGAGUAAUUUCCGAGGAUAUUCCGAGGAAACACAAAAUUUGGGUUCCUCGGAAUUUCCUCGGAAUAUACCGACAGAAUUCCGAGGAAAUAUCAAUCCGUCGGAAUAUUUUUAUGGAAUACCGAGGAAAAAUGUAUUCCUCGGAAAAACCGAUGAAUUCCGAGGAUAUAUUAUAGCCGUUAGAGAGCCGUUGGGGUAUUUUAAAAAUUCCGAGGAAAUUCCGACGAACUAGCCGUUGGCGUCGGAAUUCCGUCGGAAUUUCCUCGGUCUGUCGGCAGGAUUUCAACUAUAAAUACAAGCACCCCUCUUGCUCUUCAUUCACUCCAUAUCUUCAUCCUCCCUCUUACUCUCUUUACACACGAAUUUGAUUCAUAAAAAACAUGUCUUCUUCAAAUUAUUUUCGUUCUUGGAUCGAUCGACCUCAUUUGGAUCCGAACACGAGAUUGCUUACGGAAGAAUACCAACGAGGUAUAACCGAAUUCAUGGGGUUAGUUCACCGACAACCGGAAGCAAAAACAGGUAUGUUAAGAUGUCCUUGCUCUAAUUGUAAAAAUAGAAAGGUUAUUAAAGAGUGGGAUGUUUGGACUCAUCUAUAUUUGAGUGGGUUUACACGAAGUUACAAAAUUUGGUAUCAUCAUGGGGAAACUGAUUAUGAACAUGGUAGUACUAGCGAACCUCAGCCAGCGGUUAGAUUAGAAGAACCAAUUAGAACGGAUGUAGAUUAUGGUGUAGGUACUGAGCAGAUGGUAAAUGAUCAUUUUAGAGGGGAAGAUUUACCCAAUGCAUAUGGUAUGUUGUCUGGAUGGACAACGCAUGGAAGGCUAUCAUGUCCAUAUUGUCAAGAUAAUACUGAUGCUUUCCAACUAAAACAUGGAAGGAAAACGUGUUGGUUUGACUGUCACAGGAGAUUCCUACCACCUGAUCAUCCAUAUCGUAGGAGUAGGAAUUUGUUUACGAAGAACAAGAGGGUGUUUGACAGUCCACCUCUGGAAAUUCGUGGGAAAUAUUUGAAGACACAACUAAGAGAUUUUGGUGCAGAAAGGACACCAGACGUCGGUGGACAUGAGCGUUUUUCGGUAGAUGCUGUUGGAGACCUACAUAACUGGCACAAAAAAGUAUUUUCUGGGAUCUGCCAUACUGGGAGGAUCAUCUGCUAAGGCAUAAUUUAGAUGUCAUGCAUAUUGAGAAGAACUUUUUUGACAAUCUCAUGAACACGAUCCUUAAUGUUCAAGGUAAAACAAAGGAUAAUUUGAAGUCAAGACUGGAUUUAGUUGAUAUAUGUGCUCGUUCAGAACUUCAUGUUGAUGAGAAUGGUUGGGCUCCUUUUCCCAUAUACCGACUUGAUGCAGAGGGAAAAGAUGCGUUCUUUGAUUGGAUUUCAAACGAUGUGGAAUUUCCAGACGGUUACGCAUCAAAUUUGCGUAACUGUAUCGACAGAAAGGAAGGAAAGUUUACUGGCUUGAAAAGCCACGAUUGCCAUGUAAUGAUGCAGCGCCUCCUUCCGUUCGCCUUCAAGGAACUAUUACCACGAAAUGUUCAUGAAGCAAUUGCAGGGAUAAGUGGUUUCUUCCGCGAUUUAUGCACGAGAUCAGUGACUCUUGAAGGUAUUGAAAAUUUGAAGACUAACAUAGCCGUGAUUCAGUGCAACCUUGAGAAGAUAUUUCCUCCCUCAUUUUUUGAUGUUAUGGAGCAUCUUGUUAUUCACCUGGCAAGAGAAUUGGAACUUGGUGGUCCUGUGCAGUAUAGAUGGAUGUAUCUGUAUGAGCGGUAUAUGUUCCAUUUGAAGAAGAUGGUGAAAAAUUUAAGUAGGGUGGAAGGUUCUAUAGUUGCACAGAUGAUCAAUGAAGUAUUUUCAAACUUUGCCGAGUACUACUUUCCAGCAGAAGUUCAGACCAAAAACAGAAGACCUGCUCGGCAUGAUGAUAGAGGCGAACGGGCAACAUAUCAUGUUACGGUUCCAGACAUUUUCACAGACGUUGGACGACUUAGCGGAAAACCAAAGGACCGUCGACUUACUGAGCAGGAGCGCAGUCAUUUGCAAACAUAUUUGCUCACCAACUGCGAAGACGUUCUUCAAUAUGAGAGGUAAAUAAAUGAGCUUACAAAUUUUUAUUUUAACAAGUUGAAAUUUAAAUCUUAAUUAAUUACAUUAUUGUCAUCAUAUACAGGAUUUUCAUGGCAGAAAAGCGGUUCGAGUAUAGAUACGCCACAGAGGACGAACUAGAAGAAAUGAAGCAGAGAGAAUUUACUGGAUGGAUGUUUACUUAUGUGAGUGCUUUAAACAAAUUAAAAUAUAUUUUAUCACAUAUUUAUACUAAUUCACAUUUAUUGAUAUAAUAUAUAUAUAUGUGCUAUUAAUAGGUGUCUGCUGGUUUGGCCAGAGGUGAAACAUUUGACGAUUGGAUACGUGAGAUGGUCGUUGGACCAAACUUUGUUGUGAAGUCAUAUCCGAGAUUUUGUACUCGAGGAUAUGCAUUCACAACUCAGAAGAGGAGACGUUCGAGUACGACUUAUGAUGCUGGCGUUUGUUCUGCAUCAGGAGAUGAUGUAUACUACGGACACAUACAUGAGAUUUUGGAAAUCAAGUAUUUGGGCAUGGUUGGAUUGCGCUGUACUGUUUUCUAUUGUGAUUGGCACGACAACACUCCAGAUCGAGGUGUGAGAACAGAUGCAUUUGGUGUUACAUCAGUAAAUUCGAGGCGAAAGCUGCAAUAUUAUGAUCCUUUCAUUCUUGCUUCUCAGGCCGAUCAGGUAAUUAAAUGUUAAUUAUUCAGAAUGAUUCAUCAUCAUGUGUAUUAAUUUAUAAUUUUUCUAAAUGUUACAGGUUUGUUAUAUCAAGUACCCCCGGGUAAGGAACAGAGAUGAUCCAUGGGUUACUGUUACAAGACUCAACCCGAGAGGCCGAGUUCAGGGAAGUUCUGAGCUGGAAGACCCACUACAACCAAGCACAUCCGGCAACUUAAGUGCAGCAGAAGAUUUAGGUGGAGUUGGCCUUGUAGUCGAUUUAACCGACUUCGGAGAGGAAGCCGUCGUUCACGUAGAGGAUGAACCAGUGAUUGGAGAGUUUCACCAAGAUCCAGAUUCAGAUUCAUCUGGUGAUGAUGACUCGGAAACAGACUAGCAUCGACUUUUUUUUUUUUUAAUAGAAAUACCGAGGAAAUUCCGAAGGAAGAUAGGUUUUCCUCGGAAUUUUUCCGAGGAACUAGGGGUUUUUAACCGAAAACAACGUUUUGCGGAUUGAAUAACACGUAUAUAACCUUCAUAAAGUGUCUUAACCAGAUUAUGAAGUCAAACUUUGGUGUUUUACCCAAUAACAAACACUUUUACGAUUGCAUGAACGAAAACCACACAACAUAAGAGAAACACUUAUACACUUUAAUAAACGGUAAAAGGAAUACUUACAAUUCUUUUUGAAAUUUUGUUAUUUCAUGGUUUAUGAUCAUCUAUACAAAGAAUCCUCAAUGGUAUGCAUUACAAUUGUAUAAGAAAUGAAAUACGGCAAAAAAAAUCGAUGUUUUGAAACCCCAAACACUAGUUCCUCGGAAUUUCCUCGGAAUAUUCCGACGGAAUUCCGAGGAAGAUAAGGGUUUCCUCGGAAUUCCCUCGGAAUAUUCUGAGGAAAUUCCGAGGAACUAGGGUUUUUUAACCAAAAACAACGUUUUGCGGAUUGAAUACCACGUAUAUAACCUUCAAUAAGUGUCUUAACCAGAUUAUGAAGUCAAACUUUGGUGUUUUACCCAAUAACAAACACUUUUACGAUUGCAUGAACGAAAACCACACAACAUAAGAGAAACACUUAUACACUUUAAUAAACGGUAAAGGGAAUACUUACAAUUAUUUUUGAAAUUUUGUUAUUUCAUGGUUUAUGAUCAUCUAUACAAAGAAUCCUCAAUGGUAUGCAUUACAAUUGUAUAAGAAAUGAAAUACGGCAAAAAAAAUCGAUGUUUUGAAACCCCAAACACUAGUUCCUCGGAAUUUCCUCGGAAUAUUCCGACGGAAUUCCGAGGAAGAUAAGGGUUUCCUCGGAAUUCCCUCGGAAUAUUCCGAGGAAAUUUCGAGGAACUAGGGGUUUUUAACCGAAAACAACGUUUUGCGGAUUGAAUAACACGUAUAUAACAUUCAUUAAGUGUCUUAACCAGAUUAUGAAGUCAAACUUUGGUGUUUUACCCAAUAACAAACACUUUUACGAUUGCAUGAACGAAAACCACACAACAUAAGAGAAACACUUACACACUUUAAUAAACGGUAAAAGGAAUACCUACAAUUAUUUUUGAAAUUUUGUUAUUUCAUGGUUUAUGAUCAUCUAUACAAAGAAUCCUCAAUGGUAUGCAUUACAAUUGUAUAAGAAAUGAAAUACGGCAAAAAAAAAAUCGAUGUUUUGAAACCACAAACCCUUUUUCCUCGGAAUUUCCUCGGAAUAUUCCGACGGAAUUCCGAGGAAGAUAAGGGUUUUUCACCGGGUAAACCAAGCCGCCAAAUAUUUCGCGAAAAUUGAAUUAAUGAUUUCCGAGGAAAUUCCGACGGAAAUAUUUAAUUAGUCUGAGGAAAUUCCGAUGGACAUUUUCCAUCGGACGCCUCAUUUUAUUAGGUCGAACCAGAUCUUCUUCCCCAUUUGUCUCUUCCUCUCUCUCGCGAACUCUCUCUCGCCGACCGCUCUCUCUCUCCCGCUCUCUCUCUCUCGCCGACCGCUCUCUCCCUCUCGCGAUUCUCUCUCGCGAUCCUUCCUCAAUUUCAGUCACACAACAUGUAUGAACCCUAUCCCACAAACCCUAGAUUUGUUAGGUUUUUAAGUAGAUUUGAUGAUUAUGGAAUGAUAUUUAUAGAUUUUUGUUAGGGUGAAUGGUAGGAUUGUGUAAAAUCGAGUUUGAUUAUGGUUUCACUUGAUUUGGAAUUUUUUUUUAGUUUUUAUUAAUUUUGUGGUUAUAAAAAUCUAAUUGAUAAUUAUGUAUAUAUAAUAUUAAAACGUUUUUUGUAUAUAAAAUCUAUUUUUUAUUAUUAAAACUAUUUUUUAUAAUUAUUAAACUAUUUUUUAUUUAUUAAAACUAUUUUUUGUAAUUAUUAAACAUUUUUAAUAUUAUUAAAACGGUUUUUUGUAAUUAUUAAACUAUUUUUUAUUUAUUAAAACUAUUUUUUGUAAUUACUAAACAUUUUAAAUAUUAUUAAAACUAUUUUUUGUAAUUAUUAAACUAUUUUUUAUUUAUUAAAAACUAUUUUUUGUAAUUAUUAAACUAUUUUUUAUUUAUUAAAACUAUUUUUUGUAAUUAUUAAACUAUUUUUUAUUUAUUAAAAACUACUUUUUUAAACAUCAACGACCUUGAGAGACCUCACUCUGUUGUUAUAAAGGAGUUGACUUCUUUUUGGGAGAUGCUGGGAGUUCAUGUCGAAGUUGGGCCAUCUACUCAGGAGAUAGUAGCAGCACUUGAGAGAUGCGAAGGGUGGUCUCGGGAUGAUCGCAAGCGGCUCGCGUACCUUGCCAUCUUCACUGGAUACAUUGAAGGGAGAAAGUGAUACGCCCUAAAUUAGGGAAGGAUCACUCAAUCGAACUUAAGGGAUAUGAACUCGCCAAAAGGGAGAACUGAUGGAUUGAAUGGUGACACAAUGGGUUGCGGAUGGCCCAAUGAUACUACCAGACUUCAGUUGGUGCUUGAUAUGACUCACAAGUCCACCAAAAGAAGGAUUUCUAAACGUUGCCUGAUAUGACGCACAGGUCCAACGAAUUAGAGGUUGUUUACUCGGAGAUAACCUCACCAAGAAACAAAGAAGUGUUCUACAAAGAACAAAUAGAUAAACUCAAAUAAAAGGGGAAAAAGCUUAUCUUAUUUCGUGGCUCUUAGGCCCUAUAUAUAGGAUUACAAGUUGUAGAAAUCCAAAGAAGAAUGUGCUAAAAACAAGACAUGGAAACUAGAAAUGAAGACUUUGACUAAAGACCGAAAUUAAUGAUUUUUGUUGAAUUCUUUUUCCCAUGCACGACCAAGACUUCCUUGCUGACUCCCUCUUGGCAUUCUUGAUGAGAAUGGGCUUGAAAUGGACUGAGGAAAGGUCUGGUCGAAUUUGGUGUAAAACCGACCCAAAUUGAAUUUGUUAUGAAUUUUUCUUUGGGCUGAAAAAACUCAUUUUGCCCAGCAACUAAACCAGCUCCAUCUUCAGUGUCACUUAGCUCAUUCAGCUCCAAGCUAGUAUCACUUAGCUCACUCAGCUCAUCUAGCUCAUCUACUAUCACUUCAGCUGGUUUCAGCUCAAGCAUACUCUCUUCAGCUGGUUCCAGCUCGUCCUCAGUCUCNNNNNNNNNNNNNNNNNNNNNNNNNNNNNNNNNNNNNNNNNNNNNNNNNNNNNNNNNNNNNNNNNNNNNNNNNNNNNNNNNNNNNNNNNNNNNNNNNNNNNNNNNNNNNNNNNNNNNNNNNNNNNNNNNNNNNNNNNNNNNNNNNNNNNNNNNNNNNNNNNNNNNNNNNNNNNNNNNNNNNNNNNNNNNNNNNNNNNNNNNNNNNNNNNNNNNNNNNNNNNNNNNNNNNNNNNNNNNNNNNNNNNNNNNNNNNNNNNNNNNNNNNNNNNNNNNNNNNNNNNNNNNNNNNNNNNNNNNNNNNNNNNNNNNNNNNNNNNNNNNNNNNNNNNNNNNNNNNNNNNNNNNNNNNNNNNNNNNNNNNNNNNNNNNNNNNNNNNNNNNNNNNNNNNNNNNNNNNNNNNNNNNNNNNNNNNNNNNNNNNNNNNNNNNNNNNNNNNNNNNNNNNNNNNNNNNNNNNNNNNNNNNNNNNNNNNNNNNNNNNNNNNNNNNNNNNNNNNNNNNNNNNNNNNNNNNNNNNNNNNNNNNNNNNNNNNNNNNNNNNNNNNNNNNNNNNNNNNNNNNNNCUGGAAGACUUUCCAGACGACUUAAUUAUAAGUCAUCUGCGAAGUCUUUUCUUUCCAUCUUUCUUAAUCCGUCAAAUAUCUAAGUUCAUAUCUUCUAUUUACUGCAGACUAGGGUGAUCAACUUUGUUCAGAAGGACAUUGAUCAAAUGUUUCCAAAAUGAAAGUUUGAUGUUGAGGACACGCCCGCGGAGAACAUAAUUAAACUCAUGUUUGUGAAGAAACCGUGGAAGUGGACCAUGGAUUGCGGGGAAGUCACCGGUACUUGGAUCAAUACAAAGCAUGCGGUUUUGAGUCUAGCGAAGAAAAAUGUAGUGAAGGAAAACAGUCCAAGACCUCGGAAGAAAGCUCGUAAAGAGGCACCUGCAGAAGAUAGUGAAUAGGCAGCUGCAGAGGCUAGUGAAGAGGCAGCUGCAGAGGCUAGUGAAGAGGUGACUAUGACUGUUGGUGGGUUGACCAAAGAGAAUAUUAAAACCAUGUUCAAGGACAUAGCUGAUGCCAUGAGGGAAGGGUUUGGGACGUGCCUUAAGGAGAUCAAGUAUCUGUCGAAAAGGGUGGAAGCUGUGGAGAAGAAGGUUGGUAUCACCACAAAACGGAAAGGGACAUCAUCUCAAAACACUACCUCUCCACCUAAACCGACGCUCGAACCCGGGGUUAGUAACNNNNNNNNNNNNNNNNNNNNNNNNNNNNNNNNNNNNNNNNNNNNNNNNNNNNNNNNNNNNNNNNNNNNNNNNNNNNNNNNNNNNNNNNNNNNNNNNNNNNNNNNNNNNNNNNNNNNNNNNNNNNNNNNNNNNNNNNNNNNNNNNNNNNNNNNNNNNNNNNNNNNNNNNNNNNNNNNNNNNNNNNNNNNNNNNNNNNNNNNNNNNNNNNNNNNNNNNNNNNNNNNNNNNNNNNNNNNNNNNNNNNNNNNNNNNNNNNNNNNNNNNNNNNNNNNNNNNNNNNNNNNNNNNNNNNNNNNNNNNNNNNNNNNNNNNNNNNNNNNNNNNNNNNNNNNNNNNNNNNNNNNNNNNNNNNNNNNNNNNNNNNNNNNNNNNNNNNNNNNNNNNNNNNNNNNNNNNNNNNNNNNNNNNNNNNNNNNNNNNNNNNNNNNNNNNNNNNNNNNNNNNNNNNNNNNNNNNNNNNNNNNNNNNNNNNNNNNNNNNNNNNNNNNNNNNNNNNNNNNNNNNNNNNNNNNNNNNNNNNNNNNNNNNNNNNNNNNNNNNNNNNNNNNNNNNNNNNNNNNNNNNNNNNNNNNNNNNNNNNNNNNNNNNNNNNNNNNNNNNNNNNNNNNNNNNNNNNNNNNNNNNNNNNNNNNNNNNNNNNNNNNNNNNNNNNNNNNNNNNNNNNNNNNNNNNNNNNNNNNNNNNNNNNNNNNNNNNNNNNNNNNNNNNNNNNNNNNNNNNNNNNNNNNNNNNNNNNNNNNNNNNNNNNNNNNNNNNNNNNNNNNNNNNNNNNNNNNNNNNNNNNNNNNNNNNNNNNNNNNNNNNNNNNNNNNNNNNNNNNNNNNNNNNNNNNNNNNNNNNNNNNNNNNNNNNNNNNNNNNNNNNNNNNNNNNNNNNNNNNNNNNNNNNNNNNNNNNNNNNNNNNNNNNNNNNNNNNNNNNNNNNNNNNNNNNNNNNNNNNNNNNNNNNNNNNNNNNNNNNNNNNNNNNNNNNNNNNNNNNNNNNNNNNNNNNNNNNNNNNNNNNNNNNNNNNNNNNNNNNNNNNNNNNNNNNNNNNNNNNNNNNNNNNNNNNNNNNNNNNNNNNNNNNNNNNNNNNNNNNNNNNNNNNNNNNNNNNNNNNNNNNNNNNNNNNNNNNNNNNNNNNNNNNNNNNNNNNNNNNNNNNNNNNNNNNNNNNNNNNNNNNNNNNNNNGACUUACAUUGUGGUUUCGUAUGGCCAGUUUCCUUGCAUUUUGAGCAUCUAUAAGCCCUGUGUUGCUUCCGGGGUUUGCGUCCUCUCAUCCUGGAUAGCUCCAACCAAGAUUUCCAUCUUGAUUUCUUAUGUCUUCCCGGACCACGUUUUACUUCCAGAGGAAAGCAUGUGUGUUCCUCAACUUGUUGUCCAACACAAGGAUAUAUAUUCUCUGAGUAUCCUGCAAACAGAAAAUCCUUUGAGUACAUUGGACAUACAAGUGUGGAGAUAUGCAAACCAACAGAUGUUCCAGCAGCUAUAGCAUGAGAGCAAGGUAUUUUCUCCACUGUAUAGACACCACAAUCACACUUUCCAUGUUCCAAAUCAACCACACAGUCCAUUUUCCCACCUUUCACAAAGAAUCGCCAUCCAUCAAUUGGUUGUACCGUCAUCGUAUCCGCUAUCUCCGAUCGAACAACAAGCAAGUAUUCAACACCUCGACUAUGUUGAGUUGGGAGACUCAAAGCAUCUUCUCUCCUUUUCCAAAACCACUUUCCUAGCUUCUCCCUUAUGAACUCCAACAGGAACUGAACCGGAAAUCCUCUAGCUCGCUUCAGAGCGGAAUUAAUAGAUUCAGCGAUGUUGCUUGUCUUUAUGUUGUACCUGUCCCCCUGACAAUAAACCCUUGACCAUAGGCUGACGUCGGCAUUCUCCAAAUACGUUGCAAGGUCCGGGUUUGCACUCCGUAUCUCAGCCAUGUACCGGUCAAAAUCUGAAACCGUAUGAGCAUAAGCAGCACCUUUCACCAAGUACAAGAGAUGUUUCCCUUUAUACUUUUUGACAAUGUUAUCUUGAAGGUGAUAAUAACAUAUUGCUCAGGUUGCCCAAGUAAACACCUUAUCACACGCACUUUUAAUGGCUGCGUGCCGGUCGGAGACUAUCACCAGAGGCUGCUCAUCAGAUACACAACUAGCCAAUUUUGUGAAAAACCAUUCCCAAGAAGGUUCAUCUUCAGCAUCUACGAUCCCAAAAGCCAAUGGAAAUAUCUGAAAAUUCCCAUCUUGUGCGGCUGCAACUAACAUAACACCUCCAUAUUUCCCACUUAGGUGAGUCCCAUCCACCACAAUGACCCUUCUCUGAUACUUAAAACCUUUGAUAGAAGCUCCAAAAGAGAGAAAUAGAUACUUAAAUCUAUUGAUAGAAUCAAGUUCUAUAGCCGUGAUAGAAUCGGGAUUUGCUAAGGAGAUUUGCUCGAGAUAUGAUGGCAGACGCGAAUACCCAUCUUCUGCUGAUCCUCUCACCAAUGUUUGUGCAUAUAAAAGUGCUCUGUAUGAAGUGGUGUAAUCAAGCGUCAUGCCAAACAUGUUCUUCAUUGCAUCAGUGAUAUGCUGCGGAUUCAACCCAUCAAUGAUUCCAACACGAUCAAUGAAAAGCCUACCAACAUACUUCGGAGUACAGUGUCUCCGCUGAGCGAGUCGGUCUCCCGCUGAGCAUGUAUGUUUUUCCACAUACUUUGUUACCCAAAACGUGUUUGUCCCAUGUUUCACACUCGCUCUGACCUUCCAUUGACAACCACUAACCGGACAUGUUGUCACAAGGAGAGUUUUCGUUGACUUGUAUAUUCUGAAGGAGAACUUAAACCUCACUGCUGUCAACCGCAGCUCUGAAAGCAGUGCAUCCUUGCUAACAAAACUCUGGUUGACAUAGAUACUGUUACCAUUCGAUCUUCCUCCUUCAAUCUUUUCGAUAUCUUCAAAACACAUAUCAUCAUCUUCCUCAUCCUCAUCUUCAACCUUUCCAUAAACACUGUAAUCCUCACCAUUCUCGUCCGCUUCAGCAACAAUAGAGAUACCAGCAUCCUCCUCCCCAUCGUCCUCCUCCCCAUCAUGAUUUUCAUCUUCAACCAAAUCAUCAUCAUCAUCUUCAAAACAUUCAUCAGCUUCAUCAGCUUCAUCAUCUUCCCUGAACUCUGAAACCGUUUCCACCUUGCUACGGCUUGAUACACAAAGCCGUACUCCAUGCGUUUUGGUUAUCUCGAGCAAGUUUCGAACUUGUCUAUCACUUGUAACAUGAAUAGGAGGGGUGUCUGGAGCCUGCAUCAUUUCUGCUGGUAAUGAGUAGGUUAUCUCCACAGAUUAUGUGCUCAUGUCCAGGUUAUAAUCUUCUUGAGCCAUUGCAAGAAGUUCAGCAUGUGUCGAACCUUCCCCCCAAAAAAUGAUUCUCGCUCCUUUGACAUUAUCAACCACAAAAUCCCAACGGCAAUCAUUCAACAACCAUUCUCCAUACACUGCAUGUAACUGACGCAUCAUCUACAAAAAUUCAAAAUAAAACACAUUAGUAAACAUAGAGAAAAUGAAAGUUUACUAAACAUUGACGCAGACGACAUACCAGUAAGUCGUCUGGAAGACUUACCAGUAAGUCGUCCAAACAGGUCAUUUUUGCAAUUGAAUUUUAAAUAGGACGACUUACAAGUAAGUCGUCCAGCUUUGUUUGUUAAAAAAAAAACCUAGACGACUUACCAGUAAGUCGUCUAGGAUAAAUGGGUUAGUUUUGCAUUUGACCGAAUUGUAUCAGAUAUUUGACUUUUCCUGGACGACUUACCAGUAAGUCGUCUCAGGGAAAACAAAAAUUUCAAUAUUUUAUUAAAGCUAGACGACUUAUUUGUAAGUCUUCUCAGGUUAGUUUGCAAUUCGAAAAAGAAACUUAUAUAUUUAACUUUACCCAGACGACUUACUUGAAAGUCGUCCAGGUAGACGACGUACAAGAAAGUCGUCCGAGAUAAGCAAGGUUUGACCAUAAUCUAGGAAUUAAAUCUGGACGACUUUGCUUAUCCUGGACGACUUUCAAGUAAGUCAUCUUACUUGACGACUUCCGCGUAAGUCGCCUGAGAAAAGUUAAAUAUUUAUGUUUUAUUUUCCAAUUGCAAAAGUAACCUGAGACGACUUACAGAUAAGUCGUCCAGAUUUAAUAAAAUAUUGAAAUUUUUGUUUUCCCGGAGAAGACUUACUGGUAAGUCGUCCAGGAAUAGUCAAAUAUCUGACACAAUUCGGUCAAAUGCAAAACUAACUCAUUUAUCCUAGACGACUUAUCAGUAAGUCGUCUAGGGUAUUCUCUAGUUUUUUUUUUAACAAACAAAGAUGACGACUUAAAAGUAAGUCGUCCGUUUGACCAGAAGACCUACCCGUAAGUCUUCUACAGCCAGACUACUUACGGGUAAGUCUUCUACACAAACAGAUCUGGAAAAAAUUUCAGUUUCAUACCUUAAACUAGUGAGAUGACUUCCUUAGCACACAGAGUCUUCUCCAACCACCCACAAUCUCAAACGAAAGUAACCCACCAAGAAUAGUAUGCUUGAAUGGCUCUAUAAACCAUAAAAAAAUUUGAAUCAAAAGCUUGAGUUUUUUGGAUGAAUAUGGAGGCAAAGUGAAAGAGAUGUUGUUUUUAGUUCAUAACAAGUGAGAAAGAGAGAGUGUAAAUCGAUUUUAGGUGCAUUAAGAGCUUCAAAUUGGUUGUUCAUGGUGGUUGGGGUAUUGAUGAUAAUGGCAAUCUUGUAAUUACUUGAAGAUGAUGAGGGUGAGAGAGUAAAAAUGUCAUUUUCGGAAAAAAAAAUAAAAAAAAUGUGAUGGCAUUUUCGUGAAUAUCAUGAACUUGUGGGGUGAAUAGGACAAAAGAAAAUUCCAAGAAAAACAUGGAUUAGUUUUAGGUUUGAAUUUCAGUUUUGAGUCAAUCUUGCAAAAAUCCCAUCUUAUUAUUAAUAUUAUAUUUAUCGUCCUUGUAAAAAAGCCCAUCUUACUAUUAAUAUUAUAUUUAUCGUCCUUGUAAAUUAAAACUGGAGCUUUUGUCUGAAGGCCAAAGAAAACAAGAGUUUGUCAGCUUUAUGUUAUACGUUGAGUAAAUGAAAACGAAAUAGAGCAACGAAGAGAUCAUCUUCCUUUUUCUACUUUUGAUUACUAUCAGUUUCUUGUUUGUUAACAAAUUACGUUCCGCGCCUUGUCACGUAUGCAGAAAGCGGAUCAAUGAAUAUACGUUGGCCAGUUAUGUUAUACAACACUUUAAAAGACACUAUUUUGUUUGAUAUUAACUUUUCUUGUGGACAAAUGAUUAGCAUCGAAGUCUGGGUGGUGUAGUCGGUUAUCACGCUAGUCUCACACACUAGAGGUCCCCGGUUCGAACCCGGGCUCAGACAUAAUUUUUCAUUUUUAUUUUUAAGUUACCCUUAUAGGAUUCUACUCUUGCUGGUUCCAUUAUCCACAAUGAACGUUAGAUUAAAGAAUAUUGAUUGAGAUGUCAAGAAUAAUAGAAAAAAGAAGAGAUUAGUUUUAUGCAUUGGCCUUUAGAGAGAGGUAUGAGACAAGUUGUCCCUUAAUCACUUGUUAUUGGCUCCAAACUAGUUAAUCUUCAAAUUUAUUAUGGAUUAACGCAUAUAUAAGUUCUUGGUGAUACAUAUUAAUGAGUGAAUUAUGAUAGUGAUGUAUUUCGGGAGUGGGCUGGCAAGUAUUGGCCAUUAGCAAAUAUACAUAAAUUUGAAAACCCACAUGAACCAAUAACUAAAGUCGGUCCACCAUUUCUAAGUCUUUAAUUAAAACUAAUUGAUUAGCCUUAAUUUAAAUAAAUUGAAUGAGUCGGUCAAUUACAGCCAAAUGUAGAAAUAAUUAUGAAAUCCCAAAAGUUAUGUUGGUGAAUAUAGGUGCAUGUGCCCCCCUUCCUUAAAGCAUCUCAACUUUAGUUUUCCAUUACAAUAGCUUGGUGCUUAUUCUAAGCGUUUGGUGCUAAUUAUAUUUAAUUACCAUAAAGAUAAUUAUAAUUAGCAUUCCCUUAUUAGCAUUUAGCACUAGCAUGGACUUUAAUAUAUUAUCAUCAAUUCAUCACUAUCACCAAUUCACCAUGAUGUUCCUAGGUCCCCUAUAUACAUGUGGUUGUGUGUAUAUAUGUGAAUCUAUAUACUAUUGGAGAAUACUUAUCAAUAAAUUUUUCCAUGGUCAAGUGUUAUUGUGUUACUAUUAAGUACCUUUGGUGUCAAGGUUUCUACGUAUUUUCCGUAAAUAUAGAAGUUAACGAGGUACCGGUACUUCAAUAAUUAUAAACAAUCUAAUAAGUCAAAAUCAUAUUUGAUUGAUGAGUAGAUAAUCUAAGUAGUCAAAAUAUAGGUGGAGACUGGAGAUUAGUGGCCAACUAGUCGAACUCCAGUUAUUAUUCCUUUAUGUGAAAUUUGACUUGUUUAAAAGAUAAGAGAAAAAGAUGUUAUAUACUGUUCGAACAAUUUCUAAACACAUGUGCUUUGUAAAGGAUAUCACGAACACAUAACAUGCGUACACAUUUACAUCAAAUUAGAUGUAGACAUGCACGUUUUAUGUUUCUGCUUUAACAUACAAACGAUAUAUACGAACGAUAUUAUCUUUUUUAAAAAGAUCCAUAUUAAUGUGAUAACCAUGUUACAUUUGCAACAACAACAAAAAAGUUUCGUCAAAAAAAAAAAAUUUGAUUUAAUUUAUAGGGUAUACACCUAUACGUGCACAUGAUCUAAUUUAUAUUCACAUAAUUUUAUAUAUAUACUACAUCCGAUUAUAAGACAUGAUAUAUGUAGUCAAUUACGAAGCUGCCACAUAAUACGAUGUAUAUUUUUCUAAAAUAUGUAACCGUAACGUUAUUUUUUUUGUUUAUAAAAAUCUAUGCAUGGUAUCUGAUUCGAGGGUAUCCCUCCGUUUUAAUUUACUUAUUGUUGUAGAAUAAAAUUUUCGUUUCAAAAUAAGUAUCGUUUUAUAAUUUCAAUGCAAAAUUUAAUGAUUCUGUAUUUCAAUAUAUUUUUUUAUUGAUUGAUAUGUGAUUAGGUGUAUUGGUAACGAUGUUUUUAUCUAGUAAAUAUAUAAAAUUAAUUAUUUUUUUAAUUUGUGUGCUCAAAUCUAAAACGACAAUUAUGAUGAAACGGAUGGAGUAUUAGUUAUGCAUUAAUUGUUAUCAUUCUACGUCUUUUAACUCACACCUUGUUAUUAUUGAAUGUAGAAAUAAUUUACGUUCCCAGGGGAGAGAAAGAUAAUGUUUUUAUUUGCACGUUGCAGAAGUUGAUGUUAUAAUCAAAUUUAUUGCUACGUACCUAAUACAUAAAGCAAGUAUACAUGAGUAAAUUGAACCACAUCAGAUACGUUGUGCAAGCAUUUAUACAGAAACUAGUUUCUCACCAAUCAUAUUAAUUUCUGAAACCGCUAUUUCAGUUAAACUAUUCCAUCGCUUCGUCAAUUUGUUGAUAAAAUAAUCAUCAGUCCACAGUUUUAUUGAUCGACCUAUGGGCUGUGUCUAAUGCCAUUCAUCUAAUAAUCUACGAGCCGCCCACAAAGUAAAAGCUACGCCACUCAUAUGUUGAUAGUAUUUUCCUAAAACUGAUAUAUUAUUAUAUUUGGAGAUCAGCAUAUCUUGGAAGCAUAUGGUUACCUGAUUAUAAAAUUUCACAACGAUAAUAACUUUGGAUGUAAUGUAGAAAUAUUUAUAACUUAUUAAUCGGUUAUAAGAUGGAAACUCACUAAUCUGAACAAUAUACUAAUUUAUAUAGUUUUGCUCGAUUAAUUAUUUCAGAUUACUUAGGGAAGAAUGCAAAAAUUAGUGAUAUUUAUAUAUGGCGAAGAUGAAUAUAAUGGACCAUAACUUUUAACUUAUGUCACUAAGAUAAGAGCCGCCCUUAAAGCGAAAGCCACAUAUUAGAUGACAAUUCCUUCUAGUUAAUUAGUUUUAAUGAAAACUAACUAUAUAUAAAAUAAGGGGUAACGAAGUCUUAUAAACCUUCUAUAAAUAGGCACUCUUCAACGAAACUCAGCAUUCACUUGAAAACUCUCAAACUACAUAGCAUUCUUACAAUUAUUCAUUUCGUUAAUAAACACUAAAAGAGAAAAUGUCAUCCAUAGGAGCAAGUUACGCACCAUUAUAUCUUAUGCAGAAGCAGCUCAAGGAGAAGAAGAUGAUAAAGAGAGAAAAGGAGAGAGCAGAUAAAGCCCAAAGUCUCGCUGUCGGUGAAAUCUCUUUGGACACAGGAAGGAAGUCUAACAAAAUCUACCCUUCCCGCUCAUCUUACAGUGAACACGUAGAGAGACCAAAUCACAAGAGUAAAAUCUAAAGUAAGGAAGAGGACUGAUUCAGACAUAUCUCCAUGUAACUUGUCUUUGUAUGUAACAUGUUUAUAUAUGUGUGUAUAUGUGUAUAUUGGGAUGGGUCUAAAACAUAUCUUGGUGUUUAUAUAUAUGUGAGUUACUUGGUGUCCCCUUGUCUGAGUGUUAAGAGGUUGUUGUAUGCAAGAUGUAUAUGUUAAUGGAUCUGUAAUUUUACUUGACGAUUAAUAGUAUUGGCUUUUCAGUACUUAUUUAUUGAACCAACAAUAGUUCAAAGCUCCAUAGAAGAAAAGAAAAAAAAAAGGAGAUGGAGAGCAAAGAGGGUCCAGCACAAUAAGUUCCAAGCAAAAGUCUAGUAAAAAAACAUAAAGUCUUCUCCUGCGUUCUAACACUAGAUAAUAGCCAAACCAAGUCCUCAACUUUUGUCCGCACUGAGCUAAAUUCCCUAAGAAGCCUGCUACGAAAACAAUGACAUGAAAUCACCACAAGAAGCAACCAAGAUCACUUCUUGUUAUUAGCCGCAAGUUUAGCUGCAACCUGGUCAUCUGACAAGGGCAAGUAAUAUAUCCUGGGGAUAGCUUUUGUCUUCUUGAAAAGAUCAUCCAGAGUGACUAUGGGAGCCUCUUGUUCCUCAGCAACUAGAGGAGGUGGAGGAGGAAGACGUUCAAUGACUGGAGGUGCUUUUGCCAAAGGCGGUGGUGGUGGCAAAGUAGUUGCUGGUGGGCGAGAAGGAGCCUGAGCCUGUGGCUGAGGCUUAGCCUGAGGAGGAGGAGGAGGUUCCAGUUUCGCCUUCACUUCUUCUGAUCCAACAAAUUCAGCUGUCAGAAGGCGGCCUCCGUUGGUAGGCCACUGGAGGUUAUACACUGCAUCUCUUGUUGCUGCCGCUUCUUCAACUGAAGAAUACUGCAUUCACACCACGACAACAAUCAGUUACAAGACAUUAUUUUCGUAAAACGAAAAGAUUGAAGAAGCGGUCUUACAGAUACAUAGCAGUGGGUCUUAAUGCUGUCCAUCCAGAAACUAGUGACGUUUCCAGUUUUGCCCAGAAGCUCUUGAACAGCUUUCAGUGUGAACGGCCUAAGGAAACGAUCAAUCCUGAGUGAAUCCGUAGGCUCCUUCGAUGAUGGAGGAACUGCCAACAAAUAUUGAGCACAUGUAUUAUAAAACAACGAGCAAGAGAUGGAAACAUACAUAUGGAGGGGUGAUGGUUUACAUACCUACGCGUUCCUUGGGUCCAUCCUCACUAACCGAAGAGUCAGAGCGGGAGAAGUCACUCUUCAGACCAGUUGACCUCGGUGUUGUAGUGGGUGGUGCCACGCUAUUAGUGGCCUGUGCUUCAGGAACUUUAACACUCCCAGAGUUCCAUCUGCGUUGCCUUUUCACAGGCUCAUUGUUUCCAACAGCUUCUUGAUCUACAAUGAGGUAAAAAGCAAAAAGAUUCCAUCAUAUCUAAGCCAUAACACACAAAAGAUGGAACAAUGAGAAAUGAGAAGCCGUACCGUUACCAGGAAGCUUUCUCUUGUCAGAUGCCACAAGUGGAUGGCUUUUGUUUUCAGGGGUUUCCACUUUCCCAGCAUCCACAAUAUCGUUUUUCUCAGACUUAUCCACCACUUCAUGAGAUGUAACUGAUUCGGUUUGCUUGGACUCAGGCUCAUCCUCCAUAGAUUCAUCACCAGAACUUCUAUCUAAAUUCAACUUCUCUGAGUCGCCUGCAUCGAUAUUAUUAUUAUUUCCUUUGGUCAUAUCUGCUGCAUUAGCAGCAUCGCUGACAACUCCACCUCCAACAGAAACCUUCUCGACAUCCAUUGGAUGCGAUUCACCAAUGACUGUUGAUGGCUCUUGGGACUUACUAACAUUUUGUUCUAAUUUGACAUCAUCAGCAGCAAUUUCGUUAUCCAUUUUUUCAUUAGUUGGCACAGAAUCAGUAGAAAUACAAUCAGAUUUUACCUCAUACCCUGUAACAACAGAUACCUGGUUGUCCGUAGCAGCUUUUUCAAGCUCCGAAUCUGUAGGUUGGGCCUUAUUAGACGCCUCAUCAGCAACUAGUGCAUCAGUUGCAGUCACACCAGAUCCCACUCCAUCUUCCACAUCUGCAACCUCAGGCUCUUGUAGCUUCGCAUCAUCAACCACUGAACUAUCAAGACCAGCUACUUCUCUAACAUCAUCAAGGUCACCAGCGUCAACCUCUGGUUUAGAAACCACCGGAGGUGGCGUUGUCUCAAUCGCAGCCGAUGCUUCAGUUGUUGUCUUAACCACAGCUGGUUCUGGAGUUGUCUCAGCUGCAGAUGGAGUGGUGUCAGUGCUGAAUGCCGCUCCAACUAGAGCAACAGGAGUGGUUUGCAUCUGAUCUGGUGUAACGUUGCCUCCAGUUGCAUUAGUAAUCUCAGCCUGUUGAUUCGCUGCCACAGUAGCAGCAGUAUUGAGGCUUUGAGACUCUUGUUGCUCAGCACGAAGGGCGUCAUCAAGACGCCUAACCAAAUCGACCUUCAAGCCUUGUGUAGUGAGUCUCCGUCUCUUAAGCUCUUCCUUCAACUCAGUAACCUUCCACUUGUCAAUUGGGCGGUUGUCCAAGAUUGGAAAAGGUGAUGACGACAUCUUCAGUCUAUAAGACAAGACAAAAAAAAAUCAAUAUAAAAUCCAAGAAGCUAUAGAUAUCUAAAGUAGGGGAAUGAAAGCUCCUCUCUUAAUCCAAAUUAACCAGCAAAAACAAACCAGAUGAAUAGCAAUGCAACGAAACAAAAAAUCUACAAUUUUUCAACAAACCCGAUAGGAAAGAGAUAAACUUUUUGAUAUGACUUACAUUGAAUUGGCCUGAGACUUGUUGAUGUGCGUGAACGAACGCUUGGAACUGUGCAGAACCCUAAAAUUGUAAAAGAAGGAGAAGGACGAUUAGAGAAGCCAAUGAUCAAAACCCACCAGGGAAGAUUACAAAUUUUCACUCUUCCAGCUCAAAUCAGGCGAAAAGAAUUCAACUUUUUUUCAAUCAAAACCAGAGAAAGAAGACAAACCUGAGAAACGAAAUCUAGACGAUACGAAACGGAGAGAGAGAGAGAGAGAGGAGUGUGAGUGAUUCUAAACGAGACGAACAGAUAAAGCGUACAUUGGGAAUCUUCUAUCCCGUCUUUACUUUCUGGAUAAGGAAUCAAAAUUUGGGAAAUUCGGAAGAGGAGGAGGCGAAGGAUCGAUUUCUAGGGUUCUUGUUCGUCGGCUGUUUUUUGAUAACAGGGGGAAAUAAAUACCAUUAAUUUCCAACGCAAAUCUCGAUAUUACCCUUGAUGGUCAAGUGCUUCAUACGGCGUCGUAUUAACGCUAUCACCUAAACGUUGUCGUUUUAACGCUAAAACGCGCUUCGUAUCGCUUCAUACGGCGUCGGUUUUAAUGCCAAAAGGAGAGAAUAAUUUACUCACCGGAAAGCUCUCCAAGUCGUCUCCGUUUGGGUUCUUGACGAGGAGCAAACGCCAGAAUGCUGCGGAAGUAUGUUUCCUCAACCCUAUAAAAUCGUAUAAUCGAUUUGAGUUUUCCGAUGGAGAUACCUCAGUGCUGUACCGAUUCUCUUGUUGUAGCAAAAUCAAAUCCGCGUAGGUUUAGGAUCUCUCGAAAAUUGAGGGUUAUUGUGAUUUGAUUCAUUGUGAAUCUUAAUGUGUGAUUGAUCAUUUGAUUAGGUCUGUUCUCGAGCUGUCGAUAAAGAGGUUCCCGAGGAAUCUGGGAUCUCAGGUGAGUAUGUACUGGUGAUUCUUGUUUUUAGUAUACGUUUGUUUUCUGAUUGUGUUUGUUGGCUUGCCUCAGAGAUUUCAUUUGAGAAAGGCCUUCCCUGGAGCUAAACCUGGAGGGAAACCAGAUGCCUCAAAAGUGCCUCCUCCUCCUCCUUCUGUGGGGAAACCAGAUGGCUCCAAAGGCGGUUCUUCGAAAGUGGUUAUUGGAGGCGCUGCCAUCGCUGGUGCUUUUCUGGUAGCGUAUCAGACUGGCUAUUUGGAUCAGUACAUUGGAAAUGAAAAGCAGAAACUAAGUGAGCUUGUUAAGUCUGAUGCUGUCACUGUAAAAGUUGAGGAGUCUCAUCAUUCGAGUGUAUCUCCCGGUGUUGAAGAUUCUGCUGGGAUUGGCUCAUCAGUGGAUGGUAAAGGUGAAACGCAACCUGAGGUGCAGAGUGAUAUAGAAGUGCAACCCGAGUCUGAUCCAACACCUGACCGUUACACAUAUGUUUCUACACCUCCAGAAAAUGUUGUUGUUAAAGCAGAGAAAAGCUUCCCUCUUUCUUCGGAUGACUCGAAAACUAAGUCUGAUGCGUCCCCAGAAAUUAUUUCAGAGGCAGAAAAUGUGAGGAUGGAAGCUGUACCAAAACCUGAGGACAGUACUGUCAUUAGUCCCCAGCCUGGUUCGGUUCUUAGUGAAAGUGAAGUGGAAUCUGCUGCACCAAAGGAUCCUGCCACUGAAAAGGCAUCUGAGGUACUAAAUUUUCCUUUUGUUGAAAUUGAAAGAGAAAUAUAUUAUAGGUUAAAAUGCAGCAGAUGAAUGCCUCAGAGCUCCCUUUUUUUUCAUGCAUUUCAUACAUUUUUUUGUCCCUUAGAAUCCAAUAAGGAGAAUAUUCAGCCUCUUGAAAGACCGGCUAACUAUCUAUCUCGAUAGAAUUUUUAUUAGACUCGCAAUUAUCACUUAUCUCUUACAAUCUAUGAAAGGUUCGAGCAAAUCUUGUAGUACAGACAUGAUUUGUCCGUAAAAGUCUAACAUUACGUACCUAAUUGAAGAAUAAGACUCCUCUUGCGGAAGUUGCGUUUUUCCUAGUUGAUAUUUUUUUCCUGCAUAAACAAAGAAGGUUUGAUGUUAAUCUCUAAUCAAUCCUUCUCUUACAGGAUGGCAUUGAGCGGGAAGUGAAAACGCCAGGUUCUCUCCUUAAGGAAUACAAUCUAGACGGCAAUGGUACUGAAAGCAAUGGAUCCUCACCAGCUGGGGAGCAACUAACUAAUGAAACUGAGGUUUCAAACUUGACUUUCCUCUCUCUACUCCUGCAGGGCUUUGUAUUGAUUGAUAAUCUGUGUGAAAAUAUUCUUAACCGCGUUGUUUCGUGAUUUAGGCUCUUCCUAACUCAACUGAGGGGCUUAAAGAUGGCUACAUGACUCAGGAUGGAAAGUUGGUACUUGAUUUUCUGGAUGCCAUUCAUGCAGCUGAAGAAAGACAGUCGCAUUUGGAAGCCCAAGUUUUUGCUGAAAAAUUACGAACCUUGAAGGUUGCUUGAAAGAGAAAAUAUCUCAUACUAUGAUUUAAUUUCUGUACCGCCCUUGCGUUAUCUGUGAGAUUUUAUUUACUGAAAAUUGGUAUGACUGUCCUCAGGAGAAGUACGAAAAUGAGUUGAGAGAUCUUAGGGCACGUGAAUUAAUGCGUAUAGAGGAGGCGGCAAUAUUGGAUAAGGUGCUUCUCUCUUUACCUCUGCUUGGUUAACUCACUUCAAGGACAUAUGCCCAUUCGCACUGCUGCAUCAGACUAACAUGAAGUUGUUAAGUUUUACAUUUGCUUCUCGUAUAAACAUGGCAUCUGAUGCGAUUUUUCACUAGAUUCUUGUAAAUAACCAUCUAAUCUCGGUUUCCCAUGUUCCUGGGUAGAAAGAAAACUCACAACUUCAAUUUACGUGCCACUGUUACUUAUCCAGGAGCUAAAAAGAGAGAAAACAAAAGCAGCCGCUGCUAUCAAGUCAAUCCAAGAGAGAAUGGAAGACAAGCUCAAAACAGAAAUUGAACAAAAGGUUUGGUCAUUUCAGGAAGCUGAGAAUAGUCUGUCGAUUUGGAAAGUCAUAACUGAUAAUUUUUAUUCACUGCAGGAAAGUGAAGCUCAGUUGGCUUUGAGUAAAGCCGAAGAAAUGGCAAAAGCUGAGUUGACUGCGGCAAUUGUUAAAGAAAAGGCAGCACAAAUUGAGAAAAUGGCAGAGGCAGAUCUUAACGUAAGUAAAGACGCAACAAUGUAUUUCAUUUCCUAGUAUCUAAUGAUUCCAACCUCAUAGUAUAGAAUAUGCACAUACUGUUUCGAAAUCAUAAUUAGGAAGAAGUUUAGGAAAUCAGAUGCACGUUGAAAACAUUUCAUCAAGUCAAAGAAAGUGAAGGAAUUGUUCUUGAAAUACGUUAUCCAAGAAUUCCAUCAAGGCUGAGAAAUGCAUACAUAUGCUGCGAUGGGCAUUUAGUGAAGAUGUUGAACGCAAAAUCUCUGUUCUAAUGAACUGUAGCCCACAUUAUAUGAAUUUGUGUUACCUAUCUCUUUUUAACUAAGUAGAAUUCCUGAAUGUUCUUUUCUUCUCUUCUAAUUUUUGUAGAUAAAGGCAUUGCAUAUGGCAUUCUAUGCGCGAUCUGAAGAGGCUCGCAAAAGUCAUUCAGUUCAUAAGCUUGCAUUGGUAAGAAACGAAUGUUUUAUCGUGGCUUCAUGUUAAUGUCAUGUAACUAUGCUUUUCUAUAGCAUCUUGUAAAUUGAUAUAUGACUAACAAGUAAAUUCUGGUUGUUGUAGGGUGCACUUGCUUUGGAAGAUUCACUCUCGAAAGGACUACCAAUCCAUAAAGAAAUAAGUAUGCUUCAGAGUUACCUUGAAGGCACUCACGAGGACUCAGUCUUGGACUUGGUUUUAUCAUCUCUUCCAGAAGAAGCAAAAUCCAAAGGAACCGAUACAACGCUGCAGCUAAACCAGAAGGUGCACUUAUUAUUAUUCACAGAUCACAACCGAUGUUAUAUAUAAGGCAGUUCAACUUAUUUAUUACUCACUUCUCUUUAUUAUUUUCAGUUUGAUACUUUGAAAGGAACACUUAGACACUUCAGUCUCAUUCCACCUGGUGGCGGAGGAAUCUUAGCACAUUCACUAGCACAUAUAGCAUCUUGGCUCAAGGUAUGCUGUAAUGCUACUUCCGGAACAAACUCUGAAAUUUUAUUGCUUACUUGAAUUUCUUUCGUACAGUUCAAGGAAGUGGACCAAGCUAAUGGAGGCAUUGAAUCUGUUAUUAAAAAAGUUGAUAAUUACUUGGCCGAGGAAAAACUAGCAGAGGCAGCAGCUGCACUUGAAGAAGGCGUUAAAGGAAGUAAAGCGGAGGAAGUAGUCAGUGAAUGGGUGAGACUUGCAAGAAACAGAGCAAUUACAGAACAAGCUGUUACAAUUCUCCGAUCUUAUGCAACUUGUGCCAGCCUCACUUGAUCAUUCCCCUCUCAGAUCUUCCAUUAAAAGGUAACUUUUUUAAUUCGAUACUCGAGAGUCCUCGGUUUCCUUGAUUUUGCGGGAAGUAGUACCAACCCUUUUUUGGUCAGAGGAAGAAUCAAUGGUUGUUACAAUACUCUCUUCUUGUGUUUAUCUCUGCAAGAUUAAUCAGACAGUGUUUCUUUUGGGAUUCAAUCACCGGUUUGGUGUUUAAAAUCACAGUUUCUCGAGAGAGAGUUGGUUUCAGGAAGUGUGAAUCAAAAUAAGAGAAUCUCAUGAAUUAUGAUUUCAAGUUUUUGUUACCUUCAUUGUAGAUAGAGGUGAUGUGGAAACAAGUUUAGUUUUCUUUUUUUAUACCAUUGGCAGACAGAGAGAGAAUCGUAGCGAAUAACAACCACACGAGAAGCUCAUGUGUCAGUUUCAUCUCGCAUUGCGUGGAAGAUGAACUGAGACAGAAGAAUGAUGGUGAGGAAGGGUGUGAUUAAACCCAUAAACAAAACUUCAAUUAUGAACAUCAUCUAUAAUCACAAUUAUUGAGUGAUUAGACCACUAAACCAAUUAAAUUUCGAUAUCAUUCUGUAUUGCUGGGUGUUUGGUCAUAUCCUUUGACAUGAUUGUUUUUAGACCAAACGCACCAUUGAAAGGAUGAUACAUCAAAAGCUAAAAAUAUUAUGAACUGCCUCAUCUGCAAUCUAAGAAUUAAGCAACAUAUAUUUUUAUUCAAGAUGUAACAUUGCCAAAACUCUGCACCAUCUGUAUUAAACAUUUUUCAUAUCAUCGGACGUAUAAGGAUAAAUGUAUGUACAUCUUUGAUAAAAUGUGCUGUAACAACAUAUAGAUAUAAGAGUUUAAACUGUGUAAUUAUCAAAUCUUUCACUUAGUUGUACUAAUUUUCAAUUCAAAACCAACUAUAGAUAUAUAUUAAUCUUAGGUUUAUGCUUUGUUUGUGAUCGAUGUAGAUUUGUAACGAGGUCAAAUUAGAUUUCCAUCCCAUUUGAUGUUUAUGUUUUCACUUCCCUUCACCAACUUUAAACUAUUGGGGUCAAAUGGCCCACAGAAUAUAGACAACAUGAAUCGAAUCAUAUGGAUCGUAACAUAAUGGCCAUACCAGUGGCUUACACCACUGAACUAUGUGACACCGAGUAUUGGCAUGAUCCGUCUAUAUGAGUGCAGAAAAUCCAUCAGUGCAACAAUAGCUACGUAGCAUGACCCACCAUAACCACCACCAUAAUAAUGAUAAUCAUCAUCAUAUAUUCCUUUUAGAUAGGCAUAUAAGCAUAGUGUGGUCAGUCUAUAUGUAAAUUAGUGCAACUGGUCCGUGGACAGAACAAUCAAAAUCAUUUGAACUUUUAUGUACAUGAACAAGCAAAAUAUAUUCUCAUCAAAUCUCAUGGGGUUUUUUUUUACCACCAUCAAGUCUCUUGGUGAUGAAAGAAGAUUUUUUGUAAAGUUAUAUAUAUAGGAUAUACUAAAAAAUAUUCAAUUAGACGUUAAGUUCAAUUUACAUCAAUAUCGCCUUUAAUUUCAGUGUAUAAAUAGUGUUGUAUAUUGUAUUACCAUCAGUAAGAAAGAAAUACUAUUAUCUACGAUAUACGGUAGCUAUGAUAUUGUUGAAAAAUCCUAACAAACAAACUGACAUUUCUGAAGUGUUGCUAUAGACUAGAGAGUUGACAAUUAAUAAGCUGAAUAAUGAAUAAUCUGACGAAUAGUUUAGUGAGAAGAAGUUUAAUUAGAGAGACAUUUAGCAAAAAAAAAAAGUUUAAUUAGAGAGAUGGAAGAAAGAGGCCACUAAGUAAGAACUUCGUGGAAAUCACUUUUAAAUUUUUUGACAUUUGAUAUCUACAUAUAUUCCCUUUUGCAUUAUGCUUCUCUUGGAAUUUUUCAAAUUUCAAAUCUAAUGGUGUGGUAAAAAAAGUCAAUAAAAGCAAAUAUAGAACAGAGUUAAAUAUCAUAAUGGGAACUUGACUCUUUAAUGUAAAUGAUGCUAGAGCAGACACCAAGAAAGACUAAGCACAUGGGAGAACAGUAAAUUAUCAAAUUUCAAAUCAUCACCACGAUAUAAAAUUUAUACUAUAUAAUUAUAAUUAUACAUUUAUAAUAUUAUAAUUAUAUACUAUGGUCCCAGCACUACAUUCCAGAAUCCUGCGGCAGUCGAAGAUUCCACAAUUUUCGCCACCAUUUACUCCAUGAUUAACAAGAGAAAUAUUUGCACGGAUUCAAAACCACAUUUACAUGAUUAAGGUGCUAUAUAUUAUAAGAAUAUACAAAGAAAAAUUGAUUUAAAUUAGAUCCAACGAUAAAAAAAUAAUCACCAAUAUAUACUUUUGGUAAAAACUAAGAUAAAGGCAUAUAUGUUGAUUUGUUAAAGAAUAUAUCCUACCCACAAGCAAACAAACGAAAAACUAAUUCUAAAAGUGUAAUUAAUACGAAAAAUAGAAAUCAUGAACGAGUAACUUUAACAUCAUAUAUGUGCUAUAUUUAAUUUGUUGAAUAAUCAUGUUAACAGACUAACUUUGAUUUCGGACUAUAUAUAUACACAUACUAUUAUGUUCUUUGGUCUGAAGAUGAACAUAACCACGUACUGUCAUUAUUAUGAUCAUGAUCGGAACCACCGUAACCUCCAUUUUCACCGGUUGUUAUGUUCCCGUUAGCCACUGCCGUUGUCGUCAUAGGAGUAGUAGAUGCACUCUGCAACAUAGCUUGACCAAACUGAUCGUUAUUAUUGCUUCUAGGGUUUGAAGUAAUGUUUGAAAUCUGAGCUUGAAGAAGAGACUGUAGAUUAAUAUUCUCGAAACCGUUGUUAGGGUUUUGAUAUUGCUGAUGAAUCUGUGAUCCGGAUAGGAGAGGAGACGUUGUUGGGAGGAGUUGUUGAGCGAAAGGUCGUAACAAGAGAUUGUUGUUGUAAGAGUUUGGUGAUGAAGAAGAAGACAGGCCGAGGAAAGUGUUGAGGCGUGUGGUGUUCACGACGGAGUUGUUAAAUAGUGGCGGAGAUGGGAUUCCGGUGAACUCUUGAACCAUCGCCCGGAAGUUCGAAGUUUCCGUCAUUAGAACCGUCGUUGGUGCUCUUCUUGAUGCUCGUGAUCUUUUCUUGGCUUUCUUGGUUACUCCUAUGUUGUUAGGAGGAGGGAAUGAUGAUGUGGCGGAGAAGGCACGGAGGUCGGGUUGAGAUGUCGGGUCGGGUUGUUGGUUUACGGGUAAGAACGUGUUGUUGUUGAAGUAGUUUGGUAGUAUUAGAGAGUUGUUGUCGUUGUUGUGGUCGAAGUGGAGGAGGUUAAGGUGGCUUUGUUGCUGCGGAGGUAGAGAUGGCGCGUGGUGGUCGAAGGCUGAGAUGGAUUGAUCGACGGCGCGUGAAUCAUACUCUUCUUCGCCUCCUCUUCCACCGCCGCUUGAAGAUUGCAUGCUACUACUAUUACCGGACUCCAUCUUCUGACCAAACAAAGAAAACAAAACUUUUGGGGUAUGUUUUUGAUGAGAGAAAACUUUAGAAGUGGUUUAGAUGAGAAUAGAUACUUGAAUAAGGAGUUUAUGAGAUAUGGUAUUACGGUAAAUAAGAUAUUUGGUGUGACAUGAUUUUUUUAAUUAUUAUAUUUUGAUUUUUGUGUGAAAGGGAGAAAAACAGGGAAGGUGAAAUCGCAUUAAGUGGUUCCACUACCACCAUCCACUAUUGUCUACUCUAUAUAUUAUGUACAUGUAUCUAAGGUUUGGCUUAUAUUUAAAUUUAUUCACUUUAGUCAAAUUCGGUUUGAUGGUAGAUAUUUGGUUUGUAUAAUGAGAUGUUUUGUUUUUCAACCACUUUAGGAGGAUAUAUGUCAAUACAUCAUAUGAUGAUAUUUAACUUUGCUUUCGUAUCUUCCUAAGAAUUGUUUACCUUUCUUCGUUAUUCAUGAGUGCCAAAAAAGUAUAACAUAUCUAAUAAAAUUUUAAGAAUAUAAAAGAUAACAAAAUUCAGCUCUCGUUAAUUUUUAUAUAUGUACAAUAUUAGUAUGAAAAGAUAACUGUUUAUAAAUAUUAUUAUAUAGCUAAAAAUAACAUGGUAAGGCUUUGAUGCAUCUUUGGUCUUUAAGCAAAGUCUCCUUUCAUCUCUGUCUCGUGGAUGAUUUGUUUUGGUAUUGAUGUGGUUACUCUUAACCCCUCCUUCCCAACCAGGCUGCUGGUUUCAGUAUGUGUUUAGGUUGUUGUGAUCUUUUUCGAUUUCUCUGUAAUAUAUACAUGUCUUAAGACUAGGGAAACAACUGAAGGCAUAUUCAAUUAUCUAGACAUCUGGUUAAUCUAUUAGACUAUACUACAUGAAACAUGAUGACAUGAUGUCCGAAUUGGGUCAGUUAUGUAUCAUAAUAAUUAGAUGUCAUGUCAUCAGAUAACUAAGAUAAUAUUUAUUUGGAUUCUUUUCUCCUUUUCACUGAGUAAUAUUUACAAAAUCAUAAAUUCAAAAGAUGUGCAUAAUCAUGUAAAUAAUCAUUGCCAUUCAUUUGUUUCCACCUGAUUACUUUGCAAGCAAUAAUAUACUAUAGUCUAUAGAUUGAUACUAUAUAAACAAUAGUUUGAGUGUAUCUCGAUCAAUGUAAAGUUUGGUCGGAUAACAAUAAUCGACAUAUCAAAUUUUAGUUCUUAAAUGAAAUACGUAUAUAUAUGGGGCCAUUAACCAAAAUGCCAUAACCCUAUUUUCACUUUACCCAUACGGCUUAAGUUUGUUUGGUUACCCACACUCAUUUAAAAUGUUGUCGAGAUCUACUUUAUUUAUACAUAAAUGAUCGAGAAAUUAUACAUAAGAUUUAAACUAUCAAACUUAUAAUCAUUAUAUGGCAAAAAGAAAAUAUCUACAGUAAAAAUCAAUUAUCAACUGAGAUCAGCGUAAUGAUGACGAUAAUUAAUUAAACCAUUUAGCUAAAUAUUUUCUGAGCCAAUAUAGUUUAUGAAAGUUCAGAGACAACCAGAAUGGGGAACAAGAAUUCAUGAACUUUAUUCUUGUAUAUUAGAAACCCUUUAAACAAUCUUCCUAGAUCUGUUUAAUUCGAUUUACACUCAGUCACACACGACUAGAGACGGACCAGUUUCUAAACUCUUAAAACACACAAAGGUCGAGUCAAACUUCACAAGUUACUCGCCUAAGUUAGCUUGACAAGAACUCGCCUCUUGCUCAAGCUUUUCUCAAUAAAAACGUUCAACCUAGCUCUACCCAAGAUAAUCUAGUUUUAUACGUUUUUUCUGAUCCCAAAUAUUGUGAUAAACCCAAAUCUUAUUUGCUUUCCACAAAGAUAAUAUCUCGGACCAAUGAGCAUCCGACACGUCAUUGCUCCACAACUAACUUCAUAGUACCACGUCACACACUGUUGCAACUGUGUAACCCAUCCAAGCUCCAAACCUUGAGUUUACAGUUUACACCUUGAGAGAUCAUCAUAUGAUAUUUAUUUUAGUCAUAACAUAAAUAGGAUCAUGUCUAACAAUGUCAUGUUAUACAAAAAAAAUCACAGAUACUUUUUUUUUUUGGUCAAAAAAAAAAUCACAUAUACUGAUUUUGAAACACACUGUAAUUUGUGUAGGUCUUUUACAUGGUGACAAAAGUAUGUAGUAUUUUUAACCUAAACAAACAGGUUCUAGACAUCGCAUUAUGUAGUGCCCAGGAAACAAGUACAUGCAACUUCGGUUAUAUAGGCAUCUAAAAGUCUAUCGGUGAUCCAUUGGGUUUAAUGUUCGACGAUCUCUUUGAAUUGUUGUCGACAUCUUUUGAAUUAACAUGUAAAUAAUUACUAAACUAUAGUGAAAACUUAGCUUUCGUAUAGUACAUUGAGAAGAUAUUAGGUAUAGUACUAAAUAGAUUGAAGGAAUAUUUAUCAAACACGUGUGAGGGUGGGGUGAGAUGAAAGUGAUUGGUUAAUUGAAUUUGGAUUGUCGCAGGACACAUUUAAACAAAAAUCACGGAGAUGAAUAGUUUACAUAUAGACAGAAAAUUCAACUGAGAUCAUACAUAGAAUAUGACCAAUUAUUUAUAUUAAUAACAUAACUGGUAGAACUAUUGAAAUCUUAUUUUGCGUAUCCGAUAAAAUGGAAAUCUGUAAGCGGGAUAUGGUAGCAUAAACCUUCAUGUUUUAAUGUGCAGUCUCCAUAUCCAUGUACUGAUGAUGUACCCUAAUUUUUAAAAACGGAUAUUAAGCUCUUUCAUUUGUUUUUGUAAAAUAUUGUAGCAAUCUGAUCUAUCAUAACCUUUCUACCAGUAGAUUUUAAGACUACCUGAUUUUUGAAUCUGGUAUUACUCAUGAAUCACAAGUAAUUAUUUUCUGGGUUGGCUGCCUAAAACCCCCUGCAGACUUGCACACCCUAUCUAUUCCCCCCAAACUUCUCGACUCUGGACCAAUCCACCCAAAAAUACAAAUGCUCUUUAUAUCUCCCCCCAAACUUUUUUAAUCCCCCUCCCUAAUCAAUUUCAAAAUCGAAAUUAGAGAUAACUUAAUUUCGUUUUGUAAAUUGCGAUUGCCCAGUUAAAAGGAAAACCCGACCCGACACUAAAAAUAAAACCCGACCCGAGUUAACUUAAAAAAAAAAUUGGAGAUCAAAUUGAAAUUAGGUUUCCUGUCUCUGUUUCAUGACACAAACGAAGAACAUGACAGAGAAAGAGAGAGAGACAAAAUCGACAGAAGAGAAUGCAAAGGAGAGAGAAGAUAAUGCUGGGGAGAGAGGGACAAUGAGGAACGAUGAAGAUGGUACCAUGGACGAAACCCAUACACAAAGUCACGACCUGAGAAGCAUUGAAGAACCGUUCGACAGUGUGAAGAAUGUUGAAGGAUCUGUUGUUGUUAGGUAUGGAGAAAUCGAAAGUCUGGAUUUUAAGCUUGUUAAACUUAAAUUUCUUAUUUGUUUAUGUCUUGGCUUGAGUUUGAGUUGUUUUAAUUUGACAGAGAUGAAAGAGGCGAAAUUGAAAGUGCUGAAACCAUGGUUGAAACAGAGAAAAAGGACUUCGAAGAAGGUUAUGAAAUUGAGUAUGAGUACGAGGAAAAGAAAAAAUCUGGGGAAAAAGAUAAGAUGGAUGAAGAUGAGGAUACUCUUGGUCGAUAUGAAUUUGAAAUCGAAGAAUCAGUCGCUGAAUUUGAGGAUGAGGAGCCAACUGAAAGAAACCAGAUACCAGAGAGUUCAGAUGACUCUUCUGAGGAUGAGAUCGAUGUGCGUGAGAAGAGAAUGAAAAGAAGAAGAAGUCAUGAUAGAUUAGCUUUGGGGAGUAGCUACUACACCUUGUAUGAGUUUAAAGAAGUUGUUUUGGAAUAUGCUUUGAGCAAGAGAAAAAACAUUAAGCAAGACAGGUGGGAUAAGACAAAAGUUUCAUUUGUGUGUGGCAUCGGUAAGAAGUGUAAAUGGCGAAUUUAUUGCUCAUAUGAUACUGAAAGUCAGAAAUGGUUGCUGAAAACGAAGUACAAGUUUCAUAGUUGCACUCCGGAUGGAAAAUGCAAGCUGUUGAAAAGUCCGGUGAUUGCAAGACUAUUUUUGGAUAAGCUGAGACAGAAAGCGGAUUUGAUGCCCGAGGAGAUUCAACAGAUUAUAAAAGAGAAGUGGAAAAUAGUCAGUACACGGAACCAGUGCCAACGAGGGAGACUUUUAGCUCUAAAAUGGCUUGAGAAAGAGUAUGAAGAGCAGUUUGCUCAUCUUCGAGGAUACGCACAGGAGAUCAUGGUGACAAAUCAGGGUUCCACAGCCAUUGUAGACACGUACAAAAACAAAGCAGGGGAAGAUGUGUUCAAUGGUUUUUAUGUCUGCUUUGGGAUUCUUCGGGACACUUAGAGAGGAUAUUGUAGGCCAAUUAUCGGUGUUGAUGGUACUUUCUUGAAGAGAGCUGUGAAAGGGGCGUUGCUAACUGCUGUUGGACAUGAUGCCAACAAUCAAAUCUACCCGAUUGCUUGGGCUGUUGUUCAAUCCGAGACAACUGAUAGUUGGCUAUGGUUUAUCAAGAAACUAAAACAUGACUUAGUUCUACAAGAUGGGAAUGGGUUUGUCAUCAUUUCAGAUAGAUCAAAGGGACUAAAAAGUGCCAUGGAGUCAGAGUUAACGAAAGCUGAGCAUAGAAAAUGUGUGAAACACAUUGUGGAGAAUGUGAAGAAGAAUCAUGCCAAGAAAGACUUGCUGAAACCGAGGAUAUGGGAUAUUGCUCGGAGCUAUACGAAGUCAGAAUUUGACUACAAUAUCAAAAAGUUAGAAGCAUACAAUUUGGACUUGUACAAUGAUGUUAUGAAGGAGCUGCCGGAAACUUGGUCUCGAUAUGCUUACAAGCUUGGAAGCUGUUGUGAAGACGUUGACAACAACGCAACAGAGUCCUUUAACUCCACCAUCACAAAAGCAAGAGCCAAAGCAUUGGUCCCGAUGCUUGAGAUGAUAAGGAGGCAAGCAAUGGUACGCAUCGCUAAAAGACACAAAAUAUCGAUGAGGCAUGAGGGGGUUUGUUCAGAGUAUGUAGCUGGUCUGCUUGCAGAGGAGAAGAAAAUCGCAGAUGAGUGUGUGACGACACCUGCAACCCGUGGAGUCUUUGAGGUCACUGUAGAUGCCAAUUCAUAUAAUGUCAACACAGUAAGGCAUACAUGUUCAUGCGGAAAAUGGCAAAUAAGUGGAGUUCCGUGUGAACAUGCUUAUGGAGCAAUGAUCGAUAAAGGUAUGAAUGUUGAUGAAUAUGUCUCAGGCUUCUUCUCUACGCAUAUGUGGCAAUAUAUUUACAACACCAAUCUAGAACCUGUUAGAGGACCACGAGUAUGGAUGAAGUCCGGUUUAGGAUUGAUAGUUGCUCCUCCUGAGCCUGAUCAACCUGGGAGAAAGAAGAAGAAGAAGCAAAAGAAGUUUCCUAGAAUAAAAGGCAAAUUUGAAUCACCAAAGAAGAAGAAGAAGAAGAAGAGGGAAGUGGAGAAGCUUGGAAGGGGUGGUCGGACAGUCCAUUGUGGUUCAUGUGGUGAGGCAGGCCAUAAUGCCAACGGUUGUAAAGUCCAUCCAAAGAAGAAGAUGAAAAAGACACACCAAACCGUGGAAGAGGUAUAAUAUUAAUCAAAUUUCGAAAAUUGUUAAUGUAUUUAUCCUCAUGUUUGGUUUUGUGGCAGGGCACUUCUUCUCAUGUCCAUGAAGAGAUCAGACUUACACAGCCUACUCAAUCUACUCUAGCUCAAGACUAGUGGUUUUUUUAUUGUCGCUUAAAACUCUAUUUUCAUGUCUUUUGUGCCUUUUGUUGUUCUUUCAAACUCUAAAACUCUAUUUUCAUGUCUUUUGUGGUUCUUUAAAACAUGUUUUAUUUCGUUUGUGUUUUUUAGAUUAUGUCUGUUUGAUAAUUUUUGAGCAUAAACAAGUAAGAUUCAUGUUUUAAACUCAAGCAUAACCAAGCAUAAAGAACAUGAUAAUCUCAGUUACUGAAACACAUAAGAACAUAAUCUUGACACUGAAAACAUGAUCAGUGUGAAGGGAUCAGCCUUACACUUAAGAUAAGAGUCUUACAGAUCUCUAAAAACAUAUGAGAAAUUCAUGACAUAAUGAACAUGAUCAUCUCAGUUAUUAGAUCCCUUUCCAAAGAACCAUAUCCUAUCAUAGCUUUCAAUCAUCUCUUCAUUCAUCUUAACUCUCAUAGCUUCUUCUUCCACCUUCUCAAGUCUUGUUUCUUGAAACUUAAAGCGCUCCAUCAUACUCUCUCGCAGAUCCUUAACAUCAUUCACAAGUUCAUCAUGUUUUGCAUCCACCUUCCCUAUCUCAUCUAUCACUGCUUCAUCGACCCAUCUGAAAAGAUGUCUCUCCGUCUUUCUCUAUUAUCAAACACAAACAACAUGAUUCUCUCUUUGAAAGUAGUAAAAUUACAAGAUACAAUGGCGAUGCAAGAUACAAUCUCAUACCUGAAAUGCAAUCUCACACCUGUAAAACCUCCUAUAUGGGUUCUUUUCGGUCUUUGAGACAAAGGUGGCCACAUUCUUACCACACCAACAUUGUGUUGGUACGCCUCCCAUUGCUCUCUGUCACGAAGAAGAUGAAGCUGAGUUGCUCAUCAUCGAUGGAUUCGUCUCUCUGUCUCUGUGUUCCUCGUUGUUGUCUCUCUCUCUCUCUCUCUCUGUUCCUCGUCAUCGUCGUCGUGUCUCUAUGUUCUCGUCGUCGUCGUUGUCUUUCUCUGUUCCCGUCGUCGUCGUGUCUCUCUGUUCCUGUCGUCGUGGUGUCUCUCCUUGUUCCCGUCGUCAUCUGUGUGUUCUUCGUAGUUUGUUCUUUGUGUUAAAACAAUAAAGUCGAACCCUAAUUUAAAUUUAGCCCCAAUUCGAUUUCAUUUUGUAAUUAACUUCUGCCGGGUUUUAUUUUUAGUGUCGGGUCGGGUUUUCCUUUUAAUUGGGCAAUCGCAAUUUACAAACGCAAUUAAGUUAUCUCUAAUUUCGAUUUUGAAAUUGAUUAGGGAGGGGGGUUAAAAAAGUUUGGGGGAAAAUAUGAAGAGCAUUUGUAUUUCUGGGUGGAUUGGUCCAGAGUCAAGAAGUUUGGGGGGAAAUAAAUAGGGUGACUUACCUGGACGGGGUCGACUCGUGAUCAAGAAGACGAGUGGCCUAGGCUAGUGACUUCUAUUGCACAUACCGGAAGGGUGCUUAGCCUAAGGUCUUCCCAAGUGGAAGAGCCUACGUCAUUAUUUGUGGCAGGGGGUUUGCGUUCGCGCAGCCCCCACAAAAAGAAAAAAAAAAAGAAGAAAUAAAUAGGGUGUGCAAGUCUGCAGGGGGUUUUAGGCAGCCAACCCUUAUUUCCUUCUAAACUUAAAAUAUGGGUUUGAUCAGGAUUUAUUUGCUGGGUUUGAAUUAGCUACUUAAUAUGGAAAAGCUUAAAAUUUCACUUGAGGCCUUAGGCUCAAGACUCCACCUAACUAAAGCCCAAUACUACAAAAAUAUAUUUGAUAUUUGUUAGUCCACAGGCUUAACAACAUAUUGGACAAAUUGUUUGUUUAUAAAAGUGUAUGGUAAUAAUUAAAAGGCUUUGUUGGGUAUAUAUUAUGUCUGGCCAUAAGUUAAUCAAAAUCUGACAGAAAAUUAACCAAGUAUAUUUAGAAAAUAUAAAUAAUUAUUAAUAUACAAAUAAAAAUUGGAGGAUGAAUAUAAUCAGACUCAUAGAUAAAGAAAGAAAAAACAAAUAUGAUUCGUAUAUGACAUGGCAAAUAAAACCAAGUAUAUCUAGAAACGUUAAAUUCUUAUUAACAUAGAAAUAAAAAAUUGGAAGGAUGAAUUAUCAAAAUUUCUAUAGUCAUAAAUAAAUAUAUAAUUCUUAUUUUGUACCUGGUCCAUACACGCAGGCAAGAUAGAUGUAUAAGGGGUAGUUACGUCAUCUAUUAAAUCCAUAUCUACCGACUCGCCGACUUAACGCCGUGUUCGAAAGAAGCUUCUCAAAUCAUCCAUAUCAAAUUAUGAAUUAUCACAUCAUAGCGGUACACAAUCCGCCACGUCGACACUACACGCUACACCGAAAAACAGCAGAUUGUAGCUCCAAAUGUUAAUUCCCAAUAAUAACCUUUCCUCAAUAUUCGCAUCUAUUAAUAACAUCCUCUUCCGACAAGAAAAACACAAACAACAAAAGGUCAAAAACCGAUGACUCGUCUCCUCCCUUUACUCCUCCUCAUCGCCACCGUCUCCGCCGUCGCAUUCGCCGUAACUUCCUCGAUCCCUAUUUUUACAGGCUUUCAUAUUUUUAUUCUUUUCUAAUUUCUCUCUGAUAAUUCCCACAGGACGAUGAACCGGACUGCGUCUACACGUUCUACCUCCGAACCGGAUCAAUCUGGAAAGCCGGAACCGACUCGAUCAUCAGCGCUAGAAUCUACGACAAGUACGGUGACUACAUCGGGAUCAAGAACCUAGAGGCUUGGGGUGGGCUAAUGGGCCCUGACUACAACUACUUCGAGAGAGGCAACCUCGACAUUUUCAGCGGAAGAGCACCGUGUUUGCCUAGUCCGAUCUGCUCUCUAAACCUUACCUCCGACGGCUCCGGCGAUCACCAUGGCUGGUACGUCAAUUACGUCGAGGUUUCGACAGCUGGAGUUCACGCUCAGUGCUCCACGCAGAACUUCGAGAUCGAGCAGUGGCUCGCCACCGAUACGUCUCCUUAUGAGCUCACCGCGGUGAGGAACAAUUGUCCCGUGUCGCUAAGGGAUAGCGUUAGUCGGGUCGGGUCGGAGAUCCGGAAACAGCUUUCUUGGGUCAUCUGAGUGAGAUGAGUGUGUAAUUCAUAAGGUCUUUUGUAUUGUAUGUUUAUCAUCGUCUUAUGAGUGUAAUGUGGCCUUUGAUUAUAUGAUUCGAUAAAUAAAACUUUUUAUUACUUAACAACGUUUAAGCCGUAAUUAGUGAAAGAUUUACAAUUAACUCGUUAAUUGAGCCAUAACACUAUUUGAUUUGUCUCGGUCUUACGUCGAACCAAUCAAUGCAAUAUAUUUAGGGUGAAUUCGGCGGAUAUUUUUUUUUUUAACGCUGAUAUUUGGCAGAUAUUCAUAAAGAGGGAAAAAAGGUAAAAAAUAAUCAUGCUACAGUAUGAGUCCACAUGAGAUACCGGUUUCGGCCAAAAUUUCUGAAACGAUUCUUGUCUAGUCCGUACGCGUGAAGAAAAAUGAAGAAGUAAAAACUAUGUGUGUAAUUCUCCAUUGUACCAAACCUAUAGAUAGUAUAGAAGAAUUUUACUAUUUAAAACACUUUUUCAAUUAUCAAUUACUGAUGGGGAGACAUUUGAUUUUAAUCAUCCAUUAGAUAUGAGUAAAGACACAAAAACCUUUAAAACUAACCAGACUACAGUUUCGUGUUUCAACUCCACAGAAGGAGUCCACAGAAGGAGUCACGCUCACAACCUGUCUCACACGUGUAAAUUUUACCUUAGAUCUCAGACUCACCCUUUCAGUUCUCAUCUUUCUCUUCUAGCCACCGAUCUCCACGGAACCCUAGAUCUCCGACUCUUAGCGUCCACCGAUAUUCGAGACUUCUGGGUUUGCCUCCGUCGUAUCACCUCCGUGUGCAUCGGCUCUCCGACAUGCAAGGUUAGUUGUCCUCUUAAAUCUUCUCCAGAUUUCAUAGAUCUAUCCCUAAAACCUUUCGAUUUCCGAUUUCUCUUCUUGUAUAAGACUUUAUUCAAUGACAUCGUUGAUUAAACAUUUUUUUUUUGACGAUUUUCGAAAUCCUAGAUCUGUUCUCUUUCCUUUCUUCUUAUAUUUUUACUUUACUUUAGUUAUCAUUGUAAGGAGACAAUGAACCCGUCAAUGAACCCGACAACCGUUUUCCUCAGAGGCUGUUUGCGACCGAUAGAUUCCCCAUUCGUCGCUUUAACAUUUACUCCAAACCAGAUAUGCUCGCAUUCGUCCAUGAUGUUCUCCGCAGCACUUCUGAGUUCCAGACGAUUAGAGAUUCUUGUUUUGGGAAGUUGUUUGACAUGCCGGCACGUCAAUGUCCUGUCUCUUGCAAACUGAUUCACUCUUUACUCUCUCGACAGCUGAUAGUUGAUGAUCCACACACCCUCUGGACCGCUUUAUCAGGUCAACCUUUACGAUUCGGCCUUCAAGAAUUUGGCACCAUCACUGGUCUGCCUUGCGGUGCCUUUCCUGUUGGCCAUCUCCCACCUAAAAACAAGCGGAAUCAAGCAUUGAAAGAUCAGAUCUUGAACAAGCUUAUUGGUAAACAUGAACUCACAACUUGUGCUGAUAUACGACACUUGCUCGAGACAGAAACGAAUAUGGAUGAGUGGAGGAAGGUACGUUUGGCGUUAAUCUUGAUUGUAGAUGGAGUUCUUAUCGCUCACUAACAAACUCCCCGACCCACCUCAAAUAUGUUCAAAUGGUUGAUAAUCUGGAAACUUUUUUCCAAUUCCCUUGGGGCAGAGAGUCUUUUUGCAAGACACUUGCUAGCAUGAAACCUCAACAAGGAGAAGAUCCUAGCUCCCUUGUUCGGGGUCUUAAGCAAGAAACGCUACACCUAAAGGGGUUCCCACUUGUCCUACAGUUGGUCGUGUUUCGUGCUAUUCCGAAGCUUUUGUCAAUAAUCCCAGCUCCCCGCAGCUCUCUCACAAUCAUGGAACUCGAAGAAGACCAUCUGCCGGACUACCCCUCGAUCAACAUCAACGACGUACUAACAAUUAAAGCUGAGGAAAAUGUGAGUCCCCAAGAUUACUCUUUUUGUUGUUCUGUCUCUCCCUCUCAUUUAGUAACAACAAAAGUGUCAUGUUUGGUAUUUUCAUCUUUCCGUGACACCAAUCAUACCAAUCGAGAUACAAACAGAUCCUGGAUGGGGAGUGUGGCCAGACAUUGUCAACGAUGAAAGAUUAGCUUACAUGGAGGAACUCAUAGCUGACAAACGACCUUUCAAAAAGUGGAUGUGGCCAGGGGGAAAUACUUCUUUGCCUCUCAUCCCUCCUUCAACUGUCGAAGAGAAACCAGUCCACAAGAAAGCCCUCAAAUCGAAACACACUGGAAAGAACAAGCCUCUACAGCCAAACCGGAGUACCAGGAAAACAUCAACAGCCCAGAAGCAGAGACGGAUCAGCAACUACUUUGUCCAUAAUGGGUCUACGUCAAGCAAGUCCCACGAGCAACUUUUGGAGAUUAUCACCGAGCUUUCUAGCCAAGUUACAGAUGUUCAAGCUGAGCAAAAGAGGUUGCUUGAGAUGAUUGAAAAACUUAAACAACGUCCUCACACCAAACGCUCGUCUAUCACCUCUCUGCUACCUCGUAUGAAGAAGUUCAAAAAGAGACGCCGUCAGAAAAGUCACUCAUUCAGCUCUUUAGCCCACCGAUUUUCCAUGCAACAACACGGUAACCAUAUUGCCACCUCUAUCUCAAUUAACAUUGUCGCAAAAUGUUACGCCAUUAACAUUGUCGCAAAAUGUCCAUGUCUCAGAUGUCAAGUCCUCUCCAUCACGAAGAUAAUACCCCGUGCCAGUUACCAAUACUCAGCCAGUACGCUGCUCAACAUCAUCGCUCAACUGUAGACAACAUACAAGACAGCGAACCCCUUACAUAGAAAUCACCUGACCACAGCUCACCCAUCCAAAAAUCACCUGACCACAGCUCCCAUCCAUAAAUCACCUGACCACAGCUCACCCGUCCAGACUUCGCCGUCACCUGAACGUAAAUACCCCAUCCACAUCUCCCCGGUCCACCAAUCUGAAAAUCAGUCCCCACUCCUCCACGUUUCAGUUGUCCAUACCUCACCGGUCCACACCACGCCGGAAUGCCCCGUAGCUACCCCAAUGACUUCACUGGCACGAAGGGGAGUAAUUUAUGAUGCGAGUGAUCACUCCAACAGCCCUCUUUCCCACCACUUACUCUACCAGGGUCUUGAAAUCUUUGAGCCUAUCUAUGACCAAACACCCGCUGAUGAUGGUCUGGAACUUCGUGGAUGUGGCCAGGGGGAAAUACUUCUUUGCCUCUCAUCCCUCCUUCAACUGUCGAAGAGAAACCAGUCCACAAGAAAGCCCUCAAAUCGAAACACACUGGAAAGAACAAGCCUCUACAGCCAAACCGGAGUACCAGGAAAACAUCAACAGCCCAGAAGCAGAGACGGAUCAGCAACUACUUUGUCCAUAAUGGGUCUACGUCAAGCAAGUCCCACGAGCAACUUUUGGAGAUUAUCACCGAGCUUUCUAGCCAAGUUACAGAUGUUCAAGCUGAGCAAAAGAGGUUGCUUGAGAUGAUUGAAAAACUUAAACAACGUCCUCACACCAAACGCUCGUCUAUCACCUCUCUGCUACCUCGUAUGAAGAAGUUCAAAAAGAGACGCCGUCAGAAAAGUCACUCAUUCAGCUCUUUAGCCCACCGAUUUUCCAUGCAACAACACGGUAACCAUAUUGCCACCUCUAUCUCAAUUAACAUUGUCGCAAAAUGUUACGCCAUUAACAUUGUCGCAAAAUGUCCAUGUCUCAGAUGUCAAGUCCUCUCCAUCACGAAGAUAAUACCCCGUGCCAGUUACCAAUACUCAGCCAGUACGCUGCUCAACAUCAUCGCUCAACUGUAGACAACAUACAAGACAGCGAACCCCUUACAUAGAAAUCACCUGACCACAGCUCACCCAUCCAAAAAUCACCUGACCACAGCUCCCAUCCAUAAAUCACCUGACCACAGCUCACCCGUCCAGACUUCGCCGUCACCUGAACGUAAAUACCCCAUCCACAUCUCCCCGGUCCACCAAUCUGAAAAUCAGUCCCCACUCCUCCACGUUUCAGUUGUCCAUACCUCACCGGUCCACACCACGCCGGAAUGCCCCGUAGCUACCCCAAUGACUUCACUGGCACGAAGGGGAGUAAUUUAUGAUGCGAGUGAUCACUCCAACAGCCCUCUUUCCCACCACUUACUCUACCAGGGUCUUGAAAUCUUUGAGCCUAUCUAUGACCAAACACCCGCUGAUGAUGGUCUGGAACUUCCUUUUACCCCUCAACCUCCUUUAUCUCCUAUCACACGUCCCCAUUUAACACCUAACCCAUCUCCAACCAAGAGUACCGACAGUGGAUCAGGUUUGGCUCAACACGCUGCUUCCGUCAAUGUUUUUUCAGCUACCGCCUCAUCAAGCCGCAUUCCACACCACAACGCUCUUGUGGAAGACUUCAACAACUGAAUGGCUGUUGUAUUUAACAGGGAGGUCAAAACGAAUCUGAAGUGAUGGAACUAAGUGACUCUUCCCCUGCAAGAGAAGCUCUAACGCACAAUCCUUCUGAUGCGGAGAUGCACUUAGCCAAUGAACUCUUACACUGCCCUUUGGUGCCAUCGUAGAGAUUGAUAUCUCCCCUUCCCUCACAGAUAUGAGAGUUUUUCCAUGACACGAUUUCCUCAGCGAAGAAUGUGUAAAAAAUCAUCUACCUUUACAAUUCUUAUACCUUUUUCCACUAUUUCUUUGAUUUUAAUCUUGUAUUUUCCACAACUUCCACAUUACCCCCUCAAAGUUCGACUUCUCCAACAAAUUCUUAUUAGAAUUAUUUGUACCAACAUACUGGACCACCACCUACGUAUGUGCACUCCUAUACACACUUUAUUUAUCUUGUAAUUAUUUCUUUGAUUUUAAUCUUGUAAUUAUCCCAUUUGCUUGAUACUCAAUCCUCGGUUUUGUCUCAUUUUUCAGCAUAUUGAGAUAUUGUUGUACAUGCUAGCUGAGAGGCACGUCCAACUUCUCGAGGGAGAGAACCUCCUCUUUUCUACUCCGCAUCUGACGUCUAUUAUUCAGAAAAAAAUGGAGAAAGUCCAAAGCCGCUAGGAUUAAAGACACAUUUCAUUGGGAUAAGCGCAUCUCAGAGUUUAUCACUACUCCGGGGAAGAAAUGGAUGGAGGAUGCUACGACUCUGUACACACCCAUGAUUUGGGCUGAUCGUCACUGGGCUGGCUUUGCUAUUAAUCUCGAUGUAGGACUUGUUGAAAUAUUAGACUCCAACCCAACUUUGUAUUCGGAUAGAAAGGUGGCGAAAUUUAACGAACCAGUUACAACGUCUCUGCCAUACCUCAUCAACCGGUUUGCUGAUCCACAACUAACGCAGUUUCGCCAUCUAUUUCCUUUUGCUUGAAACCGAAUACCAGAUCUCUACAUCAACCAGCGUUCUGGUGAUUGCGGGCCAGUUAGUGUAAAGUUUUUGGAGAUUCACACACACGGCGACCCUGAGCCUAACAUGUCUUCUUUAACCGAUGAAAACGUUGACGACCUCCGCAAGCAAUACAUCCUGGAUGUCUACAAGAUAAUUGUCCUUCCUGCCUACCACCCACCACUCAACUAGAUUGCUAGUUUCUCACAGCUACUCUAUGUUUUACAUUUCUCUGCUAUAUUUUCUGCUGUUAAUCAACUAAGUUACUCUCGGUGCUAGUGGCUUCUCCUCCUUCAAUGGUGAUUUUAAGCUACUUUUGUAAUAUUCUACUAUCUGUCGUCUGAGACUUCAUUUGACCUCCUUCCUAGAGAAGGUCUUAAUAUGUAUUCAGUACUCUAAGGCUUAUCUAGUAGGAGACUUCUAUUCCUAAUACAUAUUUCAUUGCUUUCUCUUACCAGUCGUUUACCAUCCAUAUCAACUAUGCAAAACAUCUGAGGAAGAUUUGUCUUACCUAGCAUCAACAUCCACAAUGCAAGUGGAACAGAACAUGAACCAAUAACCACAUCCACAACUUAUUUACUCGCAAGUUUUCAGUUUUAGAAAUAAUAGAAAUAAUAUCGUUGUGUACAAUCGUUAUGAACCUUUAAUCUAGUUGAUUUAGUUAAUAAAAAUAAUAGACAUAACCACAUUCUAUACUCUAGUUGAUUUAGUUCCAAUCGUUAGGAACCUUUAAUCAACCACCUUCUGGUUUUCUCCUCUCCUAUUUGUACUUGAAUUCCAACAUAAUGUUAUGUAUGUUAGUUCUUGAUGUUAUGUAUGUUCAGCCACUAUUAUGCUCAUUUAAUCUUUGCUUAGCAAGACUAUGUCAUCCACUAAACUAAGCUGACCACAAACAUGCAUCCACAGGAACUCCAGCCACAACUCGGUUUAUGGUAGAAAAUAGAAAACACACCGACACUUAACCCAGUUCACGCAGCAAUUCAACACAACGCUCUGUCAUUGUUAUGAGAUUCUAAUCUCCUUUACAAAAAGAUAAUAGUUUGCAUGACCACAAUUCCCCCAUUUUUGUCAAAUGUCACAUUGCAUCAACCAGCUAAAACUUAUUUUGUUUAGACACAACAUAUAAUCGACUGCCACACUUGGCACAAUAAAUCAGUUCUCAUACCAACAUAUGAAACUGAAACCAAAAGCCAACCUCAUAUUGUUUUAAGGUCAUUACACAAAAGAAAAACCUAAAAUCAAGCACCUUCACCACUAAUGUUUCCCUUCACCAAACCAAAAUUAGGAUUCUCUUAAAUCAAGAACCUCUUUUCACACUUUUAACUCCCACCUAUAUGGGGUUAGUGCAAUUGGUCCUGUUAUGUCCUUCACACCUGCACCUUCCACACUUGUUUAGAACUAGUUUCUUCUUCUUAGGUACCUGCCACAAUAACGUAUUUAAUCAAUCGCAAUCUACUCCUACAAUAAACAACAAUUCUUCUCUUUAUCUAAACCACACUAUAACACUUACCGAGAAUUCUCCAGUAGAAGGAAUCUUGUUUUUCCUGUGGCGUCCUGCUGGUCUCUUUAGCAAAGGGGGUAGCAAAGAACACUCUCUCACAUCCUCUGGAAUGUCCACGUCUCGAGGAUUACCUUCAGGGUAUAUCAUGCCAACAUAUGUAUCUCUCCAUGUUGUUGUCCUGUAACAGUGACCAACCAAAGUUGUAUGCGGCAGUCCUAUUCUAUCUGCUGCAAUCAUAGCAUGUCCGCACGAAAUUUUAAUAUUCUCAAAAUAUUUGCACAAACAUUUCUUCUCAUCGAGCAUAACUUGAUCAUUUGCUCCAAACUUCCCCACAAUAGAAGUGCACCAACUCGAGACAGAGUGAAUUUUGCUCCCCUUGACCGUGGUCAUAUUAUUCGUCAUCUCUUUGUCCAUCUCUAUGCUUAGAAGAUCUUGAUGCUUCUCUGCUUUUUUCCUCCUUGCACAAAACCAUCGUGUCAUCAUCCGUUGAAUGAACAUAAUUAGCUCUGUUAUAGUACCGUUUCUUCCUUCUAACAAAGCUUUGUUCAACUACUCUGCUAUGUUGCUUGUCAUAAUAUUAUAGCGGUUACCCCUGAAUUCUGCCCUUGACCAAUGUGAAACUCCUAUAUUCCCCAAAUAAACUCCGCAGGCACUACUCGUAGCUCUGAUCUGGCUGUAUAGCUCUUUGUACUCCCGAGGUCUAUGUGCCAUUGCUGCUCAGUUACCAGUUUUGCUAGUCCUUUGCUUGAAUAGCGAGAGUUCACAUUACGGGCCAGAUGCACGAUGCACGCCCCAUGGUGAGCCAUAGGAUAAACUCGUGCCACAGCUGUCGCAAUACUUGAAGCACGAUCAGAUACAAUAGCCAGCUGCGGGGAGUCAGCUAAGAUGCGUUCAACUUUUUGCAGAAACCAUGUCCACGCUUUAUCGUUCUCUGCAUCCACAACUCCAAAAGCCAGCGGGAAGAUCUGGAAAUUAGCAUCCUGCCCACUAGUUGUCAGCAACACCCCUUUAUAUUUACCUCCUAAAUGCGUUCCAUCAAUCACAAGCACAUGCCUCAGCUUCUUAAAUCCAGCUAUAGAAGCACCAAAGGCUAGGAACAAAUACAAAAAACGCUCAUCACCAUCAUCAUCUGCCUCUGUCUCAAUGUCAGCAACAGUCCCGGGAUUUGCUAGCUUCAACAUGUAUAAGUACUCAGGGAGUUUACUAUAAGCAUCCUCAUCUGAACCUCUAAUACCAAUAACAACUUUCUCUUUAGUUCUGUAGCACUUCAUGUAAGAUGCAGUAAUGCAAAGAUCCUCCAAAACAAGCUUCUGCAACUCGCGAGGCACUGGACCUUUCCCCGGUUCACCAAACUUGGACCUGUACACAGCAGCAAUCACACAGGAGGUGGCUUUGCUUUUGUAUCCCAUCCUUGACUCAUAAGGACACAGAUGAUCAAGUUGAGCCUUCCGAAUUUCAUAAUACCCACAGCCCCUCACCUCAUGUGUUGUCACACGCCAAUCACAAUGUUCAUCUGGACAUUCCACAACAAACGAGUUCACCUUCGUUCUUGUCUGUUUGAAAUGGAACUGAUGUUUAAUAGCAUAAAUAGCUUACGCUAUCUGACAAUCCUCUUUGUUGCCAAAUACUUUCCCAACAUAUAUUAUUCCAUCAUCUUCAUCCACAUCCAUGUCAUGUAUCUCAUCAGCAUCAUAGCUUGUAUCAUCAAACAUUGGAGGAAUGUCAAACUCUUCAUCAUCAAUCUCUUCAAGCUUGCUCUGACACGGUUUGCUACCAGAGCCCACUCCAGUGGCUUCCGCACCAUUCCCAAACCACAGGUUGCUGUCUUGAAAGUUCUCUCCUUUGGGAUAUUUUCUACUGCUUGUUCAGCCAACUUCAACCAUGUGAUCGAAUGCAUUGUUUAUUGUGCACAUGUAAGUUCGAAGCCCAUCCUUCUUUGUCAAACCAGCAACAAUUUCAUCUGCAUUGUAGACUACAUCGACCGCAUUGGAACCUCCAAAGUCCCCUUUUAGCAGUGGACUCCAAAAUUCUUUGUCAUAACCACGGGGUCUGAUGUCCCUCUCAUCCACAUCUCCACUACCAUCCACAGUUCCCCCAAGGCUUUGACUUCUGCUUCCUUGUUCAGAUUCUCUCUUCUGCCUGCUUUGAGAUUUUAUUGUCUCCUCCACCUUCUCAACCGCCCGGACAAGCUCUUCAUCUUCAAGGUUAACAACAUCUAAUUUUGAAACGCCUGUUGAAGCACAUGCUUCUUUGGACACCCCACUACCGACGAAAGAUUCUUUCCUUAUUACCCUUGCAGGAGUCACGAAACCCAUACCAGAAUCAUCUAUGUGCUCACUCCCUUCCUGCUUUUCAACCUUCUCGAACUUAGCAAACAGGUUCAUUGCUCCCCUCACCAUCAUAUGCUCCAGGAAAUAACGUAUACCACCAUCACUAGUCAGCAAAACAGGCAGUGUUUUAAUCCCUGUCGCUAGCUCGUAGCUCGUUGGUGACUAAUAACUGAGCGACACUUUGAAAUCACCCUCUUGAACCCUGAAUUCCUUUAGCACGUUUCCUUCCAGCUCAACCAAACUGAUUCCCUCGUACAGCGGCACAAGCCUCGCCAUCUGCCUCUUGUCAAUAACGAAAUCCCAGCUCGCUCCUCCACCACAAUCCCACUCGCCGCAAAUCACCAUACAUUGUUCCUCCAUGAUUAGAACCUGCAACAAGACAAGAUGAACAUCAUGAGCUUACACAUUCAGCUUAACUCAUAAUAACUCAAAAAUUUCCUUGAAUCUCACCAAAAAACGCCUUCGCAAAUCUCUGACGUCGCUAGAGCCGAAGACAAAAGGAAGGAACGAGCUGGUGAUAAAUGCAAGUCGCCAUCUUUAUCGUUAUUAAAGCAAAAACAUCGUACGCUACUCACAUCCAUUAGAUCCCUUUAGACACUUUUAAACUUGUGGCCCAGAUUAAGACACACCUAUCCAUAUACCAAAACUCUUUAAUGUCUACAAUUGAACUGAGUUAAAGUAACCUAACCAUACAAAACACAACUAACUGGGCUUGAGGGCAUAAAGGUAAGAAAAAUGAUAGUUGUCCAAGUAAAGUGUCACAAAAGCUCAAUGUGUCUGUAGAUGUUAAACAACUCAAAAUGUGGGUUAUAAGGUAACCAACUCUAUUAUUAUAGGAAGUCAUUUCAAUACCAUAACCACAUAUAAAUAAUUCAAACCAGGGAAAAUUUCUGUCAGUGUUUUGACUAAAAAACUUCGAGCUGGUAUUCAAAGCGAGAGCAAUAACAUACUACAAUUACAAUAGUAUAGUCAGACAUGAACGCAAAACUAAAACACUAAGACUCCAAGUAAGAUAACCGUUAGCAACAACUCAACGAGUAAUAGAAGGGGUAAAUGCGGUGAAAAACGACAUAGUGUAGGUGGGGAAGGGGGUCGAAGUCUAAAUUGGGCUGAUAAAGACGUAAACUAUAUUAUGUAAAGUAAAAGUUUUGUCCGAGUAUUUUGUCACACGGCUUACCAUACGCACCGGCUGCCGUAUAUGUACAUUUCAUUAAGUUAUGAUACAAAUAAAGAGGCCAGAUGUUCUGAGGACGACCAAAAAUAUAAUAGAUUGAAAUUGAAAAUUUCCAAUUGUAAGUAGGUGUGGUCGUUUCAUACUAUCGGUGUUGUAGUUUAGUAACGUAAAUAGAAGCAAAAGGCAUUACAAUUAUUACAAGGCAAACUAUACUAUAAUUCAUUUUCAAAUAGCCUGACAAUUGAUGUGGCUAAAAAAUGAACUGCCACACAACCAAAACAUUAUGGUACAUGAGAAUCUGAAAAAGUAUUACUAAACCGAAACACAGGGUGGGUAAAAAGAAACAACGAUAAUCGAGAUUUUAUGUUUUAAAAAUACAUAAACAACGGUAUAAAUUGACAAUAGAUAGGUCCACAAACAACUAAAAUUCUAAAUACGACAUUGCAUAUAAAGUGGAUUACAACUUCUUACUCCCUUGGGAAUUCCUUCAAGUGUUCCAGAUUGAAACAUGCGAAAGCUUCAAUUGCAUACGUCUGUGCUGCAAUUGAAAGCCGCUUUUCGGUGAGAUUGGAGACCUGCGAGAUGUUGUCUGUUGCAUGCAGUUCCAAGAGGAUAUAGGUUGCAACACAUGAUAAUCCUGCCGGGUCGUGGGAACGGAAGUAAGACAGUUAAACUGAGUUAGUGCGUCAUUUCCGGAUUCUAUACUGUUUCGGUAAAUAAAAUGAAGUAUACGUACCGGUUGGCUCACAACAUAUAGGUAGGUCAAGCCGGGUUAUAUGCAAAGGUGAUUCCGUAGCUGCUUCAUUCAAUGUGUUACCUCCAUUGUGGCGUAUUAGCAAAGGCAUCAGGACUACAAACGGUUUUAGCAAUGACACAUCCAUUAAAAGGUACAUAUACAUUCACAAGGGUCUACUUCUAUUUCACAUCAAAAGGGACUUAUCAGAUGCAUUUGCAGACACCAAUUGGAACAAGGAGAAGACCCAAAUAAAUACUGCGUACCAUGAGCCUAUACUACUUAUGUUUAUCGAAUGACCUAUUAAAAUGAGAACACCAGCAAGAUUGAAAGUGUUCUUUGCUUAGCUUAGACUAUACUACAUAAAACUAAUAAUAGUCAGUCAUGUACAUAUCAUAAUCUAGUGAUGUUUACGUAACUCAAUGUAGUCGCUUCUUUACAAUACAAAGUACACACAUGCAGAACAACAUUCAGGAGGGUCUACUUCAGUUUCACAUCAGAAAGGACUCUUACAUAAUGCAGGUGUAGACACAAGGCGGAACAAGGCGAGGAGACAAAUAUACAACGAAUAUCAACCGACUAUACUGCUUACUUUUAUCGAAUGGACUAGGUAACCAAAGACUAAUUUUCACUUAAACACGGUCGCAUUUUCGAUACAGAAACAUAAGCCUCUUUUCAAAGGAAGAUACAAACAACAGUGAUACUUGAGCAUGACAACAUGACAGAAAUGUAAAUUAGAUGGGUGAAACGGUUUCACUAUUACCUUCCAACGCUUCUGUCCCGCACCUCUGUCGCCCAGAUCUGCAAUUGCGUGACACGGUGUUUAACAAUUUCAAAACAGCAGAGGAAAAUUUUGGAAAAAGAAAUUACGGUAGUGCGAAGCGCAAAAAUCAGACUAACCUCGAUUCAAUCCGACGAUUCACCGACCGAAAUCGGCCACCGUCGCAGCGUAAGAGCCGACUUCCCAACCCAAAAUCGAACCGCAAUUCUCUCAAAUGUUGCCGCUCUCUAAAACGUUAUGGUUGUCGCUUUUGUAGGGUUAGAAGGAGAAUGGAAACUGUUUAGUUUCCUCGGUGAGUAAAACCGCUAAAACAGAUGAGUUCAACGCUUUCUCACGCGCAGUUUCUGGUUUUUUGGUUUUGUACAUAAAUAUGUUCCCUAUUUCGUAGCCUAACAUAUGCUAUGGUUAGAAUCUUAGUUUCAAUUUUUCCUAUAGUUAUGCACUCUAAUUUCCCAUAUAUUUAUUUCCCAUAUAUUUAUGUAAUCUUUAGGACUAAGACAUGAACACGAUAACAUAUACUAACAAGCGGAGAACAAGUUUGAUUGGACAAGUAAUACAUUGGGGAAAUGAUGCCACGUCUAUGUUUCAUAAAUUACUAAACUGUCUCUUACAUUUGCUGACCAAAAUAAAUUUAAUAUCUAUAUAUGGUGUCAAAUGGUCCCUUUUCACGUUUUUCUUUUCUGAAAAUAUUUUGCAAUAUACUUAUAAAUGCAGCAAGAGAGCCAAAUAUUGUUUUUACAGCAUAAAGCUCAUAAAGAACCAUAGAAAGUAAAGAAGCCCAUUUUCUUGAGCCCACUCUGAAAGGAGGAAGAUGAAUCAAUCGCAAGGAUCAUAUCAUCUCCGCCAGAACCAUACUUGCAUACUUGCGUGACCAAAGUACUAGCAAAAUCGUCUAAUGAAAUUUGACCAAUGGAGGGAAAAAGGAACUUAGUAGUUUCUCUCUGUGAACAUCUGUCUUUAGUGAACCAAUGGAGGGAAAAAGGAACUUGGUAGUUUCUCUCUGUGAACAUCUGUCUUUAGUGUUUGGUCAUUGUGAAAGGGACGUAACUUCUUUAAGAACCUCUUUGUGAGAGAGAGGCCAUCUCAGGAUUAUACUCAACCCCAAUUCAACAAGUAUCUAUACACCCAACACAUAUGAACAUUUUAGCUCUAUUUUUUUCUUAUGAAAAACAAGAUUAUGAUUUGGUAUUCGAAAAAGGUUCCGUGCAUGUUGAGCAGUUCCGACAGGCAACCGAGGGAUAAGAUCUGUCCUUCCAUGGCUGCUCUGUCUUGUCGAUGGACUGUAAUUGAACGAUUGAAUUAUCUAUACCUUGCGAUGGAGGCUAAGUUGUCACAACCAGAUGUGAGACAGACCGUUUGCUUCACCCAACAGCUCCUCUGCGAUUGAAAGCAGGACUUCUAGGCUGAUUAGAGCAAAAGAAAUGGUCAAAGAAAAUGUUUUUGAGUUUUUGACAAAGAAACACGUUGUAAAAGUCAACUGCAGUGAAGUUAGGCUUGCUUCAUGGCAUGUUCACUAACUGCAACGGUUUCUCAUAAAGGGAGAGAAUACAACUUAAUGAUGAUAAUGAAGUUGAAAGCCCAAAAAAAAUAUGCUAAAACGAAUUUGCUUCAACUUCUCUGUGUUUCUAGUUUCAGAAUGGUUGCAGUUUUUUCCUCAUGUGAUACUUUCCGUCUGUCAUUGCAGGACGUAUGAAGCAAAAUAUUAUCAGGGAAUGAAAUAUGAAACAAAAUCACAAAAGAAAGUUGUCUCAUUACACCAUCAUCUUCACGAACAAGCACUGGUGAUUUUGGGAUGUCAUUCUUCAGAUGCUUCUCUGUCUUACUUGGGGUUUCAAGGUCUGCCUCAGAUCUCUUUGUCGGAAGGUUCCAGGAGUGGGAGUAUCCCGCAUUCUUUUAUAACUAUCUUCCAUCUUCUGGAAUUGUACGACUCCAAUUCGUAUUCGAACUCAAAGACAAGCUCGGUGGAAGUGACAUCCUCUGUUUCAACCUCAACCUCGAAUGUGUACAGAUGCCCCGGCGAAAUUCCUUUUACAGGUUUAUAACAAGCAUUUAGAGCAUUACCUCCAGACAGAUCCCCCAUAUAUAAAGAUAUUUUCAUGCUUACUAGCAAAUAUGAUGCAAGCCUUAAAUUUGGUUGAUUUGCCAAGAGGCAUUUGAUUCAACUUCAAGGUUAAGGAACUCCCAGAAGACCGGUAAGUGAAGCACAUAGGUACUUCGUCAGCGGGAAAGACCGCAUAUUGAUUAGUCGGCGUGUGGAUGAUGAGAUCUCUGGCUUCUUCAUUUAGUUUGAAGCAGUUUCUGAAGUUGAGACGAAUAUCCGGAUUGCGAAAGGAUAAAUCUAGUCUCUCCAGGGACUCGCAAUAUUCUGCAUCUAAAUACAAUAGCGAAUACGGAAGCUGUGGGAGUGAUACCAGCUUCUCCAUUCUAUUUAUUACAAGUCGAUGUAGACGCGAUAUUCUCCCGAUGCAUGGAUCAAGCAAGCUCUUGAAUGUUUGUGGAACUCUCAUGAUAACUUUUCAACGAAGAGCAAUCUGAGAGAUCGAGUUCAUCUAGAGAUUCCAAGUUGAUGUUGGCCAGAAAAACCUCUAACUUUGAGCAACUCUUUAAUCCCAAUGUUGACAAACUACUAAGGUUUCUCACAGAAGAAGGGAGCUUCACCAGACUCGAACAAUGAUUGAGAUAUAGUUCUUCGAGAUUAAUUGCGUUCCCGAUAGAAAAAGGGAGCUUCAGCAGUCUUGAGCUACUGAGAUCCAAGUAAUAAUAUAGAUUAGUGGCGGUUGAGAGAUCAGGAAGCUCUUUCAAAUUUCCCGAGUCACUCAAAUCCAUCUCCUUGAGAUUUGGGAGCGGCUGUAAUUGACAAAAUAAAGGGAGAACGGCAAAUUGACACAAUUAGUAUUUAAACACAUAAGAAAAUUGGUUAGAUAGCCUAACUUGGGAAGUUAUUUUCAAAACUAAAAUACUACUUACUUUAUUUUCUUCCCACAAUUUCUCAAGACUACGACUAGGAACUCUGGAUUGAAUCUUGAAGGAAACAUCGGCCAAAUUAGUACUUUAAGUUUUUGGGAUAUGUUGUUCAUACUUAGUGGAUUAACGCCUCUGCCAAGGAUUCUUAUGAAUUGAAGAUUAGACAAUCUUUCAAAAGCUCUUUCACUUGUCCACGUUAUGUCCUUAUUCCACUCAACAUCUAUUCCUAUGACACUACUACUACCCUGUAAAACAACCCAAUACAACGUCAAUAGAGGAUUAACUAAUCUCAUAUUUUAGACAGCACUGCGAUUAUAAUACCAAUCUCAAAACUUACUGCUUUAUCAUCACUAAGUACUUCACCAAUAUCGUUUGCAUCAUUCAAAAACUGGUGUUUUCCAGGUUCACUAACCGAUUCUUUUCGCACAAUUUGUCUUCCAAGUCGGACGAGCAACUUAGGCAUCUUUAUCCAUAUUGAAUCCGCAGAUAUGAGAGAUUUUUCAUAUAAGACGCGAAGCCCUUGUCUCACAUCCUCAAAACAUUUUUCUAGACAUCUUUCAACCAUAUUAAAUCGUUCACCAAUGAAAAAGCAGGCUAUAUAAAGAAAUAAUAUUUUAUCUUCAUCAUUCAAGGCAUCAUAACUAAACUUUAAAAUGCUCGCAAUUUCUCCAUCUCGGUCGAGGUGGAACCUUAACCUUGGUAGUGCCUCUGUCCAAUCUUGCUCGGACAUUCCCCGGAAAUAUGAGCCCAUAACUUUUAGCCCCAAUGGAAGUUCACCUACAAGACGCCGCCUAACUUCACAAGCAAGCUCCUUGAAACCAUCCUUUGGGUAUUUCUGGUCAAAAGCAUACAUGCAGAACAUUUAAAGAGCUUCAUCAUUUGAUGGUAAAUUCACCUUGUAUAUAUGGUUGAUUCCACUUGCUUUUAAACCCUUUGAUCUCAGAUGCACGAUGCACGCCCCAUGGUGAGCCAUAGGAUAAACUCGUGCCACAGCUGUCGCAAUACUUGAAGCACGAUCAGAUACAAUAGCCAGCUGCGGGGAGUCAGCUAAGAUGCGUUCAACUUUUUGCAGAAACCAUGUCCACGCUUUAUCGUUCUCUGCAUCCACAACUCCAAAAGCCAGCGGGAAGAUCUGGAAAUUAGCAUCCUGCCCACUAGUUGUCAGCAACACCCCUUUAUAUUUACCUCCUAAAUGCGUUCCAUCAAUCACAAGCACAUGCCUCAGCUUCUUAAAUCCAGCUAUAGAAGCACCAAAGGCUAGGAACAAAUACAAAAAACGCUCAUCACCAUCAUCAUCUGCCUCUGUCUCAAUGUCAGCAACAGUCCCGGGAUUUGCUAGCUUCAACAUGUAUAAGUACUCAGGGAGUUUACUAUAAGCAUCCUCAUCUGAACCUCUAAUACCAAUAACAACUUUCUCUUUAGUUCUGUAGCACUUCAUGUAAGAUGCAGUAAUGCAAAGAUCCUCCAAAACAAGCUUCUGCAACUCGCGAGGCACUGGACCUUUCCCCGGUUCACCAAACUUGGACCUGUACACAGCAGCAAUCACACAGGAGGUGGCUUUGCUUUUGUAUCCCAUCCUUGACUCAUAAGGACACAGAUGAUCAAGUUGAGCCUUCCGAAUUUCAUAAUACCCACAGCCCCUCACCUCAUGUGUUGUCACACGCCAAUCACAAUGUUCAUCUGGACAUUCCACAACAAACGAGUUCACCUUCGUUCUUGUCUGUUUGAAAUGGAACUGAUGUUUAAUAGCAUAAAUAGCUUACGCUAUCUGACAAUCCUCUUUGUUGCCAAAUACUUUCCCAACAUAUAUUAUUCCAUCAUCUUCAUCCACAUCCAUGUCAUGUAUCUCAUCAGCAUCAUAGCUUGUAUCAUCAAACAUUGGAGGAAUGUCAAACUCUUCAUCAUCAAUCUCUUCAAGCUUGCUCUGACACGGUUUGCUACCAGAGCCCACUCCAGUGGCUUCCGCACCAUUCCCAAACCACAGGUUGCUGUCUUGAAAGUUCUCUCCUUUGGGAUAUUUUCUACUGCUUGUUCAGCCAACUUCAACCAUGUGAUCGAAUGCAUUGUUUAUUGUGCACAUGUAAGUUCGAAGCCCAUCCUUCUUUGUCAAACCAGCAACAAUUUCAUCUGCAUUGUAGACUACAUCGACCGCAUUGGAACCUCCAAAGUCCCCUUUUAGCAGUGGACUCCAAAAUUCUUUGUCAUAACCACGGGGUCUGAUGUCCCUCUCAUCCACAUCUCCACUACCAUCCACAGUUCCCCCAAGGCUUUGACUUCUGCUUCCUUGUUCAGAUUCUCUCUUCUGCCUGCUUUGAGAUUUUAUUGUCUCCUCCACCUUCUCAACCGCCCGGACAAGCUCUUCAUCUUCAAGGUUAACAACAUCUAAUUUUGAAACGCCUGUUGAAGCACAUGCUUCUUUGGACACCCCACUACCGACGAAAGAUUCUUUCCUUAUUACCCUUGCAGGAGUCACGAAACCCAUACCAGAAUCAUCUAUGUGCUCACUCCCUUCCUGCUUUUCAACCUUCUCGAACUUAGCAAACAGGUUCAUUGCUCCCCUCACCAUCAUAUGCUCCAGGAAAUAACGUAUACCACCAUCACUAGUCAGCAAAACAGGCAGUGUUUUAAUCCCUGUCGCUAGCUCGUAGCUCGUUGGUGACUAAUAACUGAGCGACACUUUGAAAUCACCCUCUUGAACCCUGAAUUCCUUUAGCACGUUUCCUUCCAGCUCAACCAAACUGAUUCCCUCGUACAGCGGCACAAGCCUCGCCAUCUGCCUCUUGUCAAUAACGAAAUCCCAGCUCGCUCCUCCACCACAAUCCCACUCGCCGCAAAUCACCAUACAUUGUUCCUCCAUGAUUAGAACCUGCAACAAGACAAGAUGAACAUCAUGAGCUUACACAUUCAGCUUAACUCAUAAUAACUCAAAAAUUUCCUUGAAUCUCACCAAAAAACGCCUUCGCAAAUCUCUGACGUCGCUAGAGCCGAAGACAAAAGGAAGGAACGAGCUGGUGAUAAAUGCAAGUCGCCAUCUUUAUCGUUAUUAAAGCAAAAACAUCGUACGCUACUCACAUCCAUUAGAUCCCUUUAGACACUUUUAAACUUGUGGCCCAGAUUAAGACACACCUAUCCAUAUACCAAAACUCUUUAAUGUCUACAAUUGAACUGAGUUAAAGUAACCUAACCAUACAAAACACAACUAACUGGGCUUGAGGGCAUAAAGGUAAGAAAAAUGAUAGUUGUCCAAGUAAAGUGUCACAAAAGCUCAAUGUGUCUGUAGAUGUUAAACAACUCAAAAUGUGGGUUAUAAGGUAACCAACUCUAUUAUUAUAGGAAGUCAUUUCAAUACCAUAACCACAUAUAAAUAAUUCAAACCAGGGAAAAUUUCUGUCAGUGUUUUGACUAAAAAACUUCGAGCUGGUAUUCAAAGCGAGAGCAAUAACAUACUACAAUUACAAUAGUAUAGUCAGACAUGAACGCAAAACUAAAACACUAAGACUCCAAGUAAGAUAACCGUUAGCAACAACUCAACGAGUAAUAGAAGGGGUAAAUGCGGUGAAAAACGACAUAGUGUAGGUGGGGAAGGGGGUCGAAGUCUAAAUUGGGCUGAUAAAGACGUAAACUAUAUUAUGUAAAGUAAAAGUUUUGUCCGAGUAUUUUGUCACACGGCUUACCAUACGCACCGGCUGCCGUAUAUGUACAUUUCAUUAAGUUAUGAUACAAAUAAAGAGGCCAGAUGUUCUGAGGACGACCAAAAAUAUAAUAGAUUGAAAUUGAAAAUUUCCAAUUGUAAGUAGGUGUGGUCGUUUCAUACUAUCGGUGUUGUAGUUUAGUAACGUAAAUAGAAGCAAAAGGCAUUACAAUUAUUACAAGGCAAACUAUACUAUAAUUCAUUUUCAAAUAGCCUGACAAUUGAUGUGGCUAAAAAAUGAACUGCCACACAACCAAAACAUUAUGGUACAUGAGAAUCUGAAAAAGUAUUACUAAACCGAAACACAGGGUGGGUAAAAAGAAACAACGAUAAUCGAGAUUUUAUGUUUUAAAAAUACAUAAACAACGGUAUAAAUUGACAAUAGAUAGGUCCACAAACAACUAAAAUUCUAAAUACGACAUUGCAUAUAAAGUGGAUUACAACUUCUUACUCCCUUGGGAAUUCCUUCAAGUGUUCCAGAUUGAAACAUGCGAAAGCUUCAAUUGCAUACGUCUGUGCUGCAAUUGAAAGCCGCUUUUCGGUGAGAUUGGAGACCUGCGAGAUGUUGUCUGUUGCAUGCAGUUCCAAGAGGAUAUAGGUUGCAACACAUGAUAAUCCUGCCGGGUCGUGGGAACGGAAGUAAGACAGUUAAACUGAGUUAGUGCGUCAUUUCCGGAUUCUAUACUGUUUCGGUAAAUAAAAUGAAGUAUACGUACCGGUUGGCUCACAACAUAUAGGUAGGUCAAGCCGGGUUAUAUGCAAAGGUGAUUCCGUAGCUGCUUCAUUCAAUGUGUUACCUCCAUUGUGGCGUAUUAGCAAAGGCAUCAGGACUACAAACGGUUUUAGCAAUGACACAUCCAUUAAAAGGUACAUAUACAUUCACAAGGGUCUACUUCUAUUUCACAUCAAAAGGGACUUAUCAGAUGCAUUUGCAGACACCAAUUGGAACAAGGAGAAGACCCAAAUAAAUACUGCGUACCAUGAGCCUAUACUACUUAUGUUUAUCGAAUGACCUAUUAAAAUGAGAACACCAGCAAGAUUGAAAGUGUUCUUUGCUUAGCUUAGACUAUACUACAUAAAACUAAUAAUAGUCAGUCAUGUACAUAUCAUAAUCUAGUGAUGUUUACGUAACUCAAUGUAGUCGCUUCUUUACAAUACAAAGUACACACAUGCAGAACAACAUUCAGGAGGGUCUACUUCAGUUUCACAUCAGAAAGGACUCUUACAUAAUGCAGGUGUAGACACAAGGCGGAACAAGGCGAGGAGACAAAUAUACAACGAAUAUCAACCGACUAUACUGCUUACUUUUAUCGAAUGGACUAGGUAACCAAAGACUAAUUUUCACUUAAACACGGUCGCAUUUUCGAUACAGAAACAUAAGCCUCUUUUCAAAGGAAGAUACAAACAACAGUGAUACUUGAGCAUGACAACAUGACAGAAAUGUAAAUUAGAUGGGUGAAACGGUUUCACUAUUACCUUCCAACGCUUCUGUCCCGCACCUCUGUCGCCCAGAUCUGCAAUUGCGUGACACGGUGUUUAACAAUUUCAAAACAGCAGAGGAAAAUUUUGGAAAAAGAAAUUACGGUAGUGCGAAGCGCAAAAAUCAGACUAACCUCGAUUCAAUCCGACGAUUCACCGACCGAAAUCGGCCACCGUCGCAGCGUAAGAGCCGACUUCCCAACCCAAAAUCGAACCGCAAUUCUCUCAAAUGUUGCCGCUCUCUAAAACGUUAUGGUUGUCGCUUUUGUAGGGUUAGAAGGAGAAUGGAAACUGUUUAGUUUCCUCGGUGAGUAAAACCGCUAAAACAGAUGAGUUCAACGCUUUCUCACGCGCAGUUUCUGGUUUUUUGGUUUUGUACAUAAAUAUGUUCCCUAUUUCGUAGCCUAACAUAUGCUAUGGUUAGAAUCUUAGUUUCAAUUUUUCCUAUAGUUAUGCACUCUAAUUUCCCAUAUAUUUAUUUCCCAUAUAUUUAUGUAAUCUUUAGGACUAAGACAUGAACACGAUAACAUAUACUAACAAGCGGAGAACAAGUUUGAUUGGACAAGUAAUACAUUGGGGAAAUGAUGCCACGUCUAUGUUUCAUAAAUUACUAAACUGUCUCUUACAUUUGCUGACCAAAAUAAAUUUAAUAUCUAUAUAUGGUGUCAAAUGGUCCCUUUUCACGUUUUUCUUUUCUGAAAAUAUUUUGCAAUAUACUUAUAAAUGCAGCAAGAGAGCCAAAUAUUGUUUUUACAGCAUAAAGCUCAUAAAGAACCAUAGAAAGUAAAGAAGCCCAUUUUCUUGAGCCCACUCUGAAAGGAGGAAGAUGAAUCAAUCGCAAGGAUCAUAUCAUCUCCGCCAGAACCAUACUUGCAUACUUGCGUGACCAAAGUACUAGCAAAAUCGUCUAAUGAAAUUUGACCAAUGGAGGGAAAAAGGAACUUAGUAGUUUCUCUCUGUGAACAUCUGUCUUUAGUGAACCAAUGGAGGGAAAAAGGAACUUGGUAGUUUCUCUCUGUGAACAUCUGUCUUUAGUGUUUGGUCAUUGUGAAAGGGACGUAACUUCUUUAAGAACCUCUUUGUGAGAGAGAGGCCAUCUCAGGAUUAUACUCAACCCCAAUUCAACAAGUAUCUAUACACCCAACACAUAUGAACAUUUUAGCUCUAUUUUUUUCUUAUGAAAAACAAGAUUAUGAUUUGGUAUUCGAAAAAGGUUCCGUGCAUGUUGAGCAGUUCCGACAGGCAACCGAGGGAUAAGAUCUGUCCUUCCAUGGCUGCUCUGUCUUGUCGAUGGACUGUAAUUGAACGAUUGAAUUAUCUAUACCUUGCGAUGGAGGCUAAGUUGUCACAACCAGAUGUGAGACAGACCGUUUGCUUCACCCAACAGCUCCUCUGCGAUUGAAAGCAGGACUUCUAGGCUGAUUAGAGCAAAAGAAAUGGUCAAAGAAAAUGUUUUUGAGUUUUUGACAAAGAAACACGUUGUAAAAGUCAACUGCAGUGAAGUUAGGCUUGCUUCAUGGCAUGUUCACUAACUGCAACGGUUUCUCAUAAAGGGAGAGAAUACAACUUAAUGAUGAUAAUGAAGUUGAAAGCCCAAAAAAAAUAUGCUAAAACGAAUUUGCUUCAACUUCUCUGUGUUUCUAGUUUCAGAAUGGUUGCAGUUUUUUCCUCAUGUGAUACUUUCCGUCUGUCAUUGCAGGACGUAUGAAGCAAAAUAUUAUCAGGGAAUGAAAUAUGAAACAAAAUCACAAAAGAAAGUUGUCUCAUUACACCAUCAUCUUCACGAACAAGCACUGGUGAUUUUGGGAUGUCAUUCUUCAGAUGCUUCUCUGUCUUACUUGGGGUUUCAAGGUCUGCCUCAGAUCUCUUUGUCGGAAGGUUCCAGGAGUGGGAGUAUCCCGCAUUCUUUUAUAACUAUCUUCCAUCUUCUGGAAUUGUACGACUCCAAUUCGUAUUCGAACUCAAAGACAAGCUCGGUGGAAGUGACAUCCUCUGUUUCAACCUCAACCUCGAAUGUGUACAGAUGCCCCGGCGAAAUUCCUUUUACAGGUUUAUAACAAGCAUUUAGAGCAUUACCUCCAGACAGAUCCCCCAUAUAUAAAGAUAUUUUCAUGCUUACUAGCAAAUAUGAUGCAAGCCUUAAAUUUGGUUGAUUUGCCAAGAGGCAUUUGAUUCAACUUCAAGGUUAAGGAACUCCCAGAAGACCGGUAAGUGAAGCACAUAGGUACUUCGUCAGCGGGAAAGACCGCAUAUUGAUUAGUCGGCGUGUGGAUGAUGAGAUCUCUGGCUUCUUCAUUUAGUUUGAAGCAGUUUCUGAAGUUGAGACGAAUAUCCGGAUUGCGAAAGGAUAAAUCUAGUCUCUCCAGGGACUCGCAAUAUUCUGCAUCUAAAUACAAUAGCGAAUACGGAAGCUGUGGGAGUGAUACCAGCUUCUCCAUUCUAUUUAUUACAAGUCGAUGUAGACGCGAUAUUCUCCCGAUGCAUGGAUCAAGCAAGCUCUUGAAUGUUUGUGGAACUCUCAUGAUAACUUUUCAACGAAGAGCAAUCUGAGAGAUCGAGUUCAUCUAGAGAUUCCAAGUUGAUGUUGGCCAGAAAAACCUCUAACUUUGAGCAACUCUUUAAUCCCAAUGUUGACAAACUACUAAGGUUUCUCACAGAAGAAGGGAGCUUCACCAGACUCGAACAAUGAUUGAGAUAUAGUUCUUCGAGAUUAAUUGCGUUCCCGAUAGAAAAAGGGAGCUUCAGCAGUCUUGAGCUACUGAGAUCCAAGUAAUAAUAUAGAUUAGUGGCGGUUGAGAGAUCAGGAAGCUCUUUCAAAUUUCCCGAGUCACUCAAAUCCAUCUCCUUGAGAUUUGGGAGCGGCUGUAAUUGACAAAAUAAAGGGAGAACGGCAAAUUGACACAAUUAGUAUUUAAACACAUAAGAAAAUUGGUUAGAUAGCCUAACUUGGGAAGUUAUUUUCAAAACUAAAAUACUACUUACUUUAUUUUCUUCCCACAAUUUCUCAAGACUACGACUAGGAACUCUGGAUUGAAUCUUGAAGGAAACAUCGGCCAAAUUAGUACUUUAAGUUUUUGGGAUAUGUUGUUCAUACUUAGUGGAUUAACGCCUCUGCCAAGGAUUCUUAUGAAUUGAAGAUUAGACAAUCUUUCAAAAGCUCUUUCACUUGUCCACGUUAUGUCCUUAUUCCACUCAACAUCUAUUCCUAUGACACUACUACUACCCUGUAAAACAACCCAAUACAACGUCAAUAGAGGAUUAACUAAUCUCAUAUUUUAGACAGCACUGCGAUUAUAAUACCAAUCUCAAAACUUACUGCUUUAUCAUCACUAAGUACUUCACCAAUAUCGUUUGCAUCAUUCAAAAACUGGUGUUUUCCAGGUUCACUAACCGAUUCUUUUCGCACAAUUUGUCUUCCAAGUCGGACGAGCAACUUAGGCAUCUUUAUCCAUAUUGAAUCCGCAGAUAUGAGAGAUUUUUCAUAUAAGACGCGAAGCCCUUGUCUCACAUCCUCAAAACAUUUUUCUAGACAUCUUUCAACCAUAUUAAAUCGUUCACCAAUGAAAAAGCAGGCUAUAUAAAGAAAUAAUAUUUUAUCUUCAUCAUUCAAGGCAUCAUAACUAAACUUUAAAAUGCUCGCAAUUUCUCCAUCUCGGUCGAGGUGGAACCUUAACCUUGGUAGUGCCUCUGUCCAAUCUUGCUCGGACAUUCCCCGGAAAUAUGAGCCCAUAACUUUUAGCCCCAAUGGAAGUUCACCUACAAGACGCCGCCUAACUUCACAAGCAAGCUCCUUGAAACCAUCCUUUGGGUAUUUCUGGUCAAAAGCAUACAUGCAGAACAUUUAAAGAGCUUCAUCAUUUGAUGGUAAAUUCACCUUGUAUAUAUGGUUGAUUCCACUUGCUUUUAAACCCUUUGAUCUUGUGUUGUGAUUAUAAUCCGACUCCCAGGACCAAACCAAUAAGUUUCUUUUGCCAUAGCUUCCAAUUGUAUUAAAUGAUCCACAUCAUCAAGGACCACAAGAACUUUCUUGUCUUUCAACCUAUCUUUGACAACUCCCAAAUGUGAAAUACUGAUACCUGUCUCGUUGGUUAGUUGAGACAUAAGCUGCCUCUGUAAAUACAACUUCACACUGUAGUCAUCGGAAGAAGCUGGUAUUGCAUAAAGACACUUAGUUGAAAAUCUUGAGAGUGUCGGUUAAAUAAAGAUCUAGCAAUAGUGGUUUUACCAAUCCCAGGCGAACCCCAAAUCCCUAUUUUUCUCACUUCAUCUGAAUCUAGCUGUAACAGUCGUCUCAUUUCUUUCAUCUUAGAUUCCAUCCCAACUAAGCUGACGAAAUCAUUGGAUGGUGCUGAAAGGUUCAACUUGUUCGAAACAUCAGUGGCAAUAUCUUCAAUCAUCUCUGCUUCACUCUUCCUGAACAAAGGGGAUGAUGAAUAGUUCUGUUAUAGCCAUGAAAAAAUUGCACAUAUUAUUCAAAUACUGUAUUAAAAAAAGAAACCAACACUUAUUCAAUAUUUUGAUCCAGGGUGGCUGUUGUUUAAAAGCUACGUAUAACAUAUGUAUAUGCUGUUCAUGUGUAAGAAAGAUUAAGAACAUGUGGGGGAAGAAGAGGACGACUAACCAGUUUGUUGAAUGGUAACCUGUGAUUUGAGCCACUUCCGUCAAAGCACAUUUCCAUCUUUGAAUGUCUUCACUUGCUUUACCUUUACAUGUUUUUCGGAAGACCUUCCCAAAAUCAUCUCUACUUCUUUACAUCAGUUGGAUCCACAUCAUAGAAAAGGGGCAUCACUGUUUGACCAAACCCUUCUUUGCACUUGAUGAUCUCCACCAGCUCGUUCAAGCACCAUGUCAAAGAAGCGUAGUUCCUCGAGAGCAAGACAAUAGCAAUCCUAGAUCCUCUAAUAGCUUCUACGAGCUCAGGACCGAUCAGCUUGCUCCUCUCCAUAUCAUCGUCAAUGAAUAGGUCGAUUGCUUUGCUCUUGAGCUCCUUGACGAUGUGGCUGAGAAAGUGAUACGACUAGAUUGUAAAAGUUUGCACUCGUAAAGAAACUGUAGAGUUAUUCCUUGGAGAACAAGCUAAUACAAAGGUUUUAGAGUUUUUACACAGGAGUACUCUCUCUCCUCUCACAAAAAAUCGAUGAUCACACUCGAUACAUUUCUCUUAUUCAUUACUACUCUUAUAGAAAGCAUAAAGCAAAUAGCCACGUCACAGACAACCCAUGUGCGCAGACAAUACAGUUACUACGUCCUCUCCUCCUUCCUUGUAUUCUUAUCCUUUUAGAUCCUUUCUUGUCUCAUUUUCCUUCUCUACUGUUCCGACCUUGGGCCUCCUCUUGUAGUGAUGGAUAAUAGGUGGCCUUAUAGCCUCGUAGAUAACAUUACUCCCUCCAUGGAAACUGACCUUGUCCUCAAGGUCAAGCUGAAACUGCUUAUCCAUGUCGCUCUUCCACUCCCACGUACAAUCUGCAGCAGGUAACCCAUUCCAUUUAACCAAGACUUCCUCAUGCCCAGUCUGUGCGUUGCUCCUGUGUGCUAAAACUACUUCCGGUUUGACCUCUAACACUCCUUCUUCUGUUAGUUGAGGCGGAAUGGUGGCUGCUUCCAAAGAUCCUCCCACUGCUUUCUUAAGUUGAGAAACAUGGAAUGUUGGGUGGAUGUGAGCCUCUGGCGGUAAGUUCAAGCGAUAUGCCACCUUACCCACACACGCAGCAACCUCAUACGGACCGUAGAACCUAGCGGCCAACUUCUCAUUCAUCUUCCUGGCCAAUGACUUCUGUCUGUAGGGACGUAACUUCAAGAACACCUUAUCACCAACCGCAAAUUCUACUUCCCUGCGAUGCUCAUCUGCUCGUGCCUUCAUGAUCUGUUGUACCUUUAGUAACUGCUGUCUCAACAGAGCCAAAUUGUCGUCCCUCUCUUGCAGACGAGACUCCAGGUCAGCAUUGUUGGUGGAACCGUUCUCGUAGUGGAGAAGAGUUGGUGGUUCACGCCCAUACAACGCGGUAAAAGGAGACAUCUGGAUGGUAGAAUGGUACGACGUAUUGUAACUGAACUCAGCCCACUGUAAGUACCUUGCCCAUGUCCGUGGUUUCUCUCCUGCAAAGCACCUCAAAUAGGUCUCAAGACCUCGGUUCGUCACUUCCGUCUGCCAAUCCGUCUGCGGAUGGUAGGCUGUUGAGAAACACAGAAUAGUUCCCGACAACCUGAAUAACUCCUUCCAAAACUGCCCCGUGAAGAUACGGUCUCGGUCCGACACAAUAGUCUUAGGGUAGCCGUGUAACCUGAUCACCUCCUGAACAAAAGACCUUGCAACGUCAAUGGCUGUAAACGGAUGUCUAAGGCCGAUGAAAUAUGCAUACUUGGUGAGUCGAUCGAUCACCACCAGUAUGACAUUAACUCCCUCUGAUUUCGGUAACCCUUCGAUGAAGUCAAGUGAGAUGUCCUCCCAUACGUUAGUAGGAACUGGUAAGGGUUGUAGCAGCCCCCCUGGCGCGAGUGUUGAAUACUUGUGACGCUGACAGAUUUGACACGACGCCACGUACUUCCUGAUGUCUGUCAUCAUCCCUGCCCAGUAAAACAACCCUCCAAUGCGCUUCUGUGUCUUUAGUACCCCCCCAUGUCCUCCAUAUUUGCUGUCAUGAUAUUCUUUUAGUAUCAACUCAAUCAACUUGGAUGUCUUUGGCAGCACCAGCUUCCCUUGCCUCAGUAACCUCCCUUGCACCAGAGUAUAGUCAGGGUGUGAGCUAGGGUCCUGAGUUAACUCUUGGAUCAACUUCGAUAACUCACUGUCUCGCUCCACUUCUGAUCCCACCUCCUCCAACUGAAUUGAAACCGGAACUGAUACUGCAAACAGCUCAGUAACUGGACUCUUCCGAGACAGGGCGUUAGCUGCUUUAUUCUCUAGCCCCGGCUUGUAGUGUAUAUCGAAAUCAAACCCGAGUAUCUUAGUCAACCACCGCUGAUAUUCCAUGUUAAUCUCCCUCUGUUCCAGCAAGAACUUGAGACUUUUCUGGUCCGUUCUUACAACAAACUUCCUCCCCAAUAAGUAGUGACGCCACUUUUGUAUGGCAAAGACUAUCGCCAUGAGCUCUCUUUCAUAUACAGACUUCAUUUGCUGUCGCUCCGUCAAAGCCUGGCUGAAGUAUGCGAUCGGUCGCUGUCGCUGCAUCAACACAGCGCCCAAUCCUACUCCAGACGCGUCCCACUCUAUCACGAAUUGCUCGUUGAAAUCAGGCAAUGCCAGUACCGGCACCGUCGCCAUUGCCUGCUUCAGUUUCUGAAAGGCUAACGCUGCUUCACCGGACCAUUUGAACUGAUCCUUCUUUAGUAGGGACGUGAGAGGCCUCGCAAUAUCACCGUACCCUUGAACAAAUUUUCUGUAAUACCCUGUCAACCCAAGAAUCCCCUCAGCUCCUUAACUGCUUUUGGUUCCAUCCAGUCUAGCAUAGCGCGUACCUUCCCUUCAUCAGCUGCCACUCCUUCUGCGCUUAUCACAUGACCAAGAUACUCUAUGCGAGAGCUUCCAAACUCACAUUUCUUGCGAUUUGCGUACAAGCCCUGUUCUUUUAACACCUCCAACACUAAGCGUAAAUGUUCUUCGUGCUCGCUUUGUGUCUGACUGUACACGAGUAUGUCAUCAAAGAAGACCAAUACAAACUUCCUCAGGUAGCUUCGAAAAAUAUCGUUCAUCAAAGACUGGAAUGUAGCUGGCGCGUUGGAUAACCCAAACGGCAUAACAAGGAAUUCGUAGUGGCCGUCGUGGGUUCGAAACACUGUCUUCUGUACAUCCUCUGCUUUCACCAGAAUCUGAUGAUACUCUGACUUCAGAUCAAGCUUUGAAAACACCUUCGCCCCUUGUAGUUCAUCCAGCAACUAGUCAAUCAUAGGUAUAAGGUAGCUAUCCGCGAUGGUCACUUUAUUCAAGGCGCGGUAGUCCACACAAAACCUCCAACUCCCGUCCUUCUUCUUGAUUAGCAGUACCGGACUCGAGAAAGGGCUGCUACUAUCCCUGAUAAUUCCUGCCGACAACAUCAAUGCCACCUGCUUCUCGAUCUCCUCCUGUUGCGCUUCUGGGUAACGAAAGGGUCGAACACUCACUGGGCUGGCAUCCGUCUUUAGGACGAUCGCGUGUUCCUUCCCUCUCGAAGGAGGCAGACCCUGUGGCUCU
rnacentral:lncRNA from 1 species